rnacentral:lncRNA from 1 species
GCAAAACUAGCUACUAUAGAGAUAGACGAGGAUCCAUAUGGCUUGCAAUAAUAAACUAACAUUGUAAAAAGGGCAACAAAUGAAGCCUAAUAUAUAGUUGAGUAUCAUUGACCACUAUACAUCACUUGUAUGCAUCUCAAGUCAAGUUUGAAACAACCAAACAAUUCCAGUUCAUAUUGGCUUGCCAGCCAUUUAAUUUUCAGACUUACAUUUUAUUAAUUCUCUGUAAUUUAAUUCUAAUGUGCUAAAAUUAAGGAAGCAACCAAUCAACACAAUAGGGGGCCUGAAAUACGUGGCAUGGGGGCCUCAUAAUCAUUCAUUCAUGGGUUCAAAAGAAAAGAUGAAAGAAAACUGCCGACGAUCAUCAAUUUGCAGGCAUGUGGUGUGGAGUAACAACUAUGGAGGAUUUGAGUAGAGAAAUGCUUAGCCAAGCAAAAGGAAUACUAUAAGGCGGUGAAUAAUCUUGGUCUUGGUCUUGGUCUUGGGGGUCCAUCUAAAACAAAAAAUAAUUUGCAAUGCGUGAAAGUGACUUAAGAUCUAAAUUCUAGAGUAAUUCAGUUGGCUGGAAUCCGGGGGCAACAGAGGAGAUUUCGUCUUGAAGGUGCCAAAAUCCGGCGGCAGCAGAGGAGAUUUCGUCUUGAAGCCUUACGAAAUCUAGCUUGAAGCCUUGAAGCUGUAACUUGUUGGUACUUGGUAAAAGCCGCAGCGAUUUCGUCUUGUUGGUAGGCAUAGGAGUUGCAGCAGUUUGAUGGAUAAAUUCUAGGGUUUUGGGCAGCGGUGGAGAAGAAAAGAAAAGAAAAGUGCAGGCUGAACCGCUAAAGAAUGAAGAAAAGAGUAAAAGAAACGACAAAGGAAAGGAGUCAAAGGCUGACCGACUAAGGAAAGGAAAAGAUGAGAAGAAUCGGUGCUUUUUUUGACUUUUUGAGCAAAAAUUGUUAAAACAUUGCAAUUAAAGGCUGCAAUUCUUUGAUAAAUUACAAGCUUACCCCAAAUGUUUUCAUUUACUUGCAAAAUGAAGUCUCGAAUUUCACAUAUUAGCAAAAUUUUGUAGGAUCGAUGUAGGAUCGUACGAUUCUAUACAAUCCUACCGAUCCUACAAGCAAUUAAUGCAAUUUGUGAUUUUGAAUGCGAUUCGGAUCGAUUUUGGUUAUCCGGAUCGCGAUUUUGACAACCAAAGGAUGUACACAAAAUUUAUAUAAAAUUACAAAUUGUUCAAAAAAUAUUACACUAUUCAAGGACGACUGAUCUAAGCCCUGCGUCGGUUGAGCAUUCUAACUUCCCAAGUGAUCCAGCUGCCCCAAUCUAGCCUCCCCCUUCCUAUGUUCCUAUUCCUUUUCUGGGCUAUUCCAUGUCUUGUUGAUCAUGGUUUCACUCCAUCGUCUUUGAUUUUUUCCAUGCCUAGUCUUUCUCAUGCAAUUUUCCAUCCAAUUAAUGAAUUCUGGUAAAAGGAAAAACUUUGCAGCGCAAGGAAAAUUAUGAAACGUCAAAAUGGUGGUGAAUCAUUCAUUAGUCGCUAAAAAGGAAAUUCGCAAUUUUUUGUCCACAAUUGUGGCCUUAGAUCAAUGUUUUCAGAAUCGGACUGGACCGGCCGGUUCAACCGAUUGGACAGCAAACUGAACAGGCCACGGUCCGGUCUAGAGCUAAAGUCGGAGAGUAAUGAAAAACCGCUAGAAACAGGAUGACGCGGACGAACCGUGAAAAGCCGCACGGACUGUGAAUCGACAGUUUUUGAAACUUUUCAAAAAUAAUUUCCAAUUUAAAUCGUGAAAAAACGCACGGACCAUGAACCGGCAGUUUUUGAAACUUUUCAAAAUUAAUUUCCAAUUUGCAGCCACCAAGAAUCGAACACUAGACCUUGCGUUUGUCACAAGGAGCCCUUUACCAUUGAACCAUAGCCAGCGGACAAUUGUUUUGUGUAGAUAUCUACUUAAUUUAUUAAGUGAAAAACUAAAAAUACCAACCUAAGACACAUCAAACUUAUUUUUUUGUAUAUAAAAAAUAUAUAAAUGCAAAGAUAGUAAUAAUUGUUAGAAUAUGUAUAUAUAUAUAUAUAUAUAUAUAUAAAAUAAAUUAGGUGAAUAUUAAAUGUGUUAGGGCAACCGUUAGAAAAAUCCUUUAAUAAAAUAGCUUUUUCAAAUUAUUUUUUUUAAUUUUUGUAGAAAAAUGUACAACAACGGUUUAAUGUGUGUAGAAUAAAAAUAAUCCAUAAAUAGAUUAGUGAAAAAAUAAAAAAUUUAAAAAAUGACAAUCCAAACAAGGUCUAAUUUGGUAACUAAAUUGAAUUGUUUAGAUAAGUUAUUAUUAUAAAAAUUUUUAAUUACAUUAGAAACACUUAUGCUUUACAUCAUAAAUACAUUGUUGGUAUAUCAAUGUUUGUUAAUGUACUCCCCUUGAUUAUUAAUGUAAUCCCCUUGAUUUUUUAAUUUGUGAAAAUAAAUAAAAAUACUCAGACUUUUAAUUUUAGUUACAAUCUCACAAUAAAAUAGUGGUUGAAAUGCAAUAACAGAUAGAAAGAUUGAGUAGGGAUAUUCUUGCUCAUUUGACAUUGUAGACAAGUAUUUAGGAAAAAAAUUGAUAAAUAAUUACUAUUUUAAAAAAUAUUUAUAAUUUCAUUGUACACAUUCGUACUUUACAUCAUAACUCCUUGAUUUUUUUUAUGUGUGAAUAAACAAAAUACUUAAAAAAUUUAAUUUCAAUUACAAUCUCAAAACAAUAUCGUAGGUAGCAAGAUUGAAUAAGGAUAUUGUUACCUAACUAACUGGUAGAUAUGUAUUAAAAAAGGGAACAUUGAUAAAUAAUUAGGCGCUAAUAACAAUUUUCUAAUGGACAAAAAAUGUGAAUAUGGAGAAUUUUUUUUCUUUUCUUUUUUUCUUUCCAAUGAAUAUGGACCGAGUGAGAAAGCCAAAUGGCCGAAAUGAAAACACAAAUUUGGUAUCUGGCUAGAUAUCAAAUUUGAAAACACAAAUUUUAGAUUCGUGUGAUAGAGGAUAUCGGGCUGGAUAUUUUUUAGUAUUACUUCAAGAAGGUUCCAUAUUCCUCUGAAGUCUUAUUUAGACCCAUCUCAAAUUUGAAUUGCAUCAUUACCGAGUUGGGCCUGACAAUAGCCUGUACCAUGUUCUUGGACAUCAACCUUCAAAGUUUAAGCUUGUAGCCGUAGGCAAUGAACUGUUUCCGGAAAGAAAGAUGUUUAUUUAAAAAUAAAUAAAUAGUGAACCGGCCGGUCGGGCUGCGAACCGGUCCCUUCCCCGGUUCACUGGCUGGUCUGGUUCUAAAAACAUUGCCUUAGAUAAGGACCUACUUGGUUUAUCCAAUUUUUCAACAAGACACAAGAAACUUUUUCAACUUGGGCUCAUUAAGUAAAAGUAGUUACCCAAACAAAGCCCUCAUGAGUAGUAGUAUUGCAGUACAUGAAGUUAACAAUAAAUGUAGUCAAGGGAUAUCCUGCAAAAAUAACAGGUGUUUACAAUACCUGGAAAUGGGCACGCCUCUAUGUAAAUUGACAUCAUAGGAUUUUUUUUUAAUAGGAGAGGGAUGGGAUUUAAGAUGUAUGAAAGGAACAGGAAAAUUUGAAUCCAAUACCUCGGAGCUCUCAAAAAUAGCAUCAAAGUAAUUUUCAAAGAAGUAUAUGUACUCCCUCAUUCCCACUUUGAUAGUUUUGGUUUUUCAUUUUAACAUAGUUUAAGUAAAAUUAAUUAAUUUUGUUGGAAGAGUAAAUCUAGUCUAGUAUUUUUCUAAAAUACCCUUAUAUUGAUAUUAGGACUAUAACUAAUUGCUAUACUUUUACAUUAAUUACAAUAACAAUACUAUGAAAGUUGCACCAUUCAAGAUAUGAAUCUAAGCAAUUAAUGAAUGACAUAGAUUAUAUUCACUGAUAACAAAGUACAUUAAAUAAGAAUAUUUUAGAGAAGUUAUAAGUUAAGUAUAUAUUUUCAAUUGAAAAGUAGAUUAUAGUUUGGGACGAAUGAAAAAGGAAAACAAGAUUAUCAAUGUGGGAUGAAGAACGUAUAUAGAAUGUGUGACGCUUUUGUCCAAUGAUAUGAAAUGAGAAUACAAAACAAUACCUAGUUUUAUGGAAACAUGGAUCUUCGCCUAAGAAUACUCAAGUUGUAGAAAUGAAGACUUGGAUUCCUUAUUAAUUGGGUAAGAAGCUAUAUAGGAGUAUACUAAAAGAAUGGUAAAUAUUACUUAAAAACUUCAUAUGUUUUGUGUCGCGCCCCAUUUUUUAAAAAUAAAAAGGGAAAGGUGUUAGAAAAACGUGUUUUUGAUUUUAUUUUUAGAAAAUAAAGAAAAAUGGCCUAAAAUGGGACAUAUAAAGUGUGACGGUUUAGGCUCAAAAUUUAGUCUUAAAAAGGGUUUUUUUAAAAGAAAAAUAAGAGGCGCCACUUGGUAUCGAGUUUAGGUGUAUCAAAUCAUCUAAAAUGUAUUUUAAAUAAAAAAACCAAUAAAACCUUUUUAGACGACUCCAGAUAUUUGAAAACGAGAGAAAAGAGUUCGGGAGUCAUGUUUGAAGAAAGAGAAGACAAAGAUUUGAUUUAAAGCACCCUUUCAACUUAACCAAAGUUAGUUGCGGGAUUUAGUCAAAAAUUCUCCUAAUCUAACCUAUAAAAUUUAUCACAUUUUUUAUGUUUUUAUAUGGAUGCAAUUCUAGACCUAAGGGAUAUCAAAAGGAUUGAAAUGUCUCUUCAAAGUUAGACGACUCCAGAUCUUUGAAAAUGAGAGAAAAGAGUUCGGGAGUCACGUUUGAAGGAAGAGAAAACAAAGAUUUGAUUUAAAACACCUUUUCAACCUAACCAAAGUUAGUUGUGAGAUUUAGUAAAAAAUUCUCCUAAUCUAACCUAUAAAACUUAUCACAUUUUUUAUGUUUCUAUAUGGAUGCAUGUCUAAACCUAAGGGAUAUUAGAAGGACUGAAAUGUCUCUUCAAAGUUUAAUUGGUACCAAUCACAUUAAUUGUGAAGUCCAAGAAUAAUUCUUUGAAUAGGUCAUGAAAAAUGCAAAAGAUGAGACACAAAAAAAAAGAAAAUAUAAUAUAUAGAUAAACAUACAUGACUUAGAAGAGAGGAAUGCAACAUAACGGGUAUGGGAUGCUAAAAUUCGUCACUCAAUUUUCCUUCUUAUAGAGGGGUAAUAGCGUGUUAAGGUUAAAAAAUCAUAGUCGUUCAUUUUCCACAUUCGAAGAGUGACUCUUUUAAUCUAAGCAAGCAAAUGAACUAGCCUAUUUCUAAAAUGAAAUACAAUUUUAAAUGAUAUGGUCCAAACAUAUAAAGGGUAAGGGGAUGAUAGUAGGGAAAAUAUCAUGCAAAUGAUAAAAAAUUCUAAAAUAGGAAAAAAAUGCAUGAGAUGCAAUAAAUGUCACACCAAAGUAUGAAUCUAACGUAUCAAUGAUCUAAAGAGUCUAGUGUUGAGUUAGUCCAUUUCUAAAAGUCCUCACUAGCGUUGCACUAGUGAGAAAUUGAGAAGAAAAGUCACAACUAGCGUUGGACUAGUGUGGUGAUGUCAUGCAUUCAUUAUAAAUAAAUAAAGCAUAUAAAACAUAAUUAAAGUCAAUAAACACAUAAACACAUAGAGCACGUAGUACAUAGACAUAAUAUUUAAAUGGAAAAUCUUAGAGAAAACGAAUAAAACACAUAAGCAUACAAGCAUGCAAGCAAAUAAAAACUAAUUAUUACAUUGGGAGUCCUAACUACAAUCUAGAAAGGAAUUGUGAAAAUAAUAAACCUAUCUAUUAUAUUUAUCUAACUAAUUAUAUUUUUGAUAAAAAUAAAAUCUAUCUAUUACAUGGUCUAACUAAAUACAUUUCUUGGACACCUAUUUAUUACAAUUUGGCAUUUAAAUGCCUCUCAAAUAAGCAUAAAAAAUUAAAUAAAAUGAAUGAAAACCUAAUUGGAUAAAAUGAGUAAAUGAAAAAAAAACAUUCAAAACAUUCAAUUAUACAUAAAAAUGCAUAGGAGCACAUAAAGGAAUUUAAAAUAAUAAUAGAAGGUACCUCCUUUGAAGUAGUGGUUAAAUGAGGUAAAAUUUUCCCUAUUUAUACUCCAAAACCGACAAAAAAGUUAAGUCACCAAUUUAAUUAACAAUUUAAAAGAAAAAUGUAAACAUAUAGCAAAUUCACUUUAUUACUAUAAAGAAAUAUGAAUAUACAUAAAAUCCAUAAAAUUUACUAAUUAAAUGCAUUUAAAUGAAGCAUGAUUGACAAUUAAAGAAGGUAAACAAUUAUACUUAAGAAAUCAAACCAUUAGGGAAUUAAUUGUAAAAAAUUGAAAAGUUUUUAGGCCAAAUUAUAGUUUUUACUCCACCGUUACUCCAUUACUCAACUCAAGCGUUAUAUUCCGGCAAUGUCGCCCUCAGGGGCUUGGCCUGGUGGUUGAGGUUGCUGAAGAUGGAGCCUCAGGUCCCUGGUUCGAACCUUGCUGCCAGCAAGUUGCUGAGGGUGGUGAAUAGUCUGCGGGGUCCACUCCCUGCGGGACACACAUAAAAAGACAUUCAUACCUGAUGGUUAAUUAUAGUAAAUGCCCUCAAGGUAUUACAGGUUUUAUAUUUUACCCUAUAAAAUUAUCUUUUUCUCAAUUUGUAGUUUUGUCCCAAGACCAUUAUGUAACUCCAAUGUUUUAUAACACCCAAGAAAAACAAUGUCUAAAAAUAUUUAUAUCGUUGACAUGAUAGUGAGCAAAAUAAUAUCUUUAUGGGUAUGAGUCUAGUUAAAUUUUAUCUUUUAAUGACACUUUUUUUUAUAUAGAGGGACAUAUCUUGCACAUUUCAUGCCAUAAAUUGCAAAAUAACAAAGUCUUAUUUAAUAAUUAAAAUGUGAAAUAUUACUAAAUUUCUAAAAACUGCUUAAUAACUAUUAAUCUCUCUUUUUGAUUGUGCAUAUAGGUUUAAUUUUCAUUUAAUGGCUAGAUUUUUGGUUUAUAUAAAAAUAUACACUUUUUCCUAUUAGUAAUACUCAAAAAUGGCAAAAACAUGAUGGAUUUGGCUUCCAAAGCUUCUAUAAUCAAUUUGUAAUGCUGAGAGCUACUUUCUUCAAAUUUCAACGAUUUAUUAUAGGGCAUUUUUUGUUAUAUUGGUGAAUUUAACUAAUAAGGGAACAAAGUGAGAAAAAGACAAUAUAUUCAUGGGGGGAAUCUUAUAAAUAAUCCAAGUUUGAUACUCAAAAAACAUUUAGGGAAAAUGGCCAAUUUAGUCCCAAAACUUUUUAUUUCUGUCGAUUUAGUCCUUAUAUAUUAUUUGUAGCCAAUUUAAUCCUUAAACUUAUAUUUCGAUUCCAAUUAAGGAAUUCAACGGCGGAGCCACCGCACCGUUUCCUUCAAGUUCCUAAUUGAGCAACCCAAAAGGGGUAUUUUUGGAAUUUUAAUGAUGGGGCGGUAACAAAAAUUAAAAAGAAGUGACAUUAAACAAGAAUUAUACACAAAAUGUUGAUUACUAAAACAGUAGUAAUUCUUCUCUUCCUCCUCAUCGUCCCCUUCAACAAUGAUGCUGCCACCUCCAAUUCCUCCGCUAAGCAGCAGACUCUGCCAAACACAGUCGGACUCCUAGUUCAACCCAAAGCUUGCCCCUAAGUCCCUCUCCGCCUCCAAGAAAUUUGAGGGCUCCUCCGACUUGGUCGACCUUCGCUACAACAUGGGCCUCGUCCUCUCCUCCCCGAUCAACAUCUACCUCAUCUGAAGGCUGGUGGGCCGCCUCCCACCAGCUGCUCAUCAAGGACUUCCUCCUCUCCAUCUCCACCUCCGAUCGCCGCGCCGCUCCUUCCCCCUCCGUCUCCCAGUGGUGGCACACCGUCUCCUUCUACACCGACCAGACUAGCGCUAACAUCUCCAGCUCCGUUCUCGUCGUUGGGGAGUACUCCGACCCCCGCUGCUCCUAGGGCACCCACCUCACCCGCCUCUCCAUGCAGCAGGUCAUCGCCACAGCGGUCCGAUCGAAGUGCUUCCCCGUCGACCACAAGAACGGCAUCUACCUCAUCCUUACCUCCGGGGGUGUCACUGUCCAAGAUUUUUGCCGGGCUGUUUGCGGCUUCCACUACUUCACCUUCCCGUCCGUGGUGGGCUACACACUACCGUACACCUGGGUGGGCAACUCCGAGAAGCAGUGCCCGGAGGCGCGGACCAGGAGCACUGGCCCCUCCGAAUGCGAAUGAUAAGCAUGAUCGGGCACGAGCUGGCGGAGCUGGCAUCGAACCAACUGGUACGCAGAGGAGGACCCUAUGGCGCCAACGGAGAUCGGGGGCCUGUGCGAGGGGAGACAAAUAUUUCACGGAACCCAUGAAAGGGCAUUCUCCGAUAUUGGGGAUUUUGGAAUUAAUGGUUGUUCUGUUCAAAGCCUUUCUUGUUCUUCCCCUUGCGUUCCUUGGUACCUUUGCCAGGACACCCAUCAGCCAAGUCCAAAAGGAUGGCUUCUCCCUUGGCAUAAGAAAUCCCUUCGGCAGCAUUCAAUUUGGUUUUGGAGGCCAAGAUGGCAGUAACUUUGAUGGCUUCCAGCAACCUCCUGAUGGCACCCAGCAGCCCUCCGGCAAGGAACCCGAAUUCCGUACAAAUUUCCGAGGUCAUUGGGAGAUUCAUUCUGAAAAUGCUGGAGUUUCAGCCAUACAGUUCCAGUUGCUGCCUAACAACAAAGCCGUGUGGUUUGACACCACCAACCUUUGCCUUUGCGGAUUUCAGUUUGACCCUCCAUAUUGUCACCCUCCUAUCCAAAAUCAAAAGUGGAUGGAAAGAGGAGGAUAAGAGGAGGAGGUGGGUGGUUGGUGGCGGAGGUUGGCAGUGGAGAGAAGAUAAUUUAAAGUUCCCAAAAUGCCCUUGUUUGAUGUUAAAUUAGGGGCCAAAUUGCUUUUAGACGGCGGCGCCGCCGUAGAAGGCUUUAAUUGGACUCGAAAAUUAAGUUUAUGUAUCAAAUUGGCCAGAAAUAAAAGUUAGGGACUAAAUCGACAGAAAUAAAAAGUUUAGGGACGAAAAUGGCCAUUUUCCCAAACAUUUAUUGUGCUUUGUCUUGAUCUAUGGAUAAUUUGGACAACUAUGAUGAUCUACUCAAAUUUUUUCAGGCUCAAAAGCAGUAAGCCCCAAAACUUUGGGAUGCUUUGCACUAUAGUCUCUAAUUUUUUUUUUUUUUUGGGUGCCAUUUUAGUACUUGUGUUAGUCAAACUUAACAUUUUGACUGUUAAAUGGUAGUAAUUUCCAAAAUUACUCCAUCAUAUAUGAAAAAAAUACCUGUUGUCCUAAAUUUAAUAAAAAGAUCUCCACAAUGCUUUCACCUAAGCAAAAACCCAGUAACCAUUUUGUAUAAUUUUAAAAAAAAUUUAAAAAAUUUUUUUUUUUUAAAAAAAAGAAAAAAUCACAACGCUUUUAAUCAACUUAGAUGAAGUGUUGUAUUUUUAACACUUCUUCGUCAACAAAUUUUUUUAAAUCUAUCUAAACAAACAUUUCUGUCUUUCACUUAUCUUUUUGCUUCAAUACGUUUUGUACCUAGGGAUUUAUGCUUCCUUUUCCCUCAAAAUUAUGAGCAAAAUACAUUCGUUUCCAGAAUAGAGAAUUAGCAAUAGCAAUGCUAUUAUUCAUGUUCAACUCAUUUGAAUUUGAAAAAUUUUGAUCACAGAAUAAAAAAAUGAAACUUUUUUUUACCCUAAUAAACAAAUAAACAUGAAAACAAGAUUGAAAUUGUUUGCCAAUAGACAAAUUAGUGUGCAAGCGGAUUGAUUAUGUUAGUGAACCCCCUCAAAAAAUUAUAUUGUUACCCCACUUUGCCCCCUUAUUCUCCUUACCAGCAUUGCUAACCAAUGCAAGUAAAUAUUGCGAUACUUCUUUUCUACAAAAUGAGGACGUACGUAAAUUUAUCAGAUAGAAAAUAGAGAGAAAAAAAAAAAAGGACAACAAGGAGUGAGGCCAUUUUCUCGUUUUAUAUUCACAUUUUAGUCACAUUUUAGAUUGUAAAACUCAACCUCCUUUAAUUUUCAAUUUCAUUUGAAUGUUAUUUUAAUUUUUUAUCUUUGUUCUUCAAAUUUGGCAUAUUUCCUCCAAAAAUUUUUUUAAGGAAAAGUACAUAAAACAUUGGCACGUGAAGUUGGUGGCAGGCAUUUAGCUUGUAUUCAAGUGGCCGCGAGGGUGGAGUAUCACUUGUAUUCUGGGUAACUGUUCUUGGACUAAGACCACUCAAGGGUAAGUUGUUUUCACCGGUGGGGUUUUUGAUGGCUUAUCUCCUUCUUAUCAUGUUUGCUCAUGGACGCAUGGAGACGAAGGCCCGGCGUUGUCUGUUUUGGUCAUCGGGCCUAAUUGUUGGGAGAUUGAAGAAGAUCUAAAUGAAAAAGAGAUAACAAAUGUAAAAUGACUUGUCUGGCUGUGAAAGUUUGCCCUGCAGUCGAAAUCCAUUAUUAGUUGUAAUGUUGUUUCUUAAUUUCAGAAACCUCCAUUGAGGUUUCCAACAAUAUCAUUUGAUACCCCUAACUUUUGAGAAAUCUCACCUACUUCUUGUAUUUUUAACUUUUGUAACUUUAUCAACUCAUUUCAAAAGAUAUGAUUUAAAAACACUUUGGAAGAGAUAGAACGUUUUUAGUCCAAAAUUACCCUUUUCUUGAGAACUUUUAAUUUUCAUAACGAACCAAGAUAAAUCCUUAAUAAUAAGGUUGAAAGACCUUUUGCAAUUUUUGAAAUCAUUGGUCUAGAAAAGAAAUGCAAAAAAAUUUAUUAUAAUUAGAAAAAAUAACAUUUUAGGUUUUCAAAAACAUCCCAAAUGAUUUUGUAAACAUAAUUUUAAAUAUUCUCUGUAUUUUCAAUAUUCAAGUCAUUGAUCUAUACAAUAAAAUUUAGAGAGUUCAGAAUCCUUAAAUUUAUAAAAUUCUCAAAUAAGUGAAACACCUUACAGUGAAUGAAAUAAUUUUUUUUUUUUUUUUGUCAUGAAGCAACAUAAAGACACUCUUAAAUAGUAUGUUUUCAUACUCUCUGUCUUCAUUUUCAGGCUUUUAGCAAUGUAUGUUUACUUUUAGAAAAUAGUAGGAUAACACAAGGGCAAUUUUGGCAUGAAAAUAUUUCUUAUUGAUAUCAGAAUUAAGAGAAUGGAAAAUGAAAUUCCGGUCGAUCGACACAAUGCAUGGGACAAAAAUGGACCAAAGCCUUGAUAAUUGCAGGUCCCAUUGAUACCCCAGAUCUUGGCCAUAUCAGCUAGGGCUAAUUUGGGUCAUCCAAUCUAAUUCUUUUUUUAAGAAGAACUUUUUAUUAUCAAAAUUGAUGGCAUAGAUAUAAAUCACAUCAGCUCGACCCUAUUUGACCCGUUAAUUAUACAUAUACUAGUGGAAUUGUAGAUAAUGAUAAUAAUUCUUAUAAAGUAAGAAUUAUUCUAUAGCCCCUCUUCCUUCUUGCCCCUUCCUCCCUUCACAUCAAAAGACCACCACCACAACUUACUCCACCCCUUGUUUGCAAAGCCAAUCAACAAAUUUUUGCCUACAUAUCAACCUCGAUUAUCUUGCUUUAUCCCCUUUUCCUUCCCAAAUUGAAGAACCAAUACCAUAAUAAAAUGUUGUUUUGGGACAAGAAUAGGUUUAAAAGGUGUUCGUAGGUUGUCAAUAUAUCUUGUAUCCAUUCCAUUCCUCUAGAUAAAAACAUCCUUCUCCGGCUGUUAAUCCAAACGACGCAGGUCCAAAUUAUAUACAUUCUAAUUGAAUCGGAUAUGGAAUUACAUAUUCAAACCCAUUUUUGACCUGGAUCUAAUUUAUAUAAAUAUAUGUAAUAAAUAACAUAUAUUCAAUAUACUUUCGUUGUUAAUCGACAUGUUUUCUCUUGAAAAAAGAAAAGAUGUGUCCAAUGAAUCAAGUAAUUCUCGAAAUUUUUCUUAUUGAUUUGUUACUAUUUUAUUAAUAAAAUAUGUGUACAAUUGAAUAUUAAACUUAUUAUAACUUUAUUAUAUUGAAUUAAUUUUUCAGUGGGGAGAGAUAGGUUGGAUUGUACAGGGAAAGGGAAUGUAAGUGAGAGAUCUCAACCCUCUCACUUACACACACAAAAAAAAAAAAAAAGAGAGAAUUGAUUUUAUGGAUUGGAUAUAUUAAAUUGAAACCGGAUCCAGUUUUACAUAUUAAAACAAGACUCAAUUGGUAAACGGACCUAGAUUCGGAAGAAUUAUUCUAGGUUUGAAUUUAUCAAUUCCAACCUGAAUUUGAUCAGUUUAUUCUUGGUGUUCUAAUUAUAUUAUUUCACCUAAUUUUAGAUUCUAAUUUUGAAAAGUUAGCUUUUCUUUUUUAAUUUCUCUUUUGCUUUUAAUUUGUAUAUUAUAUUUUUUAAUUGGUAAAAAAGUUAAGAUCUAGAGUAUAGUCAAAAGUAGUUUUUGCUAAUUCUGAUUAAUCCAUUUUUUUAAAAAUCUACAACUACUGACAACAAUCCCAUAAUCCUUUAAGUGGCUUGCAUAUCAAUACUGGUUAAAACACUAUUACCUAACAAAAUAAUAUGAUAUUGUUUGCUUUUAAAAUGUCAAAUUCUUUGUUCUACUCAUCUUUAAAGUGAAAUCUGAUUCGGGAUAAAAUUCACGGUUUUUGGAAGUCAAAAUCUCUCUCUCUCUCUCUCUCUCUCUCUCUCUCUCUCUCUCUCUCUCUCGAGUUUGUGACACGAUUUUGGGGAGGGGGGAAGGGGCAAAGUUACAAAAAUAGCAAAAUUUUACUUUAUGAGUGUAAGUUUGAAAAUUAUAAAAAUAUAUCUUAGAUUUUUUAUUAUAUCACUUAAUGAUUUGGUCUUGAUAUUUAAUCCCAAGUCAAUUUAAAAUAUUUUAAAUCUAUGAAGAAGUUUUUUAUGAUCUCAAGAUGAUUUUUAAUAGAGUAAUAAUAAACGGCAAGUCGACAAACCAUAAAAAGAAAGCUAUGUUCCCAAUAUUGGAUCAAGAUACACAUUAAUAUAUCCAAUUCAUAUAACUAUUCAUGUCUCUACCUUCUUAUUUCUUACGUACCAGAAAAAAUGAAAUAGAAAAAAAUAACUACUCUUUGUAUUAGUACCAAAUUUCAAGAAAUAAAUAUAUACUACUAAUGUUUACGCUCACAAUGCACGAACGAUAUACCCUAUUAGUUAUAAAUGUUCAUGAAGAGACCUUUUUAGAGAUAAUACAUAAAAUGCUAAAAAAGCAUGCAUUUUGAAGUUAAAUUAUGUAUAUGAACUAACUAACAGUAAUCUAAAAGUAUUUAAUAGCUAUUCUCAUGAAGCAAAAAUUAGAUUGGGGGAUGGAAAUGGAAUUUUAUUUUUUAAAUGCUAAGUUGGGGGGGGGGGUGUGGGAGGGGGAAAAAUUAUGAUUUUAAAUGAAAAUUCUUAAAACUAUUCAAGGGUCAAAAAGGAUUUUUCAAAACUUGGGAGGAGGGGAGGGAAGAGGGUUAUUGGACGAUGGAGGGGAACAGUGACGGAGCUACGUAUAUGUUAGGGCCCUCAAUUUUUUUGAAGCCAUAGAAUAGCCUAUGAAAAAUUUAGUUUGUUUUUGUAUUUCCUCCACUCUUGCCCCCCUUGAAUUUUGAUAGUAAACUUUGAAAUAAAAUAUAUUAGAUGAUGCUAUAUCAUUUUGUCUUUGUAAUAAAUUUUACUUACUUAACAUUGGACUUUUCUUAUAUGUCUAGCAAUAUGGAUUACAAAGCAAACAAAAUAUUCAUAAAAAAAUUGAGGAAAAUGAAAACAACUACUUUUUCUUUUUCUUUUUCUUUUUUAUGCACUUUUUUUUUAAAGUUUUCCUUAAAUUUUGCUUACUAAUUCGAUACUCAAAUCUUUUACAGCAUUUUUUGACCUUUUGGACAACUAAAAGUACUCUCGUAAAUUUUUUUCAAAUUUUAAUUUCUAUAUUUUGUCAAAGACAUUUUUUGAAUUUAGUUUUAAGCUCAAAUUUUCAUUUGAAGUUAAAAAAUACAAAAGGUUUUUUUCCUUUUAUAUGUAUUUUUCUAUGCAAUUUUAUGGUAUUCUUUCUCUUUCAAGUUUGCAUUUGUUUUGUAUCUAUAAAACUUGUUCUGCCAUGAAAAUCAAAUAAGUUAUGUAAACUUAAACUUAGUAAAAAAAUAAAAAAUUGAGAAAUCUUAUAUAUAUAUAUAUAUAUAGAUCUCUUUACCUCCUUAUCAUAACAUCAUCUAAUUUUUCAAUUUUUGCUCAUCAAGCCAUAGGGGUGAGAAUGAUCAAUUUAUUGGAUAAUUAGUUAAAUCAAAUCAAUUAAAAUCGACUUUUACAUGUGGAUUGGUUUUAGCUUGAAAUUGAAAUAAAAGCAACCAAAUUGAAUUGAAUUAAAAUUGAAUGACAAUUCGGUUAAUCACUUAAUUGAUUUUAUUCAUGUCCAUAUCAAGCAAAUUCAAAUAUUGAUUUGUCGUUAAUUGAAAAAUGAAAUCAAGGAACUUAUAGAAAGGAUAAUUUCAUUCAAUAAAUCUGCACUUCUAGCAGAAAAUACAUCAAAUCAAAUCUGACUUUGAUACAUGCAAAUCUAAAAGUCAAUAGAUGCAACAAAUAUGAACAAUUAAUACGAAUGAUGAUAACAUUAAUACUUCAAUAUAUCUUCAAUCUAGAUGAAUUAUUUUAAAUUAUUAGAUCUGUGCAUGCCUUCUAAUAGUCAGAUUUGAUUAAAAAUUAAUUCAAGUGUAAAGAAAAUUUUAGAUAUGAUAAUAAUUAAGAGAGAAAUUAUAGAUUGAGAAACCAGAUGUACAAAAUCUAAGAUUUCACUAAAAAAAUGAAACAACAAAUAAAACUCUUACAAAGGCAAAAUUUAAGAGAGAAUAAAACUCUCACUUGAAUAAAUUAACAGAGGAAAAACUCACACUAGAAGAUCCUAGGAGUGAAGAAUUUCUCACAAGAAAAUCCUAAGAGACAAUUUAUUUAAAAUAAGAAAAGCUAAAAACUAGAGAGAGGCUCCCUCGCUUGAGGAAAGAUCAGAAUUGUCUGGUCUCUCUCCUAUGGGAAUGCUGAAGAAGAUUUUUACAGGAUGAAUUCUAGAAAGAAUAAGGAGAAAAUAGUUCUAAAGAAAAGGAGAAACAUGUUAAUAACUUAGAAUCUUAUUGAAAUUGAAUUAUGAACUUCAGUCAGCCAAAUAUAUCAAUGUGUUGAACUGAGCCGUAACAUAGUCAAUAAUCAAUAGUCAAUCAUUAAGGUGUGUGUCUAUAUGCACAUAUAUGUAUGUGCAUAUAAACAUGUAUGUAUGCAUCAUAAAAGACGGAUAUAACUAUAGAUUAAAAAAAGUUAACUCAAACAAUCAUGUAAAACUUUAGUCAUAAGAAUAAAUUAUAUACAAUAAUAUACAAUCAGUUUUGGGUUAUCAUAGAAAUCGAAGAUAUGAAAUCUAAAUUUGAAUUGAAUUAUCAAAUUAUGAACUUGGUUUUACUAGAAAUCAAAUUGAAAUUGAAUCCAUUGAAUUCAAUUUAUUGAAUUAAAUUUAAUUCAAUCAAUUAACUACAUUGUUGCUCACCUACAGCGAGCCAAUGUCAGGCUCCUGGGUUUGAGCUUCGUGAGAUACAGAGGAGGAAGGCGACUACAAAAGAGGAUUUGGGGAAAAGAAUGGGAAAGGAAUGAGAAAUGAGGGGAAGAGAGAAUUAGACCAACAAGAGAGAGAAAGUAAUAAAAGUCAUAUUAAGUCUGAUGGCCCCUUUCUGUUACACCUUCUAUUUAUAAUAGCAGCUAAUCAGUAGGAAACUAAUCACUCGUGAACUUAACAGAAUAACUAAUCCUAACCAACUACCAGAAUUAUUCCAACGGCAUCGUUUCAGGUCGCAGCUCCUAAUUUUGCUCUAUUACUGAAACGCACAUGCUAAUGCAUAAAACGACAACUUCUAUCUUAAGUUCCUGACAAUCCCCUCCUCAUAAAGAAAGCUUGUCCUCAAGCUUUAAAGUCUAGAAACAUUUUGUCAACGAAACUUUUAUCCUCCCAGGAAGCCUCAGAGUCUGGCAACUGGUUCCACUUGACCAGAUAUUGUAUAACAGGUUGAGAAUUCCUCAUGAUAAUCUUGCGUCUAAGCACUUGCUCCGGUUGCAACAAGCACUGGUCAGAGGAGUCCAACUCGGGCAAGACUGCUUCAAUGGACUGACCGUCACCAAUUUUCUUUUUAAGAAGUGAAACGUGAAACACUGGAUGAACUCUAGCUCCCGACGUCAACCGUAACUUAUAGGCUACAGCCCCCACCUUCUCAAUAAUUUGAAAAGGCCCAUAAUACUUGGCCGACAGCUUUAGACUCCUCCUGAUAGCUACAGUUUGCUGCCUAUAAGGUUGCAACUUAAGGUAAACCCAUUCCCCUACCUGCAAAGUUCUCUCUGUCCUGUGUUGAUCAGCGUAGUGCUUCAUUCGAUUCUGAGCCUUAGCUAAGUUUUCUUUGAUUUGGGACGUGAUCUGUAGCCUUUCCUGUACCAUAUCAGCUGCAGCUGGUAUUAUAGUGUCAUGAAAUGGUCCCAAGGGAAUAGGGGUCGGCUUGUACUCGUAUAAUGCCUCAAAAGGGGAUAGCUGUAAGCUGGUAUGGAAGUUGGUGUUAUACCAGUGCUCCACCGUAGAUAACCACACACUCCAUUGUGUUGGGUGCUCACUACACAUGCAUCUUAUGUACGUUUCCAGGCAUUGGUUAACUCUCUCGCUCUGCCCGUCGGACUGUGGGUGAUAGGAAGAGCUGUAAUGGAGUUUAGUACCCAACAUCUUAAACAUUUCCUGCCAGAACCUACUGAGAAACACCCUGUCUCUAUCCGAAAUUAUCACCUCAGGUAGACCAUGGAGUUUAUACACAUUAUCAAGGAAAGCCAUAGCUAUCUGCUGAGCUGAGUAGGGGUGCGAGAGUCGCAUAAAAUGGCUGAACUUAGUAAAGCGAUCUACUACCACGAAGAUAGUAUCAAACCCGUGAGAUAAAGGCAAUUGCUCGAUGAAAUCCAUGGUUAUUUGGGACCAUGCCUGCUGAGGAACUGGAAGUGGCUGUAACAGCCCGGGGUAAGGAACAUUUUCGUGCUUAUUCCGUUGACACACGUCACAAGAUCUCACAAACUGUAUGACCUUCUUUUUGAUUCCGGGCCAGUGAAACAGUGCUUGCACCCUUUGUAGACACCCUCUUUGACUGGAAUGGCCCCCAACUGCAGAGUCAUGCAAUGCUUUGAUAAUGUUGCCUCUGAUCCCCUUAGAAGUCCCACAUAUAAUUUGCCUUUGAACUUCAGCAACCCAUUGUCCAAUUGAUAAUCGGAGUUAGAAGUAGGAUCCAGCAGUAGCUGGGGAAUAAGUUCCUGUGCCGUAGCAUCACCCCAGUAACUAUCUAUUAGUUCUUGCAUCCAAGCUGGCUGCGCUGACGAGAUGGCAGUCAGGGUACCCAACUUGGUCGGACAUCCCUCACUGUGCUCAACUAUCCGUCGUCUAGACAAUGUGUCCGCCACUCCAUUGUCAAUGCCUUUCUUGUAUUGGAUCUCGUAGUCGAAACCUAACAACUUGGUCAGCCAUUUGUGCUGUAAAGGAUGUGUGAGCCGUUGUUCAAGUAGGUAUUUGAGGGCCUGGUGAUCGGUCCAGACGACGAAGUGAUGGCCUACCAGGUAAUGUUUCCAUUUAGUGACUACCAUCACCAACGCGAACAGCUCCUUUUCAUACACCGACAGUCCCAAAUUCUGGUUUGCUAGAGCCUUGCUAAGGAAAGCCAUGGGAUGUCCUUGUUGCAUCAAAACAACACCAAUACCCACGCCACAUGCAUCCAUCUCAAUGACGAAUGGGAUGUCAAAGUUAGGCAUGCUCAAUACGGGGGUAGUCGUCAUGGCCCUCUUUAAGUCUUCAAAAGCUAACUGAGCUUCAGAACUCCAUGCGAACCCGUCCUUCUUUAAAAGUUGCGUCAACGGUUUACUGAUUACCCCAUACCCCUUAAUGAACCGUCUGUAAUACCCUGUUAAACCUAGAAAUCCCCUUAGUUCUUUCACUAUUCGGGAUGCAGGCCAAGAAAAUAUGCAGUCGACCUUAGACCUGUCCAUGCUCACGCCUCUUUCCGAUAUCACAUGCCCCAAAUACUCCACCAAAGUUUGGGCAAAUGAGCAUUUAGAUCUUUUGCAGAAUAGUUGGUUGUCUGCCAAGACCCCCAGGACGAUUUGGAGAUGUAGCAUAUGCGACUCAAGGGUGGAGCUAUAGACCAGGAUAUCGUCAAAAAAUACUAACACAAAUUUCCUCAUAUAUGGCUGAAAAAUUCGAUUCAUCAAAGCAUGGAAGGUAGCCGGAGCAUUCGUCAACCCAAACGGCAUAACCAAGAACUCGAAGUGACCACGUCUGAAAGGCAGUUUUGUGUGUAUCCAUUGCCUUAACUCUUAGUUGGUGGUAACCAACUCGAAGAUCCAGCUUAGACAUGUACUUUGUCCCAUGCAACUCGUUCAAAAGUUCAUCUAUGUUUGGUAUGGGAAAUCUGUCUUUAACAGUCAGUUCGUUUAGCUUCCGAUAAUCCAUACAUAGCCUUCAGGAGUUGUCCUUCUUUUUGACUAGCAAAACAGGUGAUGCGAAGGGACUGCUACUGUGAGUAACAAUACCACUAGAGAGCAUCUCAGCCACUUGCCUCUCGAUUUCGGUUUUGUGUGCGUGAGGGUACCGGUAAGGCUUAAGUUUGAAGGGUUUUGCUCCAGGUUUGAGAGUGAUUUGGUGAUCCAACUCUCUUCAUGGGGGUAGACCCUGCGGAGCAGCAAAUACUUGCGAAUACUGUUGUAAUAUCCUUUCUACUUGUUUCGGAAUAUCCUUUGGCUGGAAAUCCUGUGACUCGGCCUGUAGGGAGGCACAAUUCCAUUGCUUCUCUUGUAUGAAGGAUUUGAGGUCCUUCCAACAUACAAGUUCCAUCACAGGUUGGUUCAUAACUCCCCGCAGAUGUAGCAAACUUCCACUACUACUGAGCGCAAUGCUGAGACUAUGGAAAUCAAAAGUAAUGGGACUGAAUUGGUACAUCCAAUCCACCCCCAGUAUAAUAUCCCAAUUCCCUAAAUCCAUUACCUUCAGGUCAAACUGAAACUGAUAGUCUUGUAUUAGCCAACUUACCCUCGGGCAGAUUGCACCACUAGUAAUAUCCGUACCAUCAGCUAAGGUUACUGUAAAAGGGGUAACCUCUUGGUGUGGUAAGUAUAAGGAUUUAACCAGCCCAAAGUGAAUGAAACUGUUUGAAGCUCCAGUAUCUACCAAUAUCUUUAUAGGUAGUCCUCCCAUAUUACCUAACAGAAUGAUAGAUUUCCUGCUCAUGGCUCCAUUUAAGGCAUUCAGUGAAACUUCGGCCAGCUCCCCUACUCGACCAGUACUUUCAUCUUGUUCCCCUUCAGCAUCCUCAAAAUCUGUGUCAUUUCCUUCAUCUAGAUCAAUGCAGUUCAAGUUCCCCUGCUUACAACGAUUACCUGCCCCAAACUUGUCACCACACCUGUAGCACAGGCCAUGUUUGUGUCUAUAUUGUAUUUCUUCUGUAGAAAUUUUAUUAAACUCCCUAGCCACAUUCUCCUGCCUAUUGGAGUUUGGAGUAAUGGAAGGAAUGCGGUAGGAGUUGGCUGGCUUCUGAUUGUUCCGUUGGGUCUUAAACAUUCCAAAUCUGGACUCCAACGCAGUUUUAUUAGUGUUUCGUGGUUGUCUUGAUUGCAACUCUAAGGAAUAUUCUUGUAGUUCAGCUACCUCGAAAGCCUUUGAUAGGUUUUUUGGCUUGAACAUCUUCACCAUUGGCUUGAUUUCCUCCUUCAAGCCACUGAUGAAACUGGAAACAAAGUAAGGCUCAUCCAGCCUAGGAUUUCUAAGUAACAUAAGAGUUUUUAGCUCCUCCAAAUUUUCUUCAUAUUCCUCUACUUUACCUGUUUGUUGUAGCUUAUUAAAUUCCUCCACCACAUCUCGUGAAGUCUUACAGGCAAAUCUCUCACUAAGGUCACUAAAUUCUGACCAGGAAAGGUUAGGCCGCUCGAGUUUCACCCCUUGAAACCAGUUGUCGGCUUUCCCCUCCAAAAACAUCUCUACCAUUUCCACCUUCUGACUAUCAGGAAUCUGGUAGUUCUGAAAAUAUUUCUGGCAUUUCCUAAGCCACUCCCUAGGGUUACCCGCAGCAAACAUAGGUAAUUCCAAUUUUGGCAAGACAAGGUUGAAUUGCUUACUUUUGAGCUCCAGAUGAGAGGCGUGCACUCCAUUCUGAUGUCCAAGCUUCAUAUGCGUAGGUGGAGUCGGCAGCAGCGGCUCUGAAGGUCGCGAUUCCAGCUCGGAGCAGCCUUUUUCCUUCAGCAUCACAUUCAGCAAGUUGUUAAACUUUUGUUCAAUCGAGCUAAACUUCUGAUCUAAGUUUUCCACUAGCGCUUCCAAUCGUUAGCUUUUCUGCUCAAGUUCCUCCUGAAACCUCUGUUGACAAGAGACUUGUACAGUAGCCAUCGAUUCCACCAACUCCUGCAAAUGGCUAUCUUGCUUCUUGAUCUAAUCUUCCAGGGUGCGGUAGCGAGUAUUCUCCGCCAUUUCCGUAUCAAAUACAGCCAAGGAUCGGCUGCUCUGAUACCAGAUGUCAGGCUCCUGGGUUUGAGCUUCGUGAGAUACAGAGGAGGAAGGUGACUACGAAAGAGGAUUUGGGGAAAAGAAUGGGAAAGGAAAGAGAAAUGAGAGGAAGAGAGAAUUAGACCAAUAAGAGAGAGAAAGUAAUAAAAGUCAUAUUAAGUCUAAUGGCCCCUUUCUGUUACACCUUCUAUUUAUAAUAGCAGCUAAUCAGUAGGAAACUAAUCACUCGUGAACUUAACAGAAUAACUAAUCCUAACCAACUACCAGAAUUAUUCCAACGACAUCGUUUUAGGUCGUAGCUCCUAUUUUGCUCUAUUACUGAAACGCACAUGCUAAUGCAUAAAACGACAACUUCUAUCUUAAGUUCCUGACAGCCAACCAGUUGAAAUCUUGACCCCCUGAUCCCUAACUUUAUUCGUAUCACAAUUCAAAUUUUGAAACAUUGGCUUAGGGUAGGGACAAAAUUCGAGAGAGAAAGAAAUGUGACAUGGUGAAUCCUCUCGCUAGUGUAGAGGAAGCUCUCUCUUGGGGUAAGAGCCCACCUCCCUCUGGUGGGAGUUCCAGAAAACUUUCAAAACUUUUCAAAAUUUCAUACUAUCCCGCACUUUCUUCACACAAUUUCCCAGCCAUCAUCACUACCAAUCUGGUUUUGCAAAAAAGGAUAGAUUAUUGCGGUACCAACCAUCGUACCCAGGAAACUUUAAGGAUGUCUCUCCAGGGGAAACACAAGGCAUUUUAAGUCCAACUCUUUAUGAUUAGCUGUAGGCAAGGUAUAUCUUGAUUAUCUCCUUUCCCUUGUUCUCGUUUUUGAGGUAAUGCCUGUACACGUGCUUUUAUUUUUUCAGUGUUUAACGUUUGUCUGGUUUUUUUCUUUGUCUUAAGACUGAUUGGUCCCCUUUUGGUUAGUUUCUGUAUAGACGUGCUUGUUGUCCUCUGUUUUUUUGUUUUCUUUCUACAUAGCUACUCUCUGUGUUUUUCUUUUCUUCUAAAACUUGGCUGGUAGUUGAAUAGGCGUAACUUUCUGAGUUCAGAGUAAGAAUACCCCUAGCAUCUCAGGAAUUAUCUAUGGAGGGAGACUUGACUGAGCUUUUACAAAGGUUCUCUCUGGAGGGUAAUGAGAUCUCUGGAGCUAAACUGGAGUUGGAGGACCUGAGCAGUGGAGUGAAGGACUGUAAAGGAAGCCUGAUAGGAAGAAUAAUGGGGGAGAAAAUAGCAAAUUUCACGGGAGUAAAGAAUUUUGUGACUGCAGCAUGGAGCUACCCCAAGAAUCUGACAGUCAUGGAAUUGGGACCGAACUUGUUUCAAUUUAAUAUCCCAAACCAUGAAGAAAAAGAAAGAAUAGUGACAGGAGGUCCUUGGUUAAUGGAUAAUCAAAUCUUAGUGUUGAACAGAUGGUCUGAAGGGAUAGAAGACGAUUACGGUGCUUUUGUUACUGCUCCCUUGUGGGUCCAGAUCUGGAACCUUCCUGUGCACUGGCUUUCCAAAGAGGUGGGACGAAAAAUAGGAGCAGUGUUUAAGGAUGUUAAAGACGUAGUUAUCCCUCAGGGAGGGGGAAAAGAAGGUAGGCAUUUGAAAGCACUAGUUCGUGUUGAUCUGUCAAAACCCCUGCUAAGAGGAACUUUGGUGCAGUUAGCAGGGUCACUCAGAUGGGUUGUUUUUAAAUACGAAAGGUGCCCGAAUUUCUGUUAUAAGUGUGGAAUAGUUGGACAUGGGGAACGUACUUGUAAAGAACACAUAACUAUCUCAGGAGAUCUUCUAGAGAACCAAUACGGACCAUGGAUGCGUGCUGGAAUUAAUAGAAGCCCUUCUAAGGAAAGAGUAAGGAGGGAUGAUACUGAGAAGGAUAAAAGAUAUUGGAAGUUCCAGAAGGGAGAAAUGGUGGAGAGAGAGAAGGGUAGGACCCAAUCAGGAGAGGUGCUUCUGGAGGCUCUUAGGACAUCAGGUUUAGGAUCUAGAAGAAAUCAGGACCCUCCGAAAGAGCAGGAGGGUGAAAGGGAGGUCCUGAAUAAUUGUAGGGAUCCCUCGAUUAUUGUGGAAACCAGUGGAAGGGAACUAGUAAGUAGUGAAGCUCUCAAACCCUCGAGCAAGGAAAAACUUGAUAGUCCUCUACUAACACAGGAAAAUGUAGAGGAGAACCUGACUCUAGUGGAGGUGGAGGACAUGGAGGAGGACAGGGAGCAAUGCACAAGAUGGCUGGAACAGGAGAACAUACUUCAAGAGGUUCCAGUUCAAGAGGUAGAAAGGCAGGGAGAGCCCCAAGAUACUACCAAGAUUCAAGAGGCUAUUAAAAAGCAAGCCAAAAGAUCUUAUAAGAAGCUGAAAUUCCCUAUGCAAACAAGAAGGGCUCUGAAAGAGAGGAAUGGUCAGGAUGCUAUCUUUGAAGGACGAGGGAAAAGAAAAAUUCAGUUGUUUGAUGAGGAUAUGGAGGAUGUGCAUCAGCAAGAGACAACAGGCAAACGUACUAAGCCAUUCCAGAUUGUGGGAUACACAGCUAUGACAGAGGUGGAGGUGGGGUCCUUCCCUAAUGGGGCCCCCAAAAGGAAAUGAGGGCUUUGGUGUGGAACUGUCAAGGUGUGGGGAGCCCCUUGACAGUUCCCCAUCUGAGGGAGGUGAAUAACCUCCUCUCUCCAAACUUGAUCUUUUUGAGUGAGACCAAGAACAGAAGACUGGUAGUUGAUAGGAUCGCUAGAGGGUUAAGGUUUGAUAAUUGUGUGGUAGUGGAAGCUAUGCACAAGUCAGGAGGUAUGGCUGUGAUGUGGAAAGAGGAUACUAAGGUCCUUGAAGUUAAUCAGACUGCUUUUACUAUAGAGGUCAGAAUUGAGGAUUAUGAGCAUCACUGUGACUGGUGGUUUGUAGGGAUUUAUGCGAGCUGUGAUGCUCAGAUUAGAAAGGAACAAUGGAGAGUCUUAAGAGAUAGAAGUAGGCUGUGGGGUGACAGAUUCUUGAUUGCAGGAGAUUUCAACGACAUAGUGUCGAAUGAUGAGAAAUGGGGUGGAACUAUCAGGGAGGAGAGAAGCCUAAAAGAUUUCAAGGUUUUUAUUGAUCAGAAUAAGUUGACAGAUUUAGGCUAUGAGGGACACCCUUGGACUUGGAGUAACCAUUGGGAGGAUGAGGGAGAAAUCAGACAGAGGUUAGAUAGAGGCCUUGCUAGUUAUGAAUGGGUCCAGAUUUUUGAUAAGACAAGUUGUCAACACCUGGACACUUAUGCUUCUGACCAUAGUAUGCUCCUCUUAGACACUGAGCCACACAAGGUGAAAAGGAAAAAGAGGUUUUACUUUGAUAAACGUUGGAUACAAAGGGAAGAGUGUCAACAGGUUGUGGAGAAAGCUUGGCAGUUUGAAGAGCCGGGAUCACGUAUGUUCAGGAUUACUAAGAAAAUCAGGAACUGUAGAAUAGAACUUCUGAAGUGGAGAAACACCUUCCAUGCAAAUUCUAAAAGACAGAUUGAGGAGCUAGGGAAAGAAUUGGAGGCUGUGAGAGGUUCUAAUCCUGUAAACAAAAAAGAAGUUUCUGCCGAGAUCAAGAAGCAACUAAAAGAGGCAUACAAAAAAGAAGAACAAUUCUGGUGUCAAAAGGCAAGGAUUGAAUGGUUAAGAGAUGGGGAUAAAAAUACAAGGUACUUUCAUGCACACGUCAAAGGGAGAAGAACCAUAAAUAUGAUUAGGAAACUGCAAAGGGAUGAUGGCUCUUGGACAACGAAUGAAGAGGAAGUAAUUGCUGAAAUCUCUGACUUCUUCAGAGGGUUGUUUACUAGUGGAGAGAGGAGUGAUAUGACUGAGAUGCUAGAGGGUAUCCCCCACUCUAUAACUCAGGAUAUGAACACCAAUUUAACUAAGCAAGUUGAUGAAGAUGAAAUCAAAGUAGCUCUUUUCUCUAUGCAGUCUGAUAAAGCUCCUGGCCAAGAUGGCAUGACCCCGUUAUUCUUCCAACGUUUUUGGAGUACUAUCAAAGGAGACUUGAUACCAGCAAUUCAGUCUUUUUUCAGCUCAGGUUUCAUGUUAAAAUCCAUAAACCAUACUGUCAUUUCUCUUAUUCCUAAAAUCCAGAACCCAACAAAUGUGAAAAAUUUUAGACCCAUUAGCCUGUGUAGUGUCAUAUACAAGACCAUUUCCAAAAUUUUGGCCAACAGAUUGAAGCUUGUUCUGGACAAGUGCAUAAGUAACACGCAAUCUGCUUUCAUUCCAGACAGACAAAUUUUAGACAAUGUAAUCUUAGCUCAUGAGUAUAUGCAUUAUCUCAAAAACAAAAGACAAGGGAAAGAAGGUUACAUGGCAAUCAAGUUAGACAUGGCCAAAGCUUAUGAUAGAGUAGAGUGGCACUUCUUACAGGCAAUGAUGCAAAAGAUGGGUUUUUGUGCACAAUGGAUUACUUGGAUAACUAGCUGCUUGAAGACUGUAACAUAUUCCUUCAACUGUAAUGGGGAAACCAAAGGAUUUGUAGCACCAGAAAGGGGAAUAAGACAAGGAGACCCACUGUCCCCUUACUUGUUCUUAAUUUGUUCAGAAGGUUUCUCAAAUUUGUUGAAGAAAGCGGAAGAGAGAAAUGAUAUAAAAGGGUUGAGGAUUAGCAGACAAGGACCAAUCCUCACACACCUUUUCUUCGCAGACGAUUCCCUCAUUUUUUGUAAGGCAAAUGUACAGCAGGCCAAUGAAAUCAUGACGAUUCUCAAAAAGUAUGAGGAGGCCUCAGGGCAGUUGAUCAACCUGGAAAAGUCUUCUGUUUUCUUUAGUAAAAAUAUGCCCAUGGAACAAAGACAAGCUGUGUGUAGCUCACUGGGAGGAAUGACAUAGAUGAAACAAGGCAAGUAUCUAGGACUGCCUAUGGUGAUCUCUAGGACAAAAGAGCAAAUCUUCGGGUUCAUAAAGGAAAACAUCAAGAGAAAGAUUCAAGACUGGAGGAACAAGUUGCUGAGCACAGCGGGCAAGGAAGUAAUGCUUAAGGCAGUCUCAAUGGCAAUGCCAACUUACGCCAUGUCAGUGUUCAAGCUGCCAAGAAAGCUGUGCAAAGAUAUAAGUUCACUGAUGGCAAACUACUGGUGGGGUGAAGCAAAUGGAAAGAAUAAAUUGCAUUGGGUAUCUUGGAAGAGAAUGUCAAUGAGUAGGAAUGCAGGGGGUCUGGGAUUCAAGGACAUUGAAGCUUACAAUAAAGCAUUAUUGGGCAAGCAGAUUUGGAGAAUACUCACCAAACCAAACCUUCUCAUCAGUAAAGUGCUGCGAGCAAGAUACUUCCCAAAGGAUUCUAUCCUAACAUGCAAGCCCCACAAGAAUGCUUCCUGGAUAUGGCAAGGACUGUUAGGAGCAAGAAGCCUAAUUGAGAAAGGGGUGAUUAGACGAAUUGGUAAUGGCAGAAGCACAAGCAUUUUGGGCCACAGGUGGAUUCCAGGCACUAGCUCAGGCAGGCCAACCCCUCUUGGUCCUCAAAGCUGCGACUUGAAGAUGGUGCAUGAGCUAAUAAGCCAUCAUAGAUGGAAGAAGAACACCAUCUUAAAGUAUUUCAUGCAAAGCGAUGCUGAGAAGAUCCUGAAUAUUCCCAUAAGUCUGAUGGGGAGGGAGGACAACUUUUAUUGGCAACACAACGCAGGAGGGAUCUAUACUGUCAGCUCAGGAUACAAAUGUCAAAUGAAAGAGAGGGCCAAUGCCAAGAUGAUAACACCAGAGGCAGCUGGACCAAGCAUCUCGGAGGGAGGUCAGCAACUUAGACAAAUGUGGAACACCUUGUGGAAGCUUAACAUCAAGCAUAAAGUGAAAAUCUUCAUCUGGAAAUGUAUAACAGGAGCACUGCCAGUAAGAGCAGCAAUAUUCAGGAAAACAAGAUUGGGUGACCCAGUGUGCAGACUAUGUGGGGAUGACCAGGAAACAGUGGAGCACUUAAUGCUAAACUGUCAACACACGCAGCAGAUAUGGAAGGCAGCACCAUUACAAUGGGAUGGUGCUAUAGACCAAACAGGGGACUUCAGAAGGUGGUGGAUCAGAAUCACUGAUGCAAGGAAUAGGCCAAGGGGGAUGGAGCAUAUUGGCCUGACUGCGAAUAUUUUAUGGCAAGCGUGGAAAGAAAGAAACCAGAAGGAAUUUGAAAACAAGACCAGCUGCUCUCCUGCUCGAACAGUUGAAAAAGCUCAUAAAGAGUGGCUGGAGCAAGAGGAAAUUAUGAAAGGCAGAACUAGCCAGAGCACAAGAGAAACAUCUUUCACUCAGGAAGAGCACUAUAAGGGACAGGAUAAAGAAGGGACCAUCUGUCUAGACGUGGCUACAACAAGUCAGCAUGGCCAGGUCUCACUGGGGAUUGGAGUGACUGCGAUAAAGCACCCAAACACUAGACUUGCGGAAUGGGCACUUAAAGAGCGAAGUAAGGGAGACAAAGUCACAGAUGAAGCAGUGGCUAUCCAGCUGGUCAUGUGCAAGGCUCUUGAGCAUCAGUGGAGCAGAAUCACGAUCCAGUUUCAAAGCCAGGACCUUAUGAGGCAGAUAAAGCACAAGAACCCUUCUAGCAGUAGACUAGCUACCUUGAUAGAUGACAUCCUGAGCAUGCAAAAGUUGUUUCGCAUGUGCUUGUUUAGUUUAGCAAAGGAAGAAAGUAGUAAACGCAGUAGAGAAUUAAGUUCUCAUGCCUAUGGCAUUUUAGUGGAUGAGGAGUGGAAUCUCAUCAGUGCUAGAUGAGCGCUAUUUGUACAGUUUCCUUCGAGCCUUUGCUCGUACAUGUAACUUCUUGUUUCAAGGAAUGGAAAUCUUCUAACGUUUCGAAAAAAAAAAAAAAAAAAGAAAUGUGACAUGGUAGUUUGUAUAUUUAAUGUGGGUAUAGGUCACAUGCCGAAUAGCUCAAACCAUGCAUUGUGAACCAAAUAGUUCGAUUUACCAAAUCCAAUUUAAUUCAUUUAGUUAAUCAAAUUGUUGCUCACCCAUAGCAAGCCAACAGGUUGAAACUCUUGGAAUCUAACUCCUAACUUCGGUCAAAUCAUGGUUCAAAUUUUGAAACAUUUGUUUCAAGUAUAGGUAGCAAAUCAACCCAUUUAAUUAAAUUUACCCAUUUAAUUAAUUAAACUUUAGUCAACCAAAUAUAUCAAUGAAUAGAUGAGGAUGAGUAUCUUAAAUUUUUGCAUAUGGGUAUAAAUGGGUUAAUACCCAUUUAUUAAAUGUGUAUUAUUGGGUAACCCAUCAAACCCAAUUAACCCAUUUAGAAUUAUUUUCCCCCAAAUCUCCUCUCUUCCCCCACCCUUUUUUUUUCUUCAGAUUUUUCAUUUUAUUAUAAUGUUAACUACUUUUGUUUCAUUAUUAUUAUUUGUUGGUUUUAUUUUAUCAUUUUAUUUUCUCUUAGUUUGUUAACUUACUCAUUUUUUAGUAUUACCAAUCCAUGAUAAAUUUUAGUCUAUUUUCCUACCUUUUCAAAAUGAAAUUUUAAAUUUACACAUGAAAAAAAUAUUAGGGUCAAAAUUUUUGGAUUAAGGUUUUAUGUUAAUUUUUAUAGUACUUAAUUCAAAUUUUUAUAUUUUUAUUAUUCAAUUACUAAAUAGUAUAUAAUUUUACGACAUAGAGUACGGAUAGGAAAAAAAUUGAUAAUUAGGCUUAUUGAACAUUAUAAGUAAAUAUUUAAAACUAAUGAUGGGUGCAAAGAGUGGUAUAAAUUAAUAACUUAGUUUGCAAAAAUAAAUUUAAAUGAGUUUACAAAAAGUUAAAAUAAAUAGGUUAUAAAUGGGUAAUUGGGUUACCCAAUUCAUUUUUUGACUUACUCAUUUAUACCCAUCUAAUUAAAUGAAUAUAAAUGGGUUGAUUCACUUAUACCCAUUACCCAUUUUAUCCAACCGAAACCUGCCCAAGUCACUCAUUUUGACACCUCUAGUUUCAGGUAGGGACAAGAGAGAAAGAAAGGUAACAUUGGAGAUCAUAAUGCCAAAUAGCUCUAACUAUUGUUAGCCAAAUCGUUUGAUUUAUUGGAUUCUUUAAUUCAUUUAGUUAAUCAAAUUGUUGCUUACCAUUCAUGAGGCAACCAGUUAAAACUCUUGAUCCCUGACUGCUAAGAUCAGGCUAAUCACGGCUUUAAAUUUCAAACAUUGGUUUAAGUUAGGGAUGAGAGAGAAAGAAAGGUCGAAAGACAGUUUGUGUAUUUAAUUUGCAUGUAGGUCAUAAUGUCAAAUAGCUCGAACCAUUAUUAGCCAAAUAGCUCAAGUUAUAGUAUUCAAUUUAGUUAAUCAAAUUGUUGCCCACACCUACUGAGCAACUAGUUGAAACUCUUAAUCUCUAACUCCUAAGUUCGGUCGAAUAAUAGUUCAAAUUUUGAAACACUAGUUUAGGAUAGAGAUUUAGAAAGAAGGCGACAAGGUGAUUUGUAUUUUUAAUGUGGAUGUAGAUCAUAAGGCCGAGCUAUUCAGAAAAUCCGAGAAUAUAGAUUAUCAUUCUGCCAACCUAAAAAUUCAGGCAAAUCUUCAACUUCGAAUGCAUGAAUGCAUUCCUGAAUAAAAUGAUCUUUUGACUAAUGAAUAUAUAUAUAUAUAUAUAUAUAUAUAUAUAUAUAUAUAUAUAUAUAUAGUCUCCAGGGUCAUUUACCUCCAAGUUUAAGUAAGUUCAUUUCUUAUUUCACAUUAUACUUCAUCUUAUAAUGAAUAUUAUCUUUGUUUUAUAAUGUUCUUGUAUUGGUUCUCAUUCUAUUGGUAAAUAUAUAGACCUACCCCUCAAUUUGUCAAAACAUCAAAGACUUUCUCUCCACUUUAAAAAAUCAAUUGAGGUACCCAAUGCUCUGUAUCACAAAUAUAUUCAUGUACAACUCACUACAGUUGGAAAAAAAAAAUUGAUCGCACAGUAAACAAAUCAAGUUUAACUAUAAGAUUAAAUUUGUUUAGUAAUCAAGUGGAACUCGAAUUUGCCUGUGAAUAGAUCUAAUAUAUUAGUAAACAUAUGCAUUUGAUACACACACAUACAUGCAUAUAUAUGUGUGUGUGUGUGUGUGUCUGUUGAGAUAUGCCAACUUUUCCUACAGAUUUUAUCAGAUUGGGUUUGAUAUCAAAAUAAUUUAGUUAUUAGAAAAUAAGGAUAUUUGUUAACCAAAGAUUAUGUUGGUUUGUUAACAAAUAUAUUAGCUAAGAUUUGCUAGUAGUAGAAGAUUAUAUUUUGUUGAGAUUUUUAGAAUAAUUGUUAGUUGGAUAUUUUGCUAGUUUGUUUCAUGUAACCACUAUAAAUAAUGAGUUGAUGAAUAUAGAACACAAGCUCAUUUUCUACCAUCAAUACAAGUUUCUUAUAAGUUUUUUUUUUUUUUUUUUACAACACUAAAGUGUUGUUUCUUAGUUUAUACCUCAAAAAACCAACAAAGUGGUAUCAAAGCCUAAAUCUUAAGGGACUGUUUCUUUGAGAGUGAGUGAAUUUGGUGAAAAUUCCUUUUUUACACUUAAGCCCUCAACAUCAAAAUGCCAGGAAACAAUUUCUUGUCAAAUCCUCCAAGUUUCACUAGUGAAAAUUACCAAAUCUGGGCCGUCAAAAUGAAGUCCUAUUUGGAUGCUAAUGAUCUUUGGGAUGUGGUAGAGGCAGAUCCUGAUCCUGAAUUGCCGGAAGAUCCAACUAUUGCAGAGAUGAGAGCCCAUAGAGAUGCAGUCAAAAGGAGAUCAAAAGCCAUGACUUGCAUUCAUUCAGCAGUUUCCGAUGCAGUAUUCACAAAAAUUAUCACUUGUGAAACUGCAAAAGAAGCUUGGGAUGCUCUCAAAGUGGCUUUUCAAGGCAAUAACAGAACAAGAUAGAUGCAAGUUUUGAACCUUAGGAGAGAAUUUGAACUCCUUAGGAUGAAAGACAAAGAAAACAUUAAAGAGUAUUCUGACAGACUCUUAAAUAUUGUGAACAAAAUCAGAUUGAUUGGAGAACAACUUCCAGAUAGCAGAGUUGUGGAGAAAGUCUUGGUGAGUUUAUCAGAAAGGUUUGAAGCCAAAAUUUUCUCUUUUGAAAAUUCAAGAGAUCUCUCUCGGAUGACCUUGUCAGAAUUGAUCAAUGCUUUAGAGGCAUAAGAACAAAGACGAGCCAUAAGAACUAAAUGAGUCAUUGAAGGUGCUUUUCGAGCAAUAAAUGAGGAUCAAAUUCGACAAGGUGGUAGAAAUGACCAAGAGAAAAAUAGUCAAGAUGAGAAGAAAAAUGGCAAAAAUCCUCCGUGUUCACACUGUAAGAAAACCUCACAUCUUUCAAUAUAUUGUUGGUUUAGACCUAACAUUCAAUGUAGGGUUUUUAAGCAAAUGGGACAUAUGGAGAGAGUUUGCAAAAAUAAAGGAAAAAGAAAACAUCACGCUCAGAUGGUUGAUGAACAAGAUGAGGAGCAACUUUUCAUGGCCACAUGUUUUGCAAGCAAUAAUUCCAAUACUAAAACUUGACUAAUAGACAGUGGUUGCACUCAUCACAUGGCAUAUGAUGAAUCUAUAUUUAGGAAACUUGAUAAAUCGCAAAUCUCCAAAGUCAGAAUUGGAAAUGGAGAUUAUAUUGAGGUGAAAGGCAAAAGUAAUGUUGCUAUUAAUUAUGGUUCAGGUACCAAAAUUAUUUCUAAUGUUUUGUAUGUACCUAAAAUUAAUCAAAAUCUAUUAAGUGUUGGACAGUUAUUAGAGAAGAAUUAUUCUGUCAUCUUCAAAAAUAGGACCUGUGUUAUACAUGAUCCAGUUGGAAAUGAGCUUUUCUCAGUGAAAAUGAGAGGCAAAAAUUUUGCUUUGAAUUUGUCAGAAAUUGACAAUUCUAAGAUGCAGUAUGGUGAACCAAAAAAUUCAGAUGUUGCUAAAAUUCAGGAUGAGAUCACUGAUGAGGCAAUUGAAGGAGGUUACAUCGUGAAAAUUCAUGAAAUGCUACCCAAGGAUGAUGGUGGUGACAUAGCUGAUAAAAGGCCAUACAAAAAUUUGAAGGAUUGUUUUAUGUCUCUCAUAGCAAUCAUUUUUUGUAUUGUGAAUUUCUUCUUCAGGUUCAUCUAUUACGUAUGGGAGUUCCACUUUCAAGUUGCAAAGAAGUUGAAUACAUCGGAAAAUUUGGUAUUGAUUUUGAAGUUUGGCUCAAGAAACAUUGCAAGACUGAUGGCCAGAUUGCAGACAUUUUUAUGAAAGCCUUGUCCAAAACAAGGUUCAAAGAUUUGAGAAGGCAAUUGAAAAUCUGCAGCAAAAGUGGUAAGGAGGAGUGUUGAGAUAUGCCAACUUUUCCUACAGAUUUUAUCAGAUUGGGUUUGAUAUCAAACUAAUUUAGUUAUUAGAAAAUAAGGAUAUUUGUUAACCAAAGAUCAUGUUGGUUUGUUAACAAAUAUAUUAGCUAAGAUUUGCUAGUAGUAGAAGAUUAUAUUUUGUUGAGAUUUUUAGGAUACUUGUUAGUUGGAUAUUUUGCUAGUUUGUUUCAUGUAAUCACUAUAAAUAGUGAGUUGAUGAAUGUAAAACACAAACUUAUUUUCUACCUUUAAUACAAGUCUCUUAUAAGUUUUUUUUUGCAACAUUAAGGUGUUAUUUCUUAGUUUAUGCCCCAAAAAACCAACAAUAUCCAUCUAUCCUAUGCAUAUAUAUGCUACAAAAAAUUAGAUCCUCAAACCUCUGAUUCUCUAGCCGCCGCUCAAACCUCAAAAGCCCUUUGUUGUCAUCCUGUGGCUUAGUCUUCCACUCAAGUACAUCCACAUCCCCACGCCUCAAAACCCUCAUUCUCAUCCUCAAAACCUUUCUACUCUCUUAAACUCCCUUAGAUCCUUGCACCGCAGGUAGGUGGAUGUUUACCCUUUUUUCCUACUCAUUGUUCUUAACAUCCCAAUCUUUAGCCUUUAUUUUCUUGUUAUCUCUAUCGUGCAUAUGGAGGCAACAAGGCCAGAUUUUUUUUAUUUGCCCUCCCCCCCCCCACCCAAAACAAAACCCUUCCAUUCUUAUAAGUCUCCUAACUAUCACUCUUAAAUUUUCUUCAAAUUAGUUCAGUCCUUUAUUCUUCAAAAAAAAAAAAAAGUUUAGCCUUUUUAAACUUUAAAGAGCCAAAUACUCUUACAAUGUUAACCAAUUGAGUUCAAACAAUCCCUUGUGCUCGUUUAAUAAUCAAUAAACUCUAACCUUCGUUUGCAUAACACUCGAACUGAACAUACUAUACGAUGUGUUAUUAAAGCAAACUUAUAUAACUGGCAACACUCACAAAACACAAAAAACAUGUAAACUAGAAAGCAUGCCAUGAGGAUAUUCGUGUCCAAGGAAAGAAAAUAAGUAAAUAAAGAACACAAACACUAGUUACAACAUACAUUGAACCCAUGUUCCGAGUUAAAGGGCUAACAUUUACUCUGAUAAAGCAAGUAAAAACUACAUGCGCCUGUGUCCCUUAAAGGGCUCACAUUGAUCGUCUAAUAGCAAGUAAUAGGUACAUCAAGCCUUGGUCUCAAAGGGCUCACAUCCUGCCAUGAUAGCAAGUGAACAUACGAGGCUAACUCCAACUGUGGGGAUCAUAAGAAAAUGCAGCGAAAACUUUAAGCAAAUAAUUCAAGAUAACUAAAUCAAUCACAUAUUCAUUGUCGCGCCCCAUUUUUUGAAAUAAAAGAGAAAUGGUGUUUACAAAUGAACAGUAAUUGAGUUGAAAUUAACAAGAAUUUGGUGUCUACAUUCAUAUCAAUCAGAAGGUAAUCAACACGUUGAAUCAGUCUUACAGGUCAAGUAAUUACCAUAUUCCAAGGAUACAAGGUUUCAGGUAUGGUCACCGAGCCUAGGAUUGGGCUAGAAAAGGCCUAGAAUAUCAAAGAAAGUCUAAACUUGCAUCGCAUCGAAGAGGAUUGGAUAAGGAAACUCUCUGUUUUCACUAUUUCCUGCGUCUGACUCAUUAUUGUCUUGUAUAUCAAGAUUGAAAGUCUGAGCGACACCAAGCGUAAAAAAAUGAGACAAGGAAGGGAAGAAAAGAGAAAGGAAAAGGCCAUCUGAAAACUACACAUACAUGGUUAACAAAACUGUGAACUACAUAUCGCGUCGAAAACUAAAUAUCCCUGUUGCUCUUUCUCCCCAUUCAAAAACAUAAAUGCAUACACACAUAUGAUUAUAGACGUAAACUUAGCUUUGGAAAUGUACGGAAGAAGGUAUAUGCAAUGACUGAAUAAGGGUGAAUUGGACAAAGAGGGUUGGCAAUGAGAAGAUAGUUACGAGGCGGUUAAUACAAUGGCAGUUGGGCAAAUUCUGUUAGUUGCUGCAACUGGUAAAUUUAGUUUAGGAGCAGUUACUUACCCAACUCAGGCAUGUACGGGAAUAGGCAAUUGGUGAUUUGUUGCAAUUUCUCAUUUCUCCCAUCAAUUCAACCAGUACAAUUCUCCCUAAUUUCUUUCUGAUCCUUUCUCUUAUUCCUUUCUUUCCCUUCUCUUUCCUUCUUCUUUUCUGGUUCUGGUUCUUUACUUAGAUCAUUACAAUAUAGCUAUAUAGCGUUGUAGCCAUUGUUUAACGUUGGCAGAACAGUAUAGAAGCAGCAGUAGCUUUCUUAGUUGACAAUGCCUUUUUACCCAAAAAAAAUGCUUUCCUUAAAUCCCUUGCUGCUGUAUAAAAAUAUCUACUUAUUUGUCCAGAGUUAACUAGUGAAAAAUAAGAUAACACAGAAUUUUGACACAAGCAAAAUCACCCGAAGUAUGACAUAAGCAAUAUAUUUCUUCCCAUUUUUUCUGUUCCUCAUAAACAAACGAAACUAUCUCAAUAACUAAAUAGCUUCCCCUGAAGAAAAUCACCUGAAAUAAUGUAACCAGCUUAACUCAGCACAAAAUCAUCUGAUAAUAUGCAACCCCAAGUUCUAAGAAUAUACAUUCAAAUACAAACCACAAAUAACAGUUUUCCUUUUAGACCAAUAAAGGUAAAAGAGACUACAUAUCUCAAAACUCCUAUAUUGCCCCAUGAAGAUUGCAAGUUACAGAGAACACCAUAUCUUUGAAGACCUGUUUAAAUUGAUCCCCUACCCUCUUUUCGGAUAUAAUUGACAAAAGCACCUGAAAGACCACUGGGCUAUAACAAAAGAACCGCAGCGUAAAAGGGCAAUUGAGAUAUUAAAUGACAACAUCAGGCAUCCAAUUCAAGCUAAAUUUUCAGCAAAAUAUCAAAUUCCAUUUGUUCUGUAAUACAAAAUGAAGAAAACAACAGGUUCACCGUCGAGUACACAAUAGUGUAGCACAGUUAGUCAACUUCAGGGGCACAAUAUAUCAGCAACUGUCAUAAAAUCCUAAAGAAUCGAUCGAUACAUCAUUUUCACCGCUCGAUAGAUGAUUUGAUAAGCCACAUGGAUGGGCAAUCACUACAAGGCAUCUAAAUAAUUUCACAUAUUCUUUUUUAUUUUACCCUUUUACUAAAUAAUUCCACAUAUUCAAGUAGAAGAUAAUCCAUGAGGAAAAGCAAACUACCAAAAGGCAUUGGUUUCUGAUAUUUCCACCAUCUACCAGCACGGAAGGGUAUAUUUUAAGGAAGAUUGUUUGGAGGGGAAGACAGAAAACAAUGUGAAAGUAGCUUCAUUCUUCUAAGGAGCAAGUAUUGAAUAUCAUAGUUUUCACAUGUUAUAGACAACUGAAAAAGUUCAAUCACCAAUAACUACACUCUUCAACAGUAAGCAUACAACAUAAACAUGAGAUCAACAUUAACAACUCUCCUAAUGCUUGUUUAAACUAUUUGGCAGGAUAAGGCCACCACUGUUUAGUGUCAUCUGUCCUCAAGUAUCAAUGCACAAAAUCUUAUUGCUAUUACAUUGUCCUAUCAACUAAAACUAGCUACAGAUAAAUGAUGCUUACAAAAUGCCUCUGUAAAAAAGAACCGGUAGAUGGAUUCCAGGGUUGCAAUGCUACAUCAUGCAGUUAGAUACAAAAAAGAAUGAAUCUACCCUUAGAAAUCAGGUACCAGCAUCCAUAAACUGUUCUAGCUGUUGUUGUAGGCGAAAACUGGAAGAACGGGAUUUAACUUCCUUCCUUUUUGUUCCCAAUAUAUUAUCAUGAUCUGUAUUCUCAAUCUUCAUCCACGAAUGUAAUUGUUCAAUAAAAAUGCAUAACUCAUUAGAUAACGGAUCAUGUUUAUCUCCUGCAACAAACCUGUAUGCCCUAUUGUUCACAUGAAGCAAACUGUACCCAGCGAGUACCUUGGCCCCACUUUUCUUGCCCAACAAUCUCAUAUUGGCAGCAUCAUACCAUAAACCACCAGACGCAUACAUGUUAGAUGCCAGCAAAUAUCCAUCACUACUAGAUGGCUCCAAUUCAAGAAUAUGAGCUAAAGCACCAGCCCCAACCUCCCUAUUACCAGAGUUCCUACAACCGCUCAAGAUUGCACUCCAUGCACUAGCGCUAGGCUUUACUGUACAAGGUAUUUUGUUGAUAAAAUCCAUUGCACUAUCAAACUUUCCAGAUCGAGCCAACAAGUCCACAAGACACGAAUAAUGUUCCACCCCAAUUUCAACACCAUAUUCUUGUAUCACAUUCUCAAAGACAGACAAGCCCUCAUCAACCAAUCCCCCAUGGCUACAUGCAGAUAACAGAGAAAGGCUUGUUACUAAGUUGGGCUUGAGACCCUGAGAUUCCAUUUUGGCAUGUAAAGCUAAAGCAUCACGAGGAAGGCCAUUCAUACCAUAUGCUGCAAUCAUAGCACCCCAUGACACAAUGUUUUUUUGGGGCAUGUAUUCAAAAGCUUUUCUUGAAGCCUGUAUCGCCCCACAUUUGGAAUACAUAUCCAAAACAGCAGUUCCAACUGCAACCUCAAAAGCUAAGCCAUGUCGAAUAGCAAUACCAUGAGCAGACUUUGAUAUGUUCAGAUCUGCAAAAAGAGAGCAGGCUUCAAUAAGAUUCAACAUGGUAACUGUGUUAAGAUUUUCUUCAAUCAGCUUCAUCUCUCGGAAAAGAGCAAUUGCUUCACCAGGCAUGUCCCAGUAAGUGAAUGCUGCAAUCAUUGUGCUCCAAGUGACCGCAUCUCGGUGCUUCAUCUGACUAAACUGCUUCCAUGCAAGACUAAUGCAAUUGCAUUUUGCAUAUGUAUCAAUUAAAGAAUUUUUGACCAACUCAUUUGAUUCAUAACCUUGUCUAAGUACUUUGGAAUGAAUCAACUUGCAUUGAUAUGGUAACAUAAGAUAUUUGCAUACUUGAAGCAGAUUGACAAGGGUUACUUCAUCAGCUUCAACUCCUGCCCUUCUCAUUGAAUCAAAUAACAACAGGGCUUCAGAAUGCUUCUCACUUUGAACAUAUCCAGAUAGUAGAGAAUUCCAUGAUACCACAUUCUUUUGACUCAUCUCGCUGAAGGCUUUAAAAGCAGAUUCAACAUCAUCACACUUGGAAUAGAAAUCAACCAACGAGUUUCCUACAAACAAGUCACAUUUCAGGCCUCUCGAAAUCGCAAAGCCGUGGACCAAAUUUCCCAUUUCAAUGUUCUGUAAAUUGGUGCAUGCUUUGAGUAUAGUUACAGUUAUAGGCCCAUCCACUUCAAUGUGAAACUCAGAUACCAUUUGCCGGAACAACUCUAAAGCAACUCUGGCUUCACUGUUUUGCACAUACCAGCCAAUUAUUACGCUCCAAGAGAUUACAUCUCUAUGAUGCAUUUCAUUGAAGAGCUUCCGAGCAAACUCCAUCCUGAUGUCUGCAUACAUACAUAAAAGGGAGUUUUGAACUGAAGAGAUGGCCAAAAACCCACUACGAAUAAUAUACCCAUGAAGUAUUUGCCCAUCAUCAAACAACUGGCGCUCACGACAUGCACAAAUCACAAGCACCAAAGUGGAUAUGUUAGGUUUGAAUCCUGUAAUUUUGGCCUGGAAAAACAAGCCUAACCCCUGCUCAAAAGCACAUUGAUCAAGGUGUCCAUGAAUGAUUAUGUUCCAAGAAACUGAAUCUCUGUUCCUCAUGCAAUCAAAAACAUCAUUUGCACAACCCAGGGUUCCAGAUUUCACGUAAAAGUCAAUAAUAGAAUUGCCCAAGGAAGUGAAUGAAUCAAGUCCCUGUUUAAGCAAAGAUGCAUGAAUGGACUUGCCAUAAUCAAAAGAUAUGGCAGAACAUGCUUUGAGAAUGGGAGGGAAGACAGAAGGAUCAGUCAAUUGAACUCCCGCCUCCCUCAAUUCACAGUGACAGGAAAGAACCUCUUGCCAUCUCCCAGUAGCUGCUAAGUUCUUGAUCUUUGAAAAACAGCUGGGGAGUCUUGAAACUGAUGAAAUGCUUGGCAAGCGCACAGCCAUGAAUCACUUGCAUUAUAAGGGCUGCAGGCUCAAUAGCUAAAAGAUUCAAUAGAAAAGUAACUCUACUCCUUCCAGCCAAUAGCAAAACAUCACAAAUCUACGGUAGCAUUGGACCUCAUAAGUCCUUGCUUUCCACAAUGAAACAACCGAUAUGUGCAUUCUUGGUGACCUCCUGAAACGCAAUUUGGCAUCCUUUAUUUGCAAAUGUUACAGCUUCCAGAAAUGGCUACACUAAAUCCAGAUUCAGACACAAAAAAAAAUAAGAAGAUAGUUAACAGCAUAUAACAAGGGCCCUACAAGUUGUCAACACCAUAAAAAGCCCAGCAGAUAUUAAAAAAAAUUCAUAAAUUGCUUGUGAAAUACAUGAAACUUAGAAGAAAUCCAUUAAGGAAAACAAAAAUCAUAAAAAUCCAAACGAAAUCACAAGACAAUUUCCUUUCUGUUUUUGCUCUUUCCCCCCUGUUUUGUGUACAUUUCCUACAAACCAAGCCCACUAAGGCAUGACCUUUGGACAUUUCCUACAAAUACAGAACUAAUCACAUUGAAAAAAACAACCCCCUUAAUCUAAAGGACAAUUUUUGCAGUAUAUAACUUCCCAAAUUCCACUACCAAUAUACAAUACCGAAAAAAAAAAUCCAAUGAAACAAAAUACAAAGAAAAAGAAUAAACCCAAUGAAAAUUUUGGCAUAAACAAUUACAAAGAGAACCCAGUUUCACACUACUCUGCUUCUGUUACCAGAGAGAAGGAAAAAAACCCAAUAGAGAUAGUUAUCCAGCAGCUAUCAUUCACUUCAGUUCUCUACUUUACAAGAAAAAAAAAGUCGUUUUUCUCGGACCACACAAACAAACCAUAUGAAGUUGAGAAGGAAACAAAGAAAACAAUGAAAUUUUGCUAGAGGGGUUUUACCGGCGACGGAGGCCUCUUCCUGGGAAAGGGUCGCAGUAACUCAGAAGAAAGAGCGCCGGCAGUGGCUGUUAUAAGAAGCGGCUAGUAAUCCCACUUUGAAAUUACGAUGAUUACUUUUGUUAUUGUUAUUAUUAUUGUUAUUGUUAUUGUUAUUAUUUUGGGUGACGGUACUGAGGUUGAAGGUUUUCUAUUGAAAUGGGCUUUCUGGAUAAGAAAUUCAUGAGGAAAAUUUUGAAGCACUUGGUGACAUUGGGGAAUUUCUUUUCUUUUCAAAUACUCAAAAUCAAGUUUUUUACUAUGAAGUGGUCUGUCAAUUUUGAUAAAAUAAAUUGUGUCUAUGUUUAGUACUAGAUAGUCUGGCUAAUUCCUUAGCUUAGAUUAUGGAUGAGAAAAAAAUGCACAAAUAUUAUUUGAUACGUAAUUUCCUUCCCUUGCUUACAAAUGUGAGAAUUUUUUUUUUUUUUUUUAAUGUUGCUUGCUGCCGGGCUGACAGCAGCGGAGGUGUUUGGAUAAUAAAUUAUUUGAAAUUACUUUUUAAAAAAUAAUACUAUAGCAAUUUUUUCGUGUGAUAUAUAUAAAAUAAAAAAAUUAUUUAAAAAUAUAUUUAUAAUGUAAAUAAAUAAAUUUAUGCAAAUAUCCCUACUCAACAAAAAUAACCAAGCUCAAUGCAAGCAUAAAGAAACCUAUAUCAAUCAACAGUACGUAACUUCAAAAAAAAUCAACAAUACGUAACUAUUUCAUUGCUACUAGCCAUAUUUACAAGAACUUGCGUUAUAAGGGAAGGAAUGUAAGAACAAGUUUCUAAGUUAUGCCAAUGAAACGCUACAACAACUUAAAAAUAUGCUCUCUCCUAUCCUAUGAAUAUGCCUGACUAAUACAAGACAUAAAUGGAAUCUGAUCCAGUUCAAAGAGGACAACAAUGCAGAGACGACCCAACUGGUGGAACUCAGGAAAGUCAACCCCUUCUGUUUAACCAAAUAGGGAUGGAAUUAUACCACGAAAUGAGUAACAGCUGCAAGAAGCUCUUCCCAAGGCUAGAUUAAAAUUAACCAUGCCACUGCAAGGCAAAAAUGGCAGCACCACAGUAGCAAUAAUAGCCAGAGAUUCCCAAAUUUAGCCACAAACACUUCUAUGUGUGCCAAAGCUGCUGCACAGCUACUGCGUUCUGCCAAAACAUCCCCAAUUGGUUUCAAUGAAAGAACUAAUCGGAAUUCUGCUUUAUGUCUACUGUCCCAACAUUACACAGAUUUCGCUGUAUUUCUGUGCUGGCUUUCUAUUGCAAAUGUUUCCCCAAACGAUCUAGCUUAUUUGUUCAUCCUCAUAUCCAGAUGCCUUCCCUGUUCUACCGAUUAAAAACGGCUCUGGAAAAGAGUCACUGCUAUGGAUUUCAAGACCUUGAUAUGAUCGAGCUGCAAAAAACUCAGCUCCAGAUUUGGCAUCUCUUCUUGAUAACAGCUCAGUCUCCUUGUUCUGCAGCAGCAAAGCCUUCUCUGUGACAUUUACCAGGGAAAGAACUGCAUCCUUUUCCUCCUUCCCCUCUGAUAGGACCAAAAAUUCAAAGGGACCAUUAAAUGAGCACAGCCAAGAAAGAAGCGAGACAUUUCAAAUUAACAGUCAACAGAAUAAAGCUACAUUUGUCCAUUAACGGAUCAAAUGAGGAAAAAAAAAAUCUGGUUUCCAGAAUAAACAUAUCAGCUCAACUUUAUAGGAAUGACUUAUCAUAUUAUGAACCAUUACAUGACUUUAAGUUAUGAACAGUCACACAAAGAGGGCUAAUAGACUAAUUCAAUCCAAAUCGUAUACUUUAGAAAAUAACCCAUCAUGAAUGAUGAGAUUUAAAAAACAAUGCUGAACAGGAAACAAAAAAGCAAACAUGACGACAAAGAGAAUUAUAUAUGUUUGUGUGUAUACAUAUAUAUACACACAGAACAUCGCAAGCACAUUGAUGAUUACUCAAGUACAUCAUCAAUAACUAUCAACACACAAGCAUGGAAUAGAAGCAUAGCCUUAAAGACUUUAGGUAGUUCACCAAUUGGCUUAUGUGACCUAUAUGAUAACACAAGCCUUAAUUCUGUGUCAUCUCCCAUCAAGCAUCCAUGCAAAACACAAGGACCUUGUUUUUAUUGUUAAUUAAAUGAGCCUCAAAAGAUGUCUUGAACACCACCCUAGAAUGGGGAUAAAACUGGGUUCAUCAGUGCAAAUAUUAUAUCAUGGAACUAUGCAAGAAAGAGAGACACCUAUUCUCUAAAUUGGAAUUGCAAUACAAGUAAAUCAAAUUCUUAUUUGGUUGUCUAGCUUCACCAAGAGGGCUAAUUCCUCUGAUUGGUACCAGUAGAAUAUUCAAUGAGCUCAGAGCUAAUGAAGUUGCAUAAAUUCUAUAUAAUGGUGCACAUAAGGUCAUAAGGUCAGCUGAACAAGAAAUUGCCUCACUUGUCAUUGUUUAAGAUUUAGAAGAGCUCUAUAGCCUAAAACAAAUACCUGGUUCCAAUGUUUUUAAAGGAGAUUUUUUGAGACCUCAAGAUAACGGAAGAUACCUUGCAAUUUAAAAUCUUCAACAUAUCCACCCUGAAAGAAAGAAAAACGUGAUUCUGUCUCAUCUUCUACUUCGGCAGGCUGGGAAGCAAUCACAUCCUGAAAUUCCAUUGAGUAAGCUCCGGUCCACUGACUGCCCCUGCAAUAGCGGUUUAACAAGAAUUGAUCAUCUAGUAUUUAUAACAAGUUCAAAGGAUAAUAUUAUCAUUAUCAAUUCCCAAGCCUGUCGAAUUGGUAGAGUCUAGGCUCGAAUAAUCACCAAAUCCAAUACCAAAAAGGCAUUUGAUUUACUUACAGCAGGACUAUUUAGAGUGUAAAGGAAGACUUCCAGACCUCAGCCGAAUGAUCUAUUACUAUCUCCUGCCCUGAGGUCUGGAUAAAUUUACUUUAUUCAAAAAUUAAAUAAACUUCGAAUCAUAUAGCAGUGUAUCAAAACCAUGACAACUGAAUGUGAAUCAACAUAUAAUCUUAACAACGUCUGCAGACAAAUGAGGACAGAAUUAAGAUGAGUCGAUACAAUAUUCACAGUUCAGGCACUGAAUAAUCUAAACUUAAGAAGAGGAAAAAAAAAAAAGACAAAGUGGAUGGCAAGAGACAAGGACUAAAAUAGAAACACAAGGGAACUCUAGCUUGCAAAGAGGUUAUAGAUCAACCAAUCAAGGAUCUGAAAAAUACUACCACAUUUCAUCAACAGGUUUACGUGUAUUCCUCUUACAAAGUACUACUAGUUAUUUUUCAGGUUUUCUGCUCCUAUGACAAAGCUAAUUCAAUUCAAUAUUGCCUUUCAGCAUAUAUUGUAACAGAGAAAUGAAACUUGAUGAUCUUAUAGCCCCAAACUCAAUAUCUGAAAAUAGAUAAUUGCAAAGCUCAACAAUAUCCAUGACAAUAACAUUAGAAACUUGAAGAUUCAUGAAUAAUGUGGGUAAUAAAAGCAGCAUUAGAACCAAAACUAGGCUGAUGAAAUGUAGCAAGGUAAGCAUAGAUAACAAAAGCAGCAUUAGAACCAUAAAAUCUUCAAUGCAUGUGAACCAAACACAUCUGAACUUCUAAGUAGGUCUAAGGGAGUCCAAUUGCUUCUAAGUAAAAGCAAGGCACUUUUGAAAAGCUCCAAGUUUGAGCUUCAGGUAGAGUUACCAUUAGCCAAAAAUCUUUUUAAUAUAAACACUUUUAUCAGGACAUUACCAGGUACUUUAUCACUGCAAAAAGAACUUUACCAAAUCUUUUACACAACAUGGACACUUUGUGCAACCAGAAAUCAAUGUAAAACUUAAAGCUAGUUCAAAAUUUUCCUGAUAACUAAUUUCCGAACCUCAGAAGAGGUUAGACACUAUUAUUAUUCUGAUAGAGGAGUAAUAUCACACACAGUUUUCGAAAAAUGACUUCCCUUCAUUUAUUUAGCUACCUUGCAUACCUCUUGGACAUCAAAUUGCAUAGUACUACUGAUUAUAACAGUAUACCACUAAAGGAAUUAAAAUGAAGCCUAUAAUCACUAUUGAUCCCUGCAUGAAUUUAUUCCAGCAAAGUUGUUGAACCUCUAACAUGCAGCACAAUUCCUAAUUGCUCAGGAAAAGAAAAUGUAAUAAAAAAAAAAGUAUAAAGACAAAAUCCAUUUCUGCAACCUGCAUUAUUUCCAUGAAAUGCAAAACCACCCAUUAGUGAAUAGUCAUCAAACGAAAUUGAUAAUGCCAUGCAAUUUAUAUAAGAUAUCCACUUAGAUGUGCUUUAGGUACAAUCAGGAAAUUAUAGACCAUCCACAAAUUUCAACCACAUAAAAAACUUUACACUCAUAGUUAAAAUGGUAUUUACCUGUUGAAAGCUAUCAAAGCUUCAAAAGGAGUGAUUAUAGGAGCUAAAAACUCCUUGCUAUCCAAAAGAGCCGUUUGAGCGCAGGAUACAUAGAUGAAAACAUCACACUGCAUAUGCACCAGAGAUUUGAAAAAUUCUCAAAAGUUAAAAGUUGUAAAGAAAAUCUGUCCACAGAAACAAUGUUUACCUCAGGAAAAUUAGCUAAUUUUGCAGGAUUUGGCUUUCCCAUAAGAAAGGUAUAUGCCUUUUUCCCAGCUCUAGUCACGAGUUCUGUCAUUUGAUGAAUCAUAUCUAGAUAACCAGCUGCAUCAAUAAUUUUACCAGAAAAACUUCAGUCUGUAUCUUAAACAUGACGACAAACUAAAAAGGUCAAACAAAAUGAUGUGCAUUGGCAAUACAUUCUAUCAAGCCUGAAGAGAAUAUUUAUUAUCUAACCAUAAGCUCAGCAAAUGUUCAAUAAACUACUAAUUUUCAGAAGAUUUCAAUUGAUUUGCAAAUGCAUAAGACCAAAUUGGCUUUCAAUAUGAAUUACGGAGCAACAUUUGUGGUCUUUACUCAGAGCAGAUAACACUAUUGCAUAUGAAUUAUAAUUCUACAUAUUUAGAACAAAAAAGUCUAACUACGGCAAAAGUCAGAAAAGCAUUGAUUCGUGAUGGAAGAGGGCAAGUGCAUAUUAAUAAAACUGUUGCACAAGAACUUACCAACUCCAAGAGUUCCAACCAAGAUCCCAACCAUGUUUGCAUCCUUCGCUUUUUCAACUAGAUAAUACCUAAUUAUUCAUGCAGUUGGUUGCACAUGGGACAAAAGAAUGAUUUUAAUACGUCAAUGCAUAUCACAUCUUAUAUAUAAAAGUUACUAAUUUGCUGAAAUAAAUUAGCAUCAUUAUGUGCUUGACAAGUAUAAUACCUGCGCUUAAGAAUUUUUGCCUGCUGAGAUACAUCAGUCUUCAAGCAACCUUCAAUUGCAUCAUAUCUGACUAGAAACAACAGGUGAGAAAUCAACAAACAUUAUUGCAUAGCCAAGUGAAAGAGCAUGAGAAAGCAAAAGCGGGUAGCUGAAAAGAACAAAACAAGGAAAAUCAAUUGACAAUGUCAAACCAAUUUGAAUUGGCGAGCUUCAUGCUUAUAACAAAACUAAGACAACGAGCAACACAGAAGAGAAUGGCAAUGCCAAAAAUUGCACCCCUCACUUACCUAUUUCACAACUAUUAAAUGUUAAUAUGAAGUUUGAGAAAGCCGAGUUGUCUAAACCAAUCCAGAACAGCAAAUAAUCCUCCGUCCUGUGUCCCUCAGGUAAACUCCAACCCAAACCACCUAGUCUAAAUUUUGUAUCAGUCUUCUGAGAAGAAUCUUCAUUGUUAUCCUGCUCGCCAUUCAACAUUAAAUGUCGAUUUUCCAAUUUCAUAGAUGCGGAUGGAGUUAUAACUGAAUUAGUAACAUUAGCAAAAUGUAUCUGAAAUCCUGAGUUGGAGUCAUGAAACCUCAUUGCUUCAACAUUUAGUGCCUCUUUUAUAUCCGGCAUUCCAUGAGCAUAUUCUAACCCAAAAAGAACCUGCAAUAUCAGCGAUAUUCAAGUCAGCAAUUAUGUAACUUAGACAAUAUGUGUUACAAGCCAAAAUAAAACUAUCACCUAGAGCCCUGGAGUGAGAAAAUUGCAAACAAAAAUUUGUGUAAAAAAAGGCAAAAACAACCACAUGAUAGUAUAUGCAGUACUUUCCAACUUACCAGAACAGGCUUGCCACUUUUUACGCCAUAAUUGUAUAAACUUUCAGCACAGUUAGAUGCCUUAAGAGGAGCCUUGCCGAAAACACAAAAAGCUGGAAUUGUGGUUGUCCUGCCAAAACAUAUUAUAGAAACCCAAAAAUUAGAAACAAAUGGAAGAAAAAUUUUGUUUCCCACCAAAUUUUCUACUUGCAAACUCAACAAGGCAAUUUAAAACCAGAAAACUUGAUACCAAAACAUGUUCAAACUUAUACAUGACAGUAUGUAUGCAUCAUCAUUGAUACUUGUUUCCUUGAAUCAAGUACAUAGCAGCCUCAAAGAAUCAGGAACCACUUGGGAUAUUCUGUACUUGAAAUAAAUCUAUAGGUACAUAAAUUGCAAAAAAAAAAAUGGAAAUGAGGCCUCAAGGGUUCAUCAAAAAGCAAGUUUCCAACACAUUUGCAAAUGUGAUUGCUCCAUUUUUAAGCCUGAGAGUAAUUGGGACCAAGGAAAAAAAGGAGGUAAAUACUACAAGACAUAAUGUGUAACAUUUACUGUUCAAAUGCACGUUAACAGACAAACUGACACACCAAGAUACUCCCCGACUUCCAUUUCAGCACUGGUUGAGGCCUGUUUCUUCACAUUCAACAACAUAAUACAUGCGAAAGAAGCAAUAAGAGCGUUUCACCAUGGAAGCUAGGACCAAUUGACUCCCUACAACUUCAAAAAACCAAAAGAAAAAAAAAAUACAGAGAGUACACUUUUACCAAAUUCUACUAGUUCAUGUAGCAACCAACUCCAAAACCGAAAAGGCCAAAUUUCCAAAACUUUCAAAAGCAGCAAUAACAAGUAACAAUAACCCUUAAUGCACUAUCUUCAAAUUAAUUAGUACCUCAUACACUAAAGGUUGUACCCUUCCGACCAUUUCCUCAAACUAAACCAAAUUAAUUAACACUAAACAGCUCCUUAAUCAAAAUUACGAACAUAGUUACUAUUAAACACAUAAUAAACAAACUCACGGGCUGAGGCAACUGUGGCCGUAAUGAAUAAUGCAAUCAGCUUUCACAUGAGCAGCUCCGACCUCGUCCACGCAGCAGCUGCCGUAGGUGGUGUCGGCCAUCACGUACAACUUAGCGGUUGCACGUGACUCGUCGGAAUUCUGAAGAGGCCGGUGGAGCUCUUGCCGGAGAGCACUCACGACUUUCCUUGAAUCUUUCAGGAGCUCAUCUGGAAACUACAAAUAAAAUAAAUAUAUAAAAUCUCAAUUAAUAAUUUUAGGAAUUAUUUAUUAGUUUUUUUACCAUUUUUAUUGUUAAUAAACCUGUAAGGCGACUCUGGAGAAGUUAUGGGCGAUAAUGAAGUCGGCGACGAGGGAAAUUUCGUAAUAAUUUUCAAAAUCCAUGACUGAAGAAUGCGGAGGCGCAGUGCGGAGGCGGAGGCGGAGGCGAAGCGAUGGCCUAUAUGGAGACGAGGGGAAUGAAGAGCAUAAUUGAGUGGGCCGAUUGAUGACGGGAAACGUGUUGUGUUAUUGGGUUGGCCCAAAUUACCGUUCUGGACUUUAAUGUUUCAAGAGGUGGUCUAAUCUAUAUGUCUAACAUCUAUCUAUCUAUAUCUAUAUCUACAAUCUAUAGGGUCCGUUUGGAUUAGGUGUUUUUGGGGUUGUUUUUCAAAAACAGCACUGUAGCAUUUCAUUUUUCAAAUACAAGUCCGUUUGGAUUAGUUAUUUUUUGGGUUAUUUUUCAAAAAUUAUAUAAAAAACUUUUACUGUAGAUGUUUUAUGGAUUAUUUUUAGAUGUAUUUUUAAAACAUAUUUUCGAGUAUUUUUAUAAUUUAUAAUUUUUAUAUUUUUAUAACAAUAUAUAAUUAUACAUUUAUAAAUAUUUAUAAAUAAAUAAAUUUAUAUAAAAAUAUAUAAAUGUAUUAUAUUAUAUAUAAUACAUAAUAUAAAUAUAUUUAUAAAUGUAUAAAUUAUAAAUGAAUAUUAUAUAAAUGUAUAAAUUAUAAAUUUUAUAUUUUUAUAUUUAUAUACAUUUAUGCAUUUAUAAUACAUUUAUUAAUAUUUAUAAAUAAAUAUAUUUGUACUUUUAUAAAUAAAUAUAUUCAUAUAUUUAUAUAUAAAUGUAUUAUAUUAUAUAUAAUACAUAAUAUAAAUAUAUUUAUAAAUGUUUAAAUGUAUAUUACUAUAAAUAUUUAAAUUAUAAAUGAAUAUUAUAUAAAUGUAUAUUAUAAUUUAUAAUUUAUAAUUUUUAUGUUUUUAUAUUUAUAUGCAUUUAUAAUACAAUUAUAAAUAUUUAUAAAUAAAUAUAUUUAUAUGUUUAUGAAUAAAUAUAUUUAUAUAUUUAUGAAUAAAUAUAUUUAUAUAUUAUACUAAAUAAGUAAGCGUAUUAUAUUUAUAAAUAAAUUUAUAUAUUAUAUAUAAAUAAAUAAGUGUAUUAUAUUUAUUGAUUUAUUAUAUAUUAUAUUUAUAAAUAAAUAUAUAAAUGUAUUAUAAGUGUAUUAUAUUAUUUAUAAUACAUAAUAUAAAUAUAUUUGUAAAUGUAUAAAUGUAUAUUAUUAUAAAUGUGUAUAAAUUAUAAAUGAAUAUUAUAUAAAUGUAUAUUAUAAUUUAUAAUUUAUAAUUUUUAUGUUUUUAUAUUUAUAUACAUUUAUGCAUUUAUAAUACAAUUAUAAAUAUUUAUAAAUAAAUAUAUUUAUAUAUUAUGUAUAAAUAAAUAAGUAUAUUAUAUUUAUAAAUAAAUUUAUAUAUUUUAUAUAAAUAAAUAAGUGUAUUAUAUUUAUUUAUUAUAUAUUAUAUUUAUAAAUAAAUAUAUAAAUGUAUUAUAAGUGUAUUAUAUUAUAUAUAAUACAUAAUAUAAAUAUAUUUAUAAAUAUAUAAAUGUAUAUUAUUAUAAAUGUGUAUAAAUUAUAAAUGAAUAUUAUAUAAAUGUAUAAAUUAAUAUAUUAUAAAUAUAUAUUAAUACUAUGUAUAAAUGUAUUAAUGUAAUAAAUGUAAAUGUAUACAUUUAUUAAUAUUAUGUAUAAAUGUGUAAUUAAUAUUAUGUAUAUUAAUAUAAAUGUAUAAAUGUAUUAUAUUAUAUAUAAUACAUAAUAUAAAUGUAUAUUAUAAAUAUACAUAAAUAUAUAUAUUAUGUUUAAAUGUACAUUUAUAUAAAUGUUCAAUAUAUAUAAUAUAUAUUAUGUAUAUAUUAAAUAUAUAUAAUAUAUAACAUUUAUAUAAACGUAUAAUAACAUAUUUAUAAUAUAUAUAAUUUAUAUAAUAUAUAAUAUUUAUAUAAAUAUAUAAAAAUAUAUUUUAUAUAAAGUAAAAUAUUUAUAAUAUGUAUAAAUAAAUAUAUUUAAAUUAAUAUAAUAUAUAUAUCCUAUACAUAAUUGAAAUAUAUAAGUUGAAAUAAACAUAUUAAAUAUGUAUUUGGAGUUGUUUUUGAUAUAUUGUUUGGAUAUUGGUGUUUUUGGAGUUGUUUUUGAAAUACACAUUUACUGUAGCAUUUGGAUCGUGAAAAACAGUUUUUAAAAAACAGGCCCUAAAACAAGAAUCCAAACGGAUCGUAUAUAUAACAAUUGAAAAGGGAGAGUUGGGUGAAUGAACAGUAAAAGAGUGUCUUCGUCGGUUAUGUCAGUAUUCCUUGAAAUGUUGAGGUUAUUGUGGUCCAUUUACGUUGGUCUCUUGCCUUCUCGGUUGUUCAAGUGAUUAGGAUUAGUCUUAGUAGUCAUUCAUUUUUCGGCUAUGCCAUUUUUUUAUUCCUCUUUUACUUUUACUCGGCACAUGGUUUUUUUGUAAUUUCUAUGUUCUUUGUUCCUCUUUUAUUUGUGUCUUUCUUGCAUCUACUGAUCCACAGACAUGGCUCACGUACACAUUUAUGACUAUUACUUGAGGCUUGGGUAUCUCUUAUUUUUCUAUUAUGUCAUUCAUUGUUUCUUUAGUUUAGCAUGUAUGAUUUAGUUGCUUGGUUCCUUUGUAAUUUUAUUGGUUUUUUACCCUCAUUUUUGUUUGCUCAUUGUUAUCCUAUGUGGACCAUAUGAAUGGGCGGUUUUUUGUACCAUGUUUCCGCCAACGUUUGCUGUCAUUUAAUGGAAAAUUCCCCUUUUUAUUCUGCCUUUUUUUUGUUUCCUGCUACUGUUGUUUUUUCCCAAGCACUAACAUUAAAUGUUGAAUGCCCUUUCAAGCACUGCUUGUUUCUAAAGUACCUACUCUUCUGUACUUUUGAUUUGCUUUUGUCAUUCCUAGACUCAUGACAGAUAUGACCAUCCAUACAUUUUCCUCCUCGUUAAUCAUGAUAUUAUUGCUUUUUUGUGUCCUUUUUUCAUAUUUUUUACUAGAUACCGAAUUCCUUUUGCGUUCUUUUCUGCCUUCGACCUUUGCAUUCGUAUUGCUUUCUGUUUUACCGUGUUUCUUCCUCCUGCAACUUUCUUUUCUUUCCAGAAGUUUGUUGUUGAGGUCAAUUGCAUUUUCGUUGUACAUGUAUUACGGUUAUUCCUUUGCAUUUUUCCUUCUUUUAUUCAUGAUUUGCCACUGUCAUUUUUUCCUUUUCCUCUACCCUUUCUGUUUCAUGUUCCUCUGUCCUUUCUCUUUCAUGUCUUACAUUCUCUAUGCCUAUGUUUAUGCUUUUUCGUAUGCCCAUGUUUACACUUUUUGCUCUAUAUUUUUUAUUUGCUCGUCCAAUGGAAAAUAGGUGUUGUAAUUAAGUGUUUUAGGAUUGCACAAUUUUGUUGAGAUUUUUGUCGUUGAUGAUGCUAUCAAAAUUUACCAUGUGAUGUGCCCUUAAUGUCAGACAGUUACCUGUGCCUUAUAUUUACAUAUGUUUUGCGGGUUGUUAACACUACAAUCCCCUUUUUUUUAGGUUGUGUAUUGUGUUGCUGCUUUUGCUCUUAUUAGGCUUGCUGCUUUGCACAAGUAAUGCACUUUCUUUUAUUCUUUUUUUAGCCAGUUACAGUGUUACAUGUUUUUACCAUAGUCCUUUUUUUAACUUAACCGCUCACAUAGUAUGCAUAUGUUGCUCAUUUUUAUGCUUUUGAUUUUUAUGUGCUAUGAAUGUAAUCACUUUAUUUGAAUACAUUUUUGAAAAAUUAAACAUAUUUUGCGGUUGAUGGUAUUUGCAUGCUUUGCUUGUCUUAUUUUUGCCCAUUUUUAGCAUUCAUGGGUCGCAAAAGAAAGUCCUUCUCUGAUGAUGAUUGUCGAUUACACAAAAAUCGUCGCGCAAGAGAAAUAUAUGCAGCAUUAUCUGAGACCAAAAAAGCUGAAAUUGCAGCUAAAAAACGCGAAACACGCCUUAAAUCUAAAUUAGCUGCUUUAUCGUCACCUUCAAACCUCAUUGAGGACAUGGAAUUGAACGCGAUCAUUGCUGAGUCUAUAGUCCAGUCGAACGCAUUUAUUCUGGAUACUACUGCUUCUGUUUUAGAAACUCAUCAAAACGUUGACCAAGGUGCUGCUUUGCAUGCCAUUUGUGCAUUUUCUUGCUUAUAUAUAUAUAUAUAUAUAUAUAUAUAUAUAUAUAUAUAUAUAUAUAUAUAUAUAUCAUGAAUACAAUUUUAGUCUUAUUUAAAUGCCUUCUUGUAUCAGCUUCUUCAUCUGUUUUAAAUGUCCUAUCGAAUAGCAAAGCCUUGCCUAAUACUGAAUCAGGUAAUGUCCUAUAUCUUAUAUACCAUAAUAUGAAUAUAUAUAUAUAUAUAUAUGUAUAUAUAAAAUAGUUAUUUUCUUUUUACGAUUAAUUAUCUAUAUCUAUAAAUCUUUUCUAUAAGUCUCGAUAUUUUGUUUUCAUAUUUGCAGACUAUAUAGCUAAUAUGAGGCCGCCAACUAAAAUGCAUGAUGUGCUAAACAUGGAAUCAAGAAUUGUUGGUAGUAUUUCUAAAAGGAUGACAUUCAAUCAUUAUACAGUUUUUUGUGAUUAAACAGUCCUAUAUAUUACUUAUCCUUAUAAUGUCUUUUUCCUUCCUCUACAUUUCAUUUAAAAUUUGCAUAAUCUAUAGCUUAUACCGCACCAACAACUACAGCAGAAACUUUCUCACAUACCAUCUCACUUCCUAUUGGUAUUAGUCCUUCUGCAAUGCUACUCAUCUAUUAUGUACCUGUUUAGAAUUUUUUUUUAAUUAAUUAUAUCUUCUUUUAACAUCAAUAGGUCAUCGUCGUAGGCAACAAAAUAAAUCCCACAUAAUAGACCAAAUACCUACUGAACCAAAUAUUUUAUCCAAAGUUAAUGAUUGUGUAUACUGCGGUGCAAAGCGUUCUAUUUAGAACCCCUUAGAUUUGGUUGUUGUGCUAAUGAAGUUCAAUCGGCAGCUACUGAAAUGCCUUCAGAAUUAGUCAAAUUAUACAGAAGUAAUAAUGAAGAGGCAUGUGAAUUUCGUCAAUGUGUUAGAAGUUAUAACAACAUGUUUGCAUUUACAUCUCUUGGAGUGCAUUACGACAAAGAACUCAGCAGAAGAAAUAGAGAAAUUUAUACAUUCAGAGUUCAAGGUCAGAUGUACCAUUUUAUGAAUCCAUUGAGUCCUUCACAUGGCCAGCCUCCUUCGAAUGUUCAACUAUAUUUCUUUGAUACAGAUCAUGAAACAAGCAACCGUAUGGCCAUUUCUCCUAAAUUUAAGAAGACUAUUAUAGAGCAGAUUCAGAGAAUACUAGAUUGCAAUCCAUAUUCUGCAUUAUUUCGCCGCUUAGCAGAUGUUCCGAAUGUCGAUGAGUAUAAAAUAUUUUUAAGGUCAGAUCCAGCUGUGGAUCAAAGAGUAUUCAAUGCACCUACAGUAUUGCAGGUAGCUGUAGUUUGGUUUGAGAAUGAUAAUAAUAUUGGAGACACAUCUCGUCAUAUAUAAGUUUAUCCAAAGUCAGGCAAUGUGCAAAUUAUGAAGCACUAUUUUGGCUGUUUUGAUACUUUGCAAUAUCCGCUUAUAUUUGCAAAUGGAGAGACAAGAUGGCAUGAAGGAAUACAGAGAUUUAUAAAAGGUGUUGAUGACGUUGCUGGUCAUGCCACAAGUAUUGGUGAAAAUAUGAGUUUUCAUACUUGUGAAAAUGCAUACCAACUUUUUAUGGCAGAGGAUAAAGGUUAAUUCUUAUACAAUUCUUUUAAUUUGUAUUUGCAAAUUUUAUUCUAUAUUUUAUACUUCAAUAUGCAAAUAUUGAGAUUUUACUGCUUCAUUUUUCUGUGCAGCAUUAAAACAAAAGAAGACCAAAAAGCAAACAAUAGUUUCUUGCCAAGAGUAUUAUGCGUAUAAAUUCCAGAUGCGACAAUCUGACAGAUCUUUUUUGCUUGAUGUCGCAAGAUUAUUUCAGCCAUUUGUAGUGGAUACAUAUGUUAAGAUAGAAUCAGCUUGUUUGGAUUUUCAUCGAAACAAACAGCGAUACAUUCGAACAGAAUUAUACCAAGGAAUCCUAGACAGUAUCGCAGUUGGUGAGACAUCAGCCUCAAAUAUAGGAAAAUGAAUUGUAUUGCCGGCAUCAUUCAUCGGAGGUCCUAGACAACGCCUUUUUACCCAAAAAAAUGCUUUCCUUAAAUCCCUUGCAGCUGUGUAAAAAUAUCUACUUAUUUGUCCAGAGUUAACUGGUGAAAAAUAAGAGAACACAGAAUUUUGAUACAAGCAAAAUCACCAGAAGUAUGACAUAAGCAACAUAUUUCUUCCCAUUUUUUCUGUUCCUCAUAAACAAACGAAACUAUCUUAAUAACUAAAUAGCUUCCCCGGAAGAAAAUCACCUGAAAUAAAGUAACCAGCUUAACUCAGCACAAAAUCAGCUGAUAUUAUUUGGACAGCAAGCACAGAUAUGCAACCCCAAGUUCAAAGAAUAUAUAUUCAAAUACAAACUACAAAUAACAGUUUUCCUUUUAGACUAAUAAAGGUAAAAGAGACUACAUAUCUCGAAACUCCUAUAUUGUUCCAUGAAGAUUGCAAGUUACAGAGAACACACCAUAUCUUUAAAGACCUGUUUAAAUUGAUCCCCUACCCUCUUUUCAGAUAUAAUUGCCAAAAGCACCUGAAAGACCACUAGGCUAUAACAAAAGAACCGCAGUGUAAAAGGGCAAUUGAGAUAUGACAACAUCAGGCAUCCAAUUCAAGCUAAAUUUUCAGUAAAAUAUCAAAUUCCAUUUGUUCUGUAAUACAAACUGAAGAAAACAAAGGUUCACCAUCGAGUACACAAUACUGUCACACAAUUAGUCAACUUCAAGGGCGCAAUAUAUCAGCAACUGUCAUAAAAUCCUAAAGAAUCGAUCGAUACAUCAUUUUCACCGCUCGAUAGAUGAUUUGAUAAGCCACAUGGAUGGGCAAUCACUACAAGGCAUCUAAAUAAUUUCACAUAUUCUUUUUCAUUUUACCCUUUUACUAAAUAAUUCCACAUAUUCAAGUAGAAGAUAAUCCAUGAGGAAAAGCAAACUACCAAAAGGCAUUGGUUUCUGAUAUUUCCAGCAUCUACCAGCAUGGAAGGGUAUAUUUUUAAGGAAGAUUGUUUGGAGGGGAAGACAGAAAACAAUGUGAAAGUAGCUUCAUUCUUCUAAGGAGCAAGUAUUGAAUAUCAUAGUUUUCACAUGUUAUAGACAACUGAAAAAGUUCAAUCACCAAUAACUACACUCUUCAACAGUAAGCAUACAACAUAAACAUGAGAUCAACAUUAACAACUCUCCUAAUGCUUGUUUAAACUAUUUGGCAGGAUAAGGCCACCACUGUUUAGUGUCAUCUGUCCUCAAGUAUCAAUGCACAAAAUCUUAUUGCUAUUACAUUGUCCUAUCAACUAAAACUAGCUACAAAUAAAUGAUGCUUACAAAAUGCCUCUGUAAAAAAGAACCGGUAGAUGGAUUCCAGGGUUGCAAUGCUACAUCAUGCAGUUAGAUACAAAAAAGAAUGAAUCUACCCUUAGAAAUCAGGUACCAGCAUCCAUAAACUGUUCUAGCUGUUGUUGUAGGCGAAAACUGGAAGAACGGGAUUUAACUUCCUUCCUUUUUGUUCCCAAUAUAUUAUCAUGAUCUGUAUUCUCAAUCUUCAUCCACGAAUGUAAUUGUUCAAUAAAAAUGCAUAACUCAUUAGAUAACGGAUCAUGUUUAUCUCCUGCAACAAACCUGUAUGCCCUAUUGUUCACAUGAAGCAAACUGUACCCAGCGAGUACCUUGGCCCCACUUUUCUUGCCCAACAAUCUCAUAUUGGCAGCAUCAUACCAUAAACCACCAGACGCAUACAUGUUAGAUGCCAGCAAAUAUCCAUCACUACUAGAUGGCUCCAAUUCAAGAAUAUGAGCUAAAGCACCAGCCCCAACCUCCCUAUUACCAGAGUUCCUACAACCGCUCAAGAUUGCACUCCAUGCACUAGCGCUAGGCUUUACUGUACAAGGUAUUUUGUUGAUAAAAUCCAUUGCACUAUCAAACUUUCCAGAUCGAGCCAACAAGUCCACAAGACACGAAUAAUGUUCCACCCCAAUUUCAACACCAUAUUCUUGUAUCACAUUCUCAAAGACAGACAAGCCCUCAUCAACCAAUCCCCCAUGGCUACAUGCAGAUAACAGAGAAAGGCUUGUUACUAAGUUGGGCUUGAGACCCUGAGAUUCCAUUUUGGCAUGUAAAGCUAAAGCAUCACGAGGAAGGCCAUUCAUACCAUAUGCUGCAAUCAUAGCACCCCAUGACACAAUGUUUUUUUGGGGCAUGUAUUCAAAAGCUUUUCUUGAAGCCUGUAUCGCCCCACAUUUGGAAUACAUAUCCAAAACAGCAGUUCCAACUGCAACCUCAAAAGCUAAGCCAUGUCGAAUAGCAAUACCAUGAGCAGACUUUGAUAUGUUCAGAUCUGCAAAAAGAGAGCAGGCUUCAAUAAGAUUCAACAUGGUAACUGUGUUAAGAUUUUCUUCAAUCAGCUUCAUCUCUCGGAAAAGAGCAAUUGCUUCACCAGGCAUGUCCCAGUAAGUGAAUGCUGCAAUCAUUGUGCUCCAAGUGACCGCAUCUCGGUGCUUCAUCUGACUAAACUGCUUCCAUGCAAGACUAAUGCAAUUGCAUUUUGCAUAUGUAUCAAUUAAAGAAUUUUUGACCAACUCAUUUGAUUCAUAACCUUGUCUAAGUACUUUGGAAUGAAUCAACUUGCAUUGAUAUGGUAACAUAAGAUAUUUGCAUACUUGAAGCAGAUUGACAAGGGUUACUUCAUCAGCUUCAACUCCUGCCCUUCUCAUUGAAUCAAAUAACAACAGGGCUUCAGAAUGCUUCUCACUUUGAACAUAUCCAGAUAGUAGAGCAUUCCAUGAUACCACAUUCUUUUGACUCAUCUCGCUGAAGGCUUUAAAAGCAGAUUCAACAUCAUCACACUUGGAAUAGAAAUCAACCAACGAGUUACCUACAAACACAUCACAUUUCAGGCCUCUCGAAAUCGCAAAGCCAUGGACCAAAUUUCCCAUUUCAAUGUUCUGUAAAUUGGUGCAUGCUUUGAGUAUAGUUACAGUUAUAGGCCCAUCCACUUCAAUGUGAAACUCAGAUACCAUUUGCCGGAAGAACUCUAAAGCAACUCUGGCUUCACCAUUUUGCACAUACCAGCCAAUUAUUACGCUCCAAGAGAUUACAUCUCUAUGAUGCAUUUCAUUGAAGAGCUUCCGAGCAAGCUCCAUCCUGAUGUCUGCAUACAUACAUAAAAGGGAGUUCUGAACUGAAGAGAUGGCCCAAAACCCGCUACGAACAAUAUACCCAUGAAGUAUUUGCCCAUCAUCAAAUAACUGGCGUUCACGACAUGCACAAAUCACAAGCACCAAAGUGGAUAUGUUAGGUUUGAAUCCUGUAAUUUUGGCCUGGAAAAACAAGCCUAACCCCUGCUCAAAAGCACAUUGAUCAAGGUGUCCAUGAAUGAUUAUGUUCCAAGAAACUGAAUCUCUGUUCCUCAUGCAAUCAAAAACAUCAUUUGCACAACCCAGGGUUCCAGAUUUCACGUAAAAAUCAAUAAUAGAAUUGCCCAAGGAAGUGAAUGAAUCAAGUCCCUGUUUAAGCAAAGAUGCAUGAAAGGACUUGCCAUAAUCAAAAGAUAUCGCAGAACAUGCUUUGAGAAUGGGAGGGAAGACAGAAGGAUCAGUCAAUUGAACUCCUGCCUCCCUCAAUUCACGGUGACAGGAAAGAACCUCUUGCCAUCUCCCAGUAGCUGCUAAGUUCUUGAUCUUUGAAAAACAGCUGGGGAGUCUUGAAACUGAUGAAAUGCGCACAGCCAUGAAUCACUUGCAUUAUAAGGGCUGCAGGCUCAAUAGCUAAAAGAUUCAAUAGUUAGGUAACUCUACUCCUUCCAGCCAAUAGCAAAACAUCACAAAUCUAUGGUAGCAUUGGACCUCAUAAGUCCUCGCUUUCCACAAUGAAGCAACCGAUAUGUGCAUUCUUGGUGACCUCCUGAAACGCAAUCUGGCAUCCUUUAUUUGCAAAUGUUACAGCUUCCAGAAAUGGCUACACUAAAUCCAGAUUCAGAAAAAAAAAAAAAAAAAAAGUUAACAGCAUAUAACAAGAAGGGCCCUACAAGUUGUCAACAUCUUAAAAAGCCCAGCAGAUAUAAAAAAAAUUCAUAAAUUGCUUGUAAAAUACAUGAAACUAAGAAGAAAUCCAUUAAGGUAAACAAAAAUCAUAAAAAUUCCAAACGAGAUCACAAAACAAUUUCCUUUCUGUUUUUGAUAUUUCCUUCCGGUUUUGUGCACAUUUCCUACAAAUCAAGCCCACUAAUGGCAUGACCUUUGAAUAUUUAUCCAAAUUCAGGUAAAUACAGAACUAAUCACAUUGGAAAAAACAACCCCCUUAAUCUAAAGAACAAUUUCUGUAGUAUAUCACUUCCUAAAUUCCACUACCAAUAUACAAUACCAAAAAAAAAUCCAAUGAAACAAAAUACAAAAAAAAUAAAGAAUAAACCCAAUGAGAAUUUUGGCAUAAACAAUUACAAAGAGAACCCAGUUUCAUACUACUCUGCUUCUGUUACCAGAGAGAAAGAAAAAAACCCAAUAGAGAUAGUUAUCCAGCAGCUAUCAUUCAUUUCAGUUCUCUACUUUACAAGAAAAAAGAGUUGUUUUUCUCGGACCAAACAAACAAACCAUGUGAACUUGAGAAGGAAACAAAGAAAACAAUGAAAUUUUACUAGAGGGGUUUUACCGGCGACGGAGGCCUCUUCCUGGGAAAUGGUCGUAACUCAGAAGAAAGAGCGCCGGCAGUGGCUGUUAUAAGAAGCGGCCAGUAACGCCGCUUUGAAAUUACGAUGACUACUAUUUUUUUUUUUUUUUGGUGACGGUACUGUGGUUGAAGGUUUCCUAUUAAAAUAGGCUUUCUGGAUAAGAAAUUCAUGUGGAAAAUUUGAAGCACUUGGUGAUAUUGGGGAAUUUCUUUUCUUUUCAAAUACUCAAAAUCAAGUUUUUUUACUAUGAAGUGGUCUGUCAAUUUUGAUAAAAUAAGUUGUGUUUAUGAUUAGUAAGUACUAGGUAAUCUGGCUAAUUCCUUAUAUAAGAUUAUGGAUGAAAAGAGAAAUCAUAAAUGUUGUCUGAUAAAUAGUUUCCUUCACAUAUGACGUGAGAUUUUUUUUUUUUUAAACGUUGCCCGCCGGAUUAACAACAACAAAUGUGUUUAGAUUAUAGAUCAUUUGGAAUUUUUUUGUUUUUUGAAAAAAUCUUAUAACAAUUUUUUUAUAUAAUAUAUGUGAAAUAAAAAAAGUAGUUCAAAAAUAUAUUUAUAAUGCAAGUAAAUAAAAUUGUGCAAAUAUCCCUACUCAACAAAAAUAAUCAAGCUGAAUGCAAGCAUAAAGAAACGUAAAUCAAUCAACAACACGUAACCAUUCAAUUGCUGCUGGCCAUAUUUACAAGAACUCACAUUAUAAGGGAAGGAAUGUAAUAACAGGUUCUAAGUUAUGCCAAUGAAACAUUACAACAGCUUACAAAUAUGCUCUCUCCUAUCCUAUGAAUAUGCCUGACUAAUACAAGACAUAAAUGGAAUCUGAUCCAGUUCAAAGAGGAAAAAAAUGCAGAGACGACCCCAACUGGUGGAACUUAGGAAAGUCAACCCCUUCUGUUUAACCGAAUAGGGAUGAAAGUAUACCACGAAAUGGGUAAUAGCUGCAAGAAGCUCUUCCCAAGGCUAGAUUAAAAUUAACCAUGCCAAUGCAAGGCAAAAAUGCCAGCACCACAGUAGCAAUAAUAGCCGGAGAUUCCCAAAUUUAGCCACAAACACUUCUAUGGGUGCCAAAGCUGCUGCACAACUACUGCGUUCUGCCAAAAUACCCCCAAUUGGUUUCAAUGGAAGAACUACUGGGAAUUCUGCUUUAUGUCUACUGUCCAAACAUUACACAGAUUUCGCUGUAUUUCUGCGCUGGCUUUCUAUUGCAAAUGUUUCCCCAAACGAUCUAGCUUAGUGCACCAUCAGUUGGAUACUCUCUUCCUUUCUCUUUGCUUAUUUUCAGAGCAGUAGAAUAAAAUCACAUAUCGUGUCAUUUGCUUUGUUCAUCCUCAUAUCCAGAUGUCUUCCCUGCUCUACCGAUUAAAAACAGCUCUGGAAAAGAGUCACUGCUAUGGAUUUCAAGACCUUGAUAUGAUCGAGCUGCAAAAAACUCAGCUCCAGAUUUAGCAUCUCUUCUUGACAACAGCUCAGAGUCCUUGUUUUGGAGCAGCAAAGCCUUCUCUGUGACAUUUACCAGGGAGAGAACUGCAUCCUUUUCCUCCUUCCCCUCUGAUAGGACCAAAAAUUCAAAGGGACCAUUAAAUGAGCACAGCCAAGAAAGAAGCGAGACAUUUCAAAUUAACAGUCACCAGAAUAAAGCUACAUUUGUCCAUUGACUGAUCAAAUGAGGAAAAAAAAAUCUGGUUUCCAGAAUAAACAUAUCAGCUCAACUUUAUAGGAACGACUUAUCAUAUUAUGAACCAUUACAUGACUUUAAGUUAUGAACAGUCACACAAAGAGGGCUAAUAGACUAAUUCGAUCCAAAUCGUAUACUUUAGAAAAUAACCCAUCAUGAAUGAUGAGAUUUAAAAAACAAUGCUGAACAGGAAACAAAAAAGCAAACAUGACGACAAAGAGAAUUAUAUAUGUUUGUGUGUGUACACAUAUAUAUACACACAGAACAUCGCAAGCACAUUGAUGAUUACUCAAGUACAUCAUCAAUAACUAUCAACACACAAGCAUGGAAAUAGAAGCAUAGCCUUAAAGACUUUAGGUAGUUCACCAAUUGGCUUAUGUGACCCAUAUGAUAACACAAGCCUUAAUUCUGUGUCAUCUCCCAUCAAGCAUCCAUGCAUAACACAAGUACCUUGUUUUUAUUGUUAAUUAAACGAGCCUCAAAAGAUGUCUUGAACAUCACCCUAGAAUGGAAAUAAAACCGGGUUCAUCGGCGCAAUAUUAUAUCAUGGAACUAUGCAAGAAAGAGAGACUCCGAUUCUCUAAAUUGGAAUUGCAAUGAAAGUAAAUCAAAUUCUCAUUUGGUUGUCUAGCUUCACAAGAGGGCUAAUUCCUCUCAUUGGUGCCAGUAGAAUAUUCAGUGAGUUCAGAGCUAAUGAAGUUGCGUAAAUUCUAUAUAAUGGUGCACAUAAGGUCAGCUGAACAAGAAAUUGCCUCACUUGUCAUUGUUAAGUAUGAAUUUGGAAGAACUCUAUAGCCUAAAACAAAUACCUGGUUCCAAUGUUUUUAAAGGAGUUUUUUUUGAGACCUCAAGAUAACAGAAGAUACCUUGCAAUUUAAAAUCUUCAACAUAUCCACCCUGAAAGAAAGAAAAACGUGAUCCUGCCUCAUCUUCUACUUCUGCAGGCUGGGAAGCAACCACAUCCUGAAAUUCCAUUGAGUAAGCUCCGGUCCACUGACUGCCCCUGCAAUAGUGGUUUAACAAGAGUUGAUCAUCUAGUAUUUACAACAAGUUCAAAGGAUAAUAUUAUCAUUAUCAAUUCCCAAGCCCGUCGAAUUGGUAGAGUCUAGGCUGGAAUAAUCACCAAAUCCAAUACCAAAAAGGGAUUUUAUUUACUUACAGCAAGACUAUUUAGAGUGUAAAGGAGGACUUCCAGACCUCAGCCGAAUGAUCUAUUACUAUCUCCUGCCCUGAGGUCUGGAUAAAUUUACUUUAUUCAAAACUUAAAUAAACUUCGAAUCAUAUAGCAGCGUAUCAAAACCAUGACGACUGAAUGUGAAUCAACAUAUAAUCUUAACAAUGUCUGCAGACAAAUGAGGACAGAAUUAAGAUGAGACGAUACAAUAUUCACAGUUCAGACACUGAAUAAUCUAAACUUGAGAAGAGGAAAAAAAAAAAAGACAAAGUGGAUGGCAAGAGACAAGGACUAAAAUAGAAACACAAGGGAACUCUAGCUUGCAAAGAGGUUAUAGAUCAACCAGGUUAUAGAUCAACCAAUCAAGGAUCUGAAAAAUACAACCACAUUUCAGCAACAGGUUUACGUGUAUUCCUCUUACAAAGUACUACUAGUUAUUUUUCAGGUUUUCUGCUCCUAUGACAAAGCUAAUUCAAUUCAAUAUUGCCUUUCAGCAUAUAUUGUAACAGAGAAAUGACUUGAUGAUCUUAUAGCCCCAAACUCAAUAUCUGAAAACAGAUAAUUGCAAAGCUCAACAAUAUCCAUGACAAUAACAUUAGAAACUUGAAGAUUCAUGAAUAAUGUGGGUAAUAAAAGCAGCAUUAGAACCAAAACUAGGCUGAUGAAAUGUAGCAAGGUAAGCAUGGAUAACAAAAGCAGCAUCAGAACCAUAAAAUCUUCAAUGCAUGUGAACCAAACACAUCUGAACUUCUAAGUAGGUCUAAGGGAGUCCAAUUGCUUCUAAGUAAAAGCAAGGCACUUUUUGAAAAGCUCCAAGUUUGAGCUUCAGGUAGAGUUACCAUUAGCCAAAAAUCUUUUUAAUAUAAACACUUUUAUCAGGACAUUACCAGGUACUUUAUCACUACAAAAAGAACUUUACCAAAUCUUUUACACAACAUGGACACUUUGUGCAACCAGAAAUCAAUGUAAAACUUAAAGCUAGUUCAAAAUUUUCCUAAUAACUAAUUUCCGAACCUCAGACGAGGUUAGACACUGUAAUUAUUAUGAUAGAGGAGUAAUAUCACACAUAGUUUUCGAAAAAUGACUCCCCUUCAUUUAUUUAGCUACCUUGCAUACCUCUUGGACAUCAAAUUGCAUAGUACUACUGUGACAGCCCCACCUCACCCUAAGGCGAACCAAAGGGUUCGGCGAACCGCCUGCCCAACUCUCGCCAGGACUCAGUCAUUCACUACAGUCCUCAAAUAAAUUAUAAGAUAAAUCUCAAAUAUACAUCAAAUGUGUCACAAUUUAGAUCUUAGGCCGGGUUCAUCAUUCUUAGUGAUCCCUAACACAUCAUAUAAAGUUCCGUAGAAUCAGAUUUCUAAUGCGCCCAAAUCAUUUCUAUCCUAGGCUUUCAUCCAUUUUCGUACUCGGGCGCAAGAAUCCAAAAUAAGAUAAUUCACCACUCGAGCUGGCCAGUUCCAAAAGUAAAUCAUCUACAUUUGUAAUUCCUACCUGACAUACGUAUCUAUGGUUCUCAGAUACCAUGAGGAAGAUUUAAGGCCUAUACAUUUAUGGUUCAUAGCUUACGCUCAAGCGAGCACUUAGUCCUUCAAACUUAUUCACCACUUGGCCCAAGCUCACUCCGCGCAGAGGCCACGCGAAGCAGGCUCUGAUACCAACUUGAAAGAAUCGCGUAGCUCUAAAAUUUUGGGCAGCAUACCCUCUGUAUUUACCUAUUUUCCAGCCAUUUAUGGCUUCAUUGUUUUCCUCAAUCAAUCCCAAAACCACACACAAAAUAAUCUCAUUUCAAUAGCCAUUCAAUAAGCUCCAAGUGGUACAAGUACAAAUUCAAGCUAGGACAAUGUCCGGAAAUAAAGUUGAUGCCCUAAAACCAAAAGACAGUUUUGACGUCAUUUAGCGAAACGGACACAACUGGAGCUACACUUAUCGGAUUGAGGUGCAAUUUAAACCGUUUCGAAACUAAGACAAAGGGCUACAACUUUGAUGAAGAUCACUUAGUCCAGUUAGUCCAGUUUGCAAUGUAUCUAGGUCAAAUUUACCAAAACAAUUUCAAAUUUUCCAGUUCGAAGUUUAUUAUGAAAUGCAACCAACAGUCCUGAUUCAUUCAAUCAUAUCUCAGUACAUACAACUCCAAUUCAAGUGAUUCCAAAGCCAUCUGAAAGCUAAGAUACCAGGCUAUAAAUGUUAAGAAGACAUCGACAACCAAAUCAGUAGUAUUCCCAGUCAAACUAACCAAUUACCAAAGCUGAUUAUCAGUUUCGGACAGAAACAGGACAGCAGGGGUAUUUCAGUCUUUUCACAGGCUACGUUGCUCCGAUUGGGCUGAAAUUUUGCAGGCAACUAUAAAACAUCAUUCUCUACAACUUUCAUGUUUUAACCUAAUACUAAUUCGGCUUCUAACUAGGCCCAACAGUACUGGGCAGAACAGGAAAAAAUUGAAACCCUAAUCUGGAAUUUUCCGCACAAAGUGAAAAUUUUCCGCAAUUCGCUACAAUUUACGCACUAUAGAUUCAUUCUAGACUAUCCUAAGCCAUCGUCCAUGGCCACACACCAUCAAACAUAUAAAAACAGAAAAAAUCAAGAUUAAAUAUAAAAUUCACCAAACUCAACUAAAAGUCAUGAAAUAUCACCUAAAUCCAUCUCUUUAACUCAUACAAACCACAAAUUUAGCAUUAUCAAGAACAAAAGAGAGGUUCCUUAGCUACUCACCUUGUAACUCAAGAGAAGAAGCAACUAAGCACCUUGGUCUUCCAAACCACUUCACAACCAACCUUAAUACCACUAAACUAAGAGGUUUUAUGGUGGAAAUCCAAGUUUAAUCGGUUAGAUUUGAAGAUUGAACAAGAUUGGAUGUAAGAAAGUUGGGAGUUUUCUCUUCUUUUCUCUUGAGGUUGGCCGGCCAAGAAGCUUCAAAAUAAGGAUAAUUUUGGGUCAAUUUUUGGUUAAAUUGGUAAAGUAAGAAAUUGGUCAAAAUCCAAAGGUUAACCACUAAGUGACACUUGUCACUUUCAUUAAUGCAUGGCUAUCACACCAAUUUGUCCCUCUCACACCAAUUCAUCUAGUAACCUCUAGUUAUCUCUUAACACCUACUAAAUUAAUCCCGGUAUACAAAACGUAACCCAAUCGGCCAAAUUUCAUCGAAUUUACUGCACUAGUGGGUCCCACAUUCGAUAUACAUUCUUAAAACCUCAUGAACUAAUUUAUACUAGAAAAAUUAUUUUAAAAACCCUAUUUGCUCAUACCAAUUAUCUGAAAAAAUUUUCUAAUAAAGAAAAGGUAUAAAAGGCGUGCAAUUAAAUAAAAUAAAGCCUAGAAAAUUGAAAAAUUUACGGGUUCUCACACUCUCUCCUCCUUAAAAGAAUUUCGUCCUCGAAAUUUCUUAUCAUCGCCUUCUUUGGAAUACAAAAUUUUACUGCUUCCUUCUCACGGUUAAAUUGAGCAUCAUACUUAGCUAACCAACCUGUUUCCCCUUCACUGGCCAGAUCAUUGAAUUCUUUGGUAUAAUUUCUUCUUCCUUCCCAAAGUGUAAUUCUUAUACACCAUUCUAGUGGUCAAACGGUGGAAUACCAGAAUCUUACCUUCCACGUCUUCAAACGAAUCAGGGACUUGAUGUUGCUCUAGGGCAUAUGUCCGAGCCGACACCUUUGGUCCAUUCUUCUCCCCCUUCGACUGGUCAGGGUUGGUCGUGGUUGGUUGUUGGUUCCUACUCCCUUCUCGAGAUCGGCCUGGGCAGUUUGCGAUUUGAUGAUCUGCGCUCCCACAACGCAGACAUUUUCUUCCUUUCUUCCAACAGACCUCUUCUGUGUGAUUCGGCUUCCCACAGUACCCGCAGGGACCAUGAGAAGCGGAGACCGAGCCUCUUCGUGAGGCACCACUUGACAUCCCUAGUAGUUGUACUCUCCCGUUGCCCCUUCCAAUCUUAGGAAACGUACCCUUAUCCCCUUGCUCUGAACUACUUCCAGGAAAUCCCCUUUUCUUGGUUUGGAAGUUCUUGACUUGUAACCUCGCAUUUUCAACUCGUUGAACUUUUUCCACAGCAUCACUAAAGGUACUGAGUUGGGCUACAGCCAGGUCUUUCUGAAUCUCAAUAUUUAAUCCCUGGACAAAACGUCUUAUCCUCCUUUGCUCAGUCAUAAUUAGUUCGGGAGCGAAUUUAGACAACCUGGUGAACUGGCUCUCAUAUUCGGCGACAGUUUGAGUUCCCUGCCGAAACCUAAUGAAUUCAUCUUCUUUCUUUUCCUGGAUCAGAGGUGGAAAAUACUUCGUGUUGAACUCUCUCAUGAAAUUCACCCAUGUCCUUGGGGUUUGUUCUCUUUCCCAUUUCAGUCUUAUGAUAUUCCACCAAGAUCGGGCCGCUUCCUCCAGUUAGAAGACGGCAAGUCACAUGUCGCUCCUCAGUGUAGUGUAACGCGGCAAAGAUAUCAAUCAUCUUUUCUAGCCACCCCUCGGCCACGUCAGGGUCUCGUCCUCCAAGGAAUUUCGGUGGCGAGAACUUUUGAAAUCGUUCAAGAGAUUUAUCCUCACCCUCGAUAUGAUUACCAGGAUUUUCCGGCUGAGUAAUAGAAUUUUGGCCUUGCUGUUCCCCUACGUGAGCCAAAAGGUCGGUCAUACGUUGGAUAGCGGUAACUACCUAAAUGUUAGGGUCCAGUCCAGGUUCAAGGUUGGGUUCAGGCAUUGGUUCCCGAUUUUCCCCUUCAUCCAAGGGUUGCCUACGUCCACGGUCCCGGCCUCGUCCACUACGUGUUCCUUCCAUUGGAUUAACUAAUCUAGACUCGAGGCGCGAAUACAAGAUACAAACUAGCGAGAUCAGUAAGUCAGAUAUAUAUAAUACGUCCGAAUCAAUUCAAAAGCAAAUAUGUAUAUAACUCGACUAUAUCAAACAAUUCACACAGUAACAGUCAGUCAGAUACAAGCAAAAAAAAUCCUAUGGAAGUGAGGGGGGGUCAUUAGCAACUAACGAAAAGCUUCCUCUUUCGUACUAGUAGUUAAUCUGAAAAGGCAUACGACAUGUAGUCGAGCCUUAUUUAUACAUUCCAUUUACUGGAUUUAUAACUGUGGGAUCCAUAAUUGCUUACUCUGGUUAUUCUAGGGUUUCUUGGUGAUUAGAGCCCUACUUUGAUUGAAACUUUUGACGUAUCCUUGUUUCACUGGUGAGUGCACUACUCCCCUGAAUCAAUGCUAAAUUGGUUUUCUGUAUUUGCAAUUUGCUAUUUGAAUGUCUUUCCUGACUGUUUAUCCUGUAUAAGACGAGGAUGUACUUUAUCACACUCGUUCUCUUGCCUGUACUGAACGAACUGGAAUAUAUUACUUGUACUUGUUAUGUACUUGAAUUUGUUACUUGCACUUGUUAUGAUGUCGUUCGAAAGUGUAUCCAACGACCUUCCUGUUAAACCUGAGCUCAAAUUCAUGGGGAGUUAAUUGAAUUGAGCCAGCAAGGGCUUGGUCGUGAAAAUUUACAAUCCAUGGAUACCUGCUCCUGGGGAAUCUAUGGGUAUUGGAAACUCUGAAUUUCCAGUAUACUCGAGUAUUACCAUUCCUGUUCCUGUUUGGCGUUCGGGUCCGGUAAGGGGUAUGUUUGGUGAAUGGGGUUUUGGCGUUAAAACAGUAUUCUACUGGAUUGGUUCCUGUAUUUGAACGUUGACGGAGGGUCAACGAGGCUGGAUCAAGUAUAGCAACGGGGAUUUGGCUCCUGAGAGCCACCUGUAUCCUUUACAUUGUGAUGUUCAUUCUUUUCUCGUAUUUGAUGUGAAUGUAUGCCUCCAAAGUGCUUCCUCAUGAAUUCUACUAUUUAUACUGUUGGUACCUCAUUGACCUUUUAGUUCACCCCAUUCCAUUAUUCUUGUUUUCCUUAAUGGUAAGAGAUAACUAGAGGUUACUAGAUGAAUUGGUGUGGGAGGGACAAAAGGAUAGCCAUGCAAUAAUGAAAAUGACAAGUGUCACUUAGUGGUUAACCUUUGGACUUUGACCAAUUUCUUACUUUACCAAUUUAAGCAAAAAUUGACCCAAAAUUAUCCUUAUUUUGAAGCUUCUUGGCCGGCCAACCUCAAGAGAAAAGAAGAGAAAACUCCCAACUUUCUUACCUCCAAUCUUGUUCAAUCUUCAAAUCUAACCGAUUAAACUUGGAUUUCUACCAUAAAACCUCUUAGUUUAGUGGUAUUAAGGUUGGUUGUGAAGUGGUUUGGAAGACCAAGGUGUUUAGUUGCUUCUUCUCUUGAGUUACAAGGUGAGUAGCUAAGGAACCUCUCUUUUGUUCUUGAUAAUGUUAAAUUUGUGGCUUGUAUGAGUUAAAGAGAUGGAUUUAGGUGGUAUUUCAUGACUUUUAGUUGAGUUUGGUGAAUUUUAUAUUUAAUCUUAAUUUUUUCUGUUUUUAUAUGUUUGAUGGUGCGUGGCCAUGGAUGAUAACUUGGAAUAGUCUAGAAUGAAACUAUAGUGCGUAAAUUGUAACGAAUUGCGAAAAAUUUCCACUUUGUGCGGAAAAUUCCAGAUUAGGGUUUCAAUUUUUUCCUGUUCUGCCCGGUACUGUUGGACCUAGUUAGAGACCGAAUUAGCCUUAGGUUAAAACAUGAAAGUUGUAGAGAAUAAUGUUUUAUAGUUGUCUGGAAAAUUUCAGCCCAAUCGGAGCAAUGUAGCUUGUAAAAAGACUGAAAUACCACUGCUACCAUGUUUCUGUCCGAAACUGAUAAUCAGUUUUGGUAAUUGGUUAGUUUGACUGGGAAUACUACUGAUUUGGUUGUCAAUGUCUUCUUAACAUUUAUAGUCUGGUAUCUUAACUUUCAGAUGGCUUUGAAAUCACUUGAAUUGAAGUUGUAUGUGCUGAGAUAUGAUUGAAUGAAUCAGGACUGCUGGUUGCAUUUCAUAGUAAACUUCAAACUGAAAAAUCUGGAGUUGUUUUGGUAAAGUUGACCUAGAUACAUUGCAAACUGGACUGAGUGGUCUUCAUCAAAGUUGUAGCCCUUUGUCUUAGCUUCGAAACAGUUUAAAUUGCACCUCAAUCCGAUAAGUGUAGCUCCAGUUGUGUCCGUUCCGCUAAAUGACGUCAAAACUGUCUUUUGGUUUUAGGACAUCAACUUCAUUUCCGGACAUUGUCCUCGCUUGAACUUGUACUUGUACCACUUGGAGCCUAUUGAACGGCUAUUGAAAUGAGAUUAUUUUGUGUGUGGUUUUGGAAUUGAUUGAGGAAAAUAAUGAAUCCAUAAAUGGUUGGAAAAUAAGUAAAUACAGAGGGUAUGCUGCCCAAAAUUUUAGAGCUACGCGAUUCUUUCAAGUUGGUAUCAGAGCCUGCUUCGCGUGGUCUCUGCGCGGAGUGAGUUUGGGCCAAGUGGUGAAUAAGUUUGAAGGACUAAGUGCUCGCUUGAGCGUAAGCUAUAAACCAUAAAUGUAUAGGCCUUAAAUCUUCCUCAUGGUAUCUGAGAACCAUAGAUACGUAUGUCAGGUAGGAAUUACAAAUGUAGAUGAUUUACUCUUGGGACUGGCCAACUUGAGUGGUGAAUUAUCUUAUUUUGGAUUCUUGUACCCGAGUACGAAAAGGGAUGAAAGCCUAGGGUAGAAAUGAUUUGGGCGCAUUAGAAAUCUGAUUCUACGGAACUUUAUAUGAUGUGUUAGAGAUCACUAAAAAUGAUGAACCCGGCCUAAGAUCUAAAUUGUGGCACAUUUGAUGUAUAUUUGAGAUUUAUCUUGUAAUUUAUUUGAGAACUGUAGUGAACGACUGAGUCCCGGCGAGAGUUGGGCAGGCAAUCCGUCGAACCCUUUGGUUCGCCUUAGGAUGAGGUGGGGCUGUCACAACUACUGAUUAUAACAGUAUACCACUAAAGGAAUUAAAAUGAAGCCUAUAAUCACUAUUGAUCCCUGCAUGAAUUUAUUCCAGCAAAGUUGUUGAACCUCUAACAUGCAGCACAAUUCCUAAUUGCUCAGGAAAAGAAAAUGUAAUAAAAAAAAGUAUAAAGACAAAAUCCAUUUCUGCAACCUGCAUUAUUUCCAUGAAAUGCAAAACCACCCAUUAGUGAAUAGUCAUCAAACGAAAUUGAUAAUGCCAUGCAAUUUAUAUAAGAUAUCCACUUAGAUGUGCUUUAGGUACAAUCAGGAAAUUAAAGAGCAUCCACAAAUUUCAACCACAUAAAAAACUUUACACUCAUAGUUAAAAUGGUAUUUACCUGUUGAAAGCUAUCAAAGCUUCAAAAGGAGUGAUUAUAGGAGCUAAAAACUCCUUGCUAUCCAAAAGAGCCGUUUGAGCGCAGGAUACAUAGAUGAAAACAUCACACUGCAUAUGCACCAGAGAUUUGAAAAAUUCUCAAAAGUUAAAAGUUGUAAAGAAAAUCUGUCCACAGAAACAAUGUUUACCUCAGGAAAAUUAGCUAAUUUUGCAGGAUUUGGCUUUCCCAUAAGAAAGGUAUAUGCCUUUUUCCCAGCUCUAGUCACGAGUUCUGUCAUUUGAUGAAUCAUAUCUAGAUAACCAGCUGCAUCAAUAAUUUUACCAGAAAAACUUCAGUCUGUAUCUUAAACAUGACGACAAACUAAAAAGGUCAAACAAAAUGAUGUGCAUUGGCAAUACAUUCUAUCAAGCCUGAAGACAAUAUUUAUUAUCUAACCAUAAGCUCAGCAAAUGUUCAAUAAAUUUUCAGAAGAUUUCAAUUGAUUUGCAAAUGCAUAAGACCAAAUUGGCUUUCAAUAUGAAUUAAGGAGCAACAUUUGUGGUCUUUACUCAGAGCAGAUAACACUAUUGCAUAUGAAUUAUAAUUCUACAUAUUUAGAACAAAAAAGUCUAACUACGGCAAAAGUCAGAAAAGCAUUGAUCCAUGAUGGAAGAGGGCAAGUGCAUAUUAAUAAAACUGUUGCACAAGAACUUACCAACUCCAAGAGUUCCAACCAAGAUCCCAACCAUGUUUGCAUCCUUCGCUUUUUCAACUAGAUAAUACCUAAUUAUUCAUGCAGUUGGUUGCACAUGGGACAAAAGAAUGAUUUUAAUACGUCAAUGCAUAUCACAUCUUAUAUAUAAAAGUUACUAAUUUGCUGAAAUAAAUUAGCAUCAUUAUGUGCUUGACAAGUAUAAUACCUGCGCUUAAGAAUUUUUGCCUGCUGAGAUACAUCAGUCUUCAAGCAACCUUCAAUUGCAUCAUAUCUGACUAGAAACAACAGGUGAGAAAUCAACAAACAUUAUUGCAUAGCCAAGUGAAAGAGCAUGAGAAAGCAAAAGCGGGUAGCUGAAAAGAACAAAACAAGGAAAAUCAAUUGACAAUGUCAAACCAAUUUGAAUUGGCGAGCUUCAUGCUUAUAACAAAACUAAGACAACGAGCAACACAGAAGAGAACGGCAAUGCCAAAAAUUGCACCCCUGCACUUACCUAUUUCACAACUAUUAAAUGUUAAUAUGAAGUUUGUGAAAGCCGAGUUGUCUAAACCAAUCCAGAACAGCAAAUAAUCCUCCAUCCUGUGUCCCUCAGGUAAACUCCAACCCAAACCACCUAGUCUAAAUUUUGUAUCAGCCUUCUGAGAAGAAUCUUCAUUGUUAUCCUGCUCGCCAUUCAACAUUAAAUGUCGAUUUUCCAAUUUCAUAGAUGUGGAUGGAGUUAUAACUGAAUUCGUAACAUUAGCAAAAUGUAUCUGAAAUCCUGAGUUGGAGUCAUGAAACCUCGUUGCUUCAACAUUUAGUGCCUCUUUUAUAUCCGGCAUUCCAUGAGCAUAUUCUAACCCAAAAAGAACCUGCAAUAUCAGCGAUAUUCAAGUCAGCAAUUAUGUAACUUAGACAAUAUGUGUUACAAGCCAAAAUAAAACUAUCACCUAGAGCCCUGGAGUGAGAAAAUUGCAAACAAAAAUUUGUGUAAAAAAAGGCAAAAACAACCACAUGAUAGUAUAUGCAGUACUUUCCAACUUACCAGAACAGGCUUGCCACUUUUUACGCCAUAAUUGUAUAAACUUUCAGCACAAUUAGAUGCCUUAAGAGGAGCCUUGCCGAAAACACAAAAAGCUGGAAUUGUGGUUGUCCUGCCAAAACAUAUUAUAGAAACCCAAAAAUUAGAAACAAAUGGAAGAAAAAUUUUGUUUCCCACCAAAUUUUCUACUUGCAAACUCAACAAGGCAAUUUAAAACCAGAAAACUUGAUACCAAAACAUGUUCAAACUUAUACAUGACAGUAUGUAUGCAUCAUCGUUGAUACUUGUUUCCUUGAAUCAAGUACAUAGCAGCCUCAAAGAAUUAGGAACCACUUGGGAUAUUCUGUACUUGAAAUAAAUCUAUAGGUACAUAAAUUGCAAAAAAAAAAAUGGAAAUGAGGCCUCAAGGGUUCAUCAAAAAGCAAGUUUCCAACACAUUUGCAAAUGUGAUUGCUCCAUUUUUAAGCCUGAGAGUAAUUGGGACCAACGAAAAAAAGGAGGUAAAUACUACAAGACAUAAUGUGUAACAUUUAUUGUUCAAAUGCACGUUAACAGAAAAAUUGACACAGCAAGAUACUCCCCGACUUCCAUUUCAGCACUGGUUGAGGCCUGUUUCUUCACAUUCAACAACAUAAUACAUGAGAAAGAAGCAAUAAGAGCGUUUCACCAUGGAAGCUAGGACCAAUUGACUCCCUACAACUUCAAAAAACCAAAAGAAAAAAAAAAUACAGAGAGUACACUUUUACCAAAUUCUACUAGUUCAUAUAGCAACCAACUCCAAAACCGAAAAGGCCAAAUUUCCAAAACUUUCAAAAGCAGCAAUAACAAAUAACAAUAACCCUUAAUACACUGGAUACGUUUGGACUGCAUAAUUUGUUUUGCUUAAUUUAGUGUGCAAAUUUUAAUUUGAAAUCUUUGGACACGUAAUUUUUUGCAAAUGUUUUCCACAAGGGGAUGCUAAGUUAUACCACCAAACUAACAGACAAAAGGGGCCUUGGAGUCAGGGUUCACGUGGUGCAAGGACCCACCAUGUUUUAUUCACUUCUCCCCAACACCUUUACUACCUCCGUACAUUAUGCAAAAUGUAUCCGUUGUAAGAAAGGGGUAGUGGAAAAAGAGAACAGUCCAGAGAGCAUUGAGGAUUGUAGGAGCUUCCGUUUUUGGUUCAGAGAUAAACUCCAGCCACCUCUCUGCAAUUUCUAUACCCUUUUUGCCAAGAAAAAGGUUUCAUCCAAAACGACAUCCGCUCUGUGCUUUUUUUCCCCAGUUGACGUCAAUUACAGUGCCGCGCUUGGCACCAGUCGACGCACAAAUAGAGAUCCAGAUCUGAGGUAAUUAACUUGCAAGUGCGCAGCUGAAUACCAGCUUUACUUUCCGGGUUAUCAAGGGUAAAGAGCUUGAGCUUUCUAACUGGAGCUUGUGAGAAGGAAAUUGAAAGUUGUCAUUUGAAACAAUUGAGAACCAGGUCAGGUGCGGUUCUUUUUUUUAUAUAAGUUUUUCACACAUUUCCCCAAUUUAUGAGUCAGCCCUAAUUCGAAUAGGAACGAUUGAAUCAUAAAUUUUACGCAUUCUGAAAUUGCAAUAAUGUUGCUGCCGGCGUAAUAUACUUCAGAGUUGGGCGUAAUUGCAGUGUAUAGGCACCUGUAGACACGAUAUUUGUGAGUUAGGAUGAAAUUCGCUGUUUUAUUUUAAAUCGUGUUAAGGCAUGAUUAGGACUGGCCUGAAAGUUAAUAAAUGCCUGCUGAAACUUAAUUGGACUGAUUGGUAGAGUAAUCUUGACUGUCGGAGAUCUUCUAUUUUUUUAGGUCUGUUUUGCAUCGAAAGUCCAUAAACGGAAUUUGUAUGUUGCUGAAGUAUAGCUGCUAUUUCAAAAAUAUAACCGAAUUUCUGAGGUUUAGAAAUAUGAUGAAGUAGGCAUAACUUGUUUACAUGUUGAAGUUUAAAAAUAUCUAAGUAUGCUGAAAUAGGAUUCAAACUGUUAUUUCCCUCUCCGGUGAAGUAUAAACACAUGCCUGCUCUUGUUUGAAAAAGAUGUACAAGUCUAAGUCCAUUAACUGAUAUACAUGUCUAAGUCCUCAAAACUUAUUAUAAGUCUAUGUUGUAAUGCUAUUUUAGCGUUGCUUUUUGAAGAACUGGGUAGAGAAUGAAAAAGUGAAUGCUGGCUGUUUUUACAGAUAAAGACCAUAGGCAAGUUCCCCAGACGGUCGUUCAUCUCCCUCUCCCAUCCAAUAACGAAGAUUGAGAAUAGAAGAAAACUUGGAACCAAAGCGUUUUUUAAACUACUUCAUUCAAGUGGAUUUUACUCAUGAGUUGCAUCCUAUUAACACACCCUUACGUGGAGUAAAUGUCCAACAAGCGCAGGCUAUCAUUGUCCGGUCCAACAACCCCCGCCCGUGCAUCCGAGGCUACUUCCGUCCACUCAUUCACAGCCUCAAACAACUACAUCGAGUCCUUAGUUAACUACUUCAAGGUAAGGCCAUCCUAAAAUAUAAUACACUGCCCAAAAACAAGACUUGCGCUAUGGAUUUUCAUGCUGCUGCCCUGUUUAGCCACCUUCAUACAUCCAGUUAAUUAAUAUUCUUCGGUGUAUUUGUUGAAUUUGGCUAAUCAAUUAUUGAAUGUGUGCCUAUUUACUCCAUUCAAUUUUUAUGCUAGCACCUGCUAAUCACAAAAUGUUAGAGGUACAUCUUGGGUUCAAACAAAUAAGUAUUUCUAGAAAUGAGGACAAUACUUAUUGGAGUUCUUCCACAUAUUGAGUCAGCCUUAAGUUUGCCACUGCUGCAUUGUAAUUAGAACUUAGUAGCUAAGUUUUGAGUCACAAAGAUAUAUUUAUCUAAAAUCUGUAAAUGUUUGACAGUUUCAUAUUCGUUUGCCAGUACUACAAACUGAUAUACACUUCUACUGAUAUACCACUGCAAAAGAUUAUUGGGAUGAAAACAUGGAGAUGCACUUCUGUAUGACAUAUGUCGAGUGGAAAAAAAGUGGGGAGUGGAAUCCAAACAUGUCCACCGAGGCAAACUGGAUGAAACUAACUGUCCAUCUUAAUUCCAGUUGGGGUAAGCAGUAUAUGUGGACUGUCUACCAUUCGAAGUACACGCGUUUGAAGAGGAUUUGGCGUUCAUUUGCCAAAUUAAAAGGUUUGCGACUCUCGGCCGAAACUGGAAUUGGGUGGGACGAGAAUAGGAGAUGCUUUAUGGCCGAUGAAUUUCAGUGGAGGAAUCUGCAAAUGGUAAUCUACCAUCCAAAUCAAGUUAAAAUUUUGGCAACAGAAUUUCAUGUUUACAAAUUUCAUUCCUUUGAUGCUUAAUUCGUAACUGCCGGGCUGAGUUGUGACUUGUUACCUUACUGGCAAUUGAUGAAUUAAUUUUAAGACUCGAUUAGUUCUUGGCUACUAUGGUAGAAUAUGAUGAACAAGUACUCGUGUGCUAACAAAUAGGUGUGUCUUGACUUUAUUACAUGAUUUGUAUUUGAGACUUAAAGGAUAAUUUUCAUUAUUGGACAGGAGAAUAAAGACUAUAACCAGUUCAGAUACUUCCAGUGCGUUGACAAAUAUACGAUACUAUCCGAGGUCUUUGAAGGAGAAACCGCAACUGGAAGCCAAGCAACUUCCUCCUUUGCAUCUCCAUCUUCGCGUGUGCCUCGACAAAUGCCGGCUACUCAUUUGGGAGGGCAAUCAAGUUCACAUUUUGGCGAUGAAAUGCUCACCGGUGACCCAGAUAUCACAUGCUACGAUACAGCUCCUACCGUUGGAAGAAAGAGAGGCUCGGCCAGCGUAGGGGCUACAAACUCGGGUUAUGGAUCUCGCCAGAGCAAGUCGAGCAAAAGUUCUGAUAAUCCAUUCGUUGAGUGUGCCAACUCCCUCAACAACCUAGCCUCAACGAAACUGCAAAUUAAGGAGCGCCGCGCUAAAGACUUUGAGAAAUAUGAUGUCACAAUGGCAACUCAGGUUAUCGAGUCGUUCGAAGGCCUGUCCAAAGGAAGGAGAGUCACGGCUCUUUUACAACUCCAAGAUGACAAAUGGCGUAAAACUUUUCUGACUAUGUCACGUGAUCUUCAGGAGUACUGGAUUAACAAACUACAGGUUCCCGAUGAGAGGGGGCCAGAUGAUGAGAAGGGGCCAGAUGAAGAUUAGUUGGCAGUUUAAAAAAUGAUUAGUUGGCAGUUUCAAAAAAGAUUAGUUGAUUAAUUGCUGCUUUAAUUUCCAAUGUACUUUGAAUGAAUUACUUGCGGAUUGUGGUCAAGUGGGCUGAAUUUCUAUUGUUAUAUUUGUAUUAGUGGUGCAACAUGGUGCUUGGCUAUUGUGAGUGCUACAUUUACAUCAAUUAGUGUGCCCAGGCACUUAGAAUUAUCAUUCUUGCUUUCCUCAUUUCUGCCAAAAAAUUUUGAGGACCUCAUAAUAUGCUUCUGAUGUGGUUAUCACAUUAUAAUUCCUACAAGUAUUAAUAUGCCAGCAGUUAAUAUGCUUCUGAUGUGGUUAUCACAUAUUAUAAUUCCUACAAGUAUUAAUAUCUAAACCCAGGUGGCUGCGCAAUAUCAAAACUAAGUUUGAUCAGGGUAAAACAUGAGAUCAUUCAGGAUUUGGGAUCCGUUAGCCUAAACACAACAAACUCAAUAUGGUAAAAAAAAAAUGCACGUUCACUGUAUCAUUUACUUCAAUGAAAUAUGUCAUUAAGGCAAAAUGAAAAUCAAAACUGCAUAUAAAAACCUUCAUCUCUACGUUUCUCCUCCUCAAACAUACAAAAAGAGAGGGCUUUGGUAUUAUAUAGGGUGAGCAGCUUGCUGUCCUCGCAAAAAUCCAAAUUUGGUAUUAUAUUAAGAAAUUGGUCAAGUACUCUGUCUAGGAGGUAUCAUUGGUGUUGAAAUUCCUACAAGAAAUUUUCCUACUAUUUGUGAUCUCAUAUAAGAUUUUUAUGUACGGGCUGAUAUGAAGGGACUUCACGUACCCAGAUACUUCCACAUGAGUUUUGCUUUCUCACAUGCAUUUUUGCAGACUACACAUCUUCAAGGAUGUCCUAGUUGGACAGGCGAACUGACACAGCUUCAAAUAAUUAUGGCCUCAAUUCUUACCACCGAAUGCUUUUAUAAGCAUGCACUGGCAAUAUAUACCAAUUGCGGAUGGCCAUCAAAUUCAAAAUUGAUAGAGAAUUGCUUCCCACAGCAAAUAACCUACUUUUACUUUUCCCUCAUUUUAUAUAGUACUCCCUUUUACGUGCAUAACUUCAACAUGUAUGGAGGUGCAUCCAGUUCGUCCUCAGAUGAAGACGAUAUUCUAUUUGCCGCCGGUGCGGCCCUAUUGUUCGGUCCAGAUGCAGAACCAUUCGGAGGUCCUAUCCGGAAGGUUCCAUGCAGGACAUCAGCUUUAACUGGCAGACAAUGGGUUGAAGAGGUGAUGUCAGGGCACCACACCCGAAUUAUGAACGCAACAAGAUUAACCGUUGAUUCAUUUAUGAGAUUGUGUAAUAUAUUGGCCGACUGUGGAUUUGUUCCCCAGCAUCAUCAAAAAAGGGUGACAAUAGAGAAGGCACUGGCGAUGACUUUAGUUAUGAUGAGUCAUAAUAUGCGGAUGCGCAUGAUUGCGGACCGAUUCAACCACUCGCUUGAGACAGUGCAUCGAAAUAUUCAUGAAGUUAUCAAAGGUCUAUGUACAUUUGUGCAAUUCAUCAUCACUCCAAGGCGGCAGGAUGAAAUCCAUCCAAAAAUUAUGAAUGAUCCCAGAUUUUAUCCAUGGUUUGAGGUAUAUGUGAGGCUGCAACUAAUCCUAUAACUGAUUCAUCUUGUAAACUUCUAAUUGGUUGGUUUGAGGUGGAAUAUAUCUGUGUAGCCUAAAUUACACCUGAGUCUUUGUUUGCUGACUCGUGCUAUUGUUGUUUAAAGGCAUUAGUGGCACUUUAAGUCUUUAGCUAAUUAAAAAUGCUAGACUAAUUCACUAAUUGCGUGUAUGCGUAUUACUUAUAUCUUAUAUCUAUGAGUUGACUUAUAUUAAACUUAUCCAUAUAACAUCAAGUAAAAUAAGAAAAUUGGUAUUAAUGGAAUUGUUAUAUGAACUUGUUAAAGAAAAAAAAAUCAAAGAAAGAUUAUUUUAGGAUGAAAUUAAAAAUCCAAGAAACACCUCUAUAAUUUGAAUGAUUUUCUACUAACGUACCAAUUAACAUCACAAUUAUUCUAUAUAUAUAUAUAUAUGUGAAACCUUAAUUCAUAUUUAUAUUAGUUUGUAUAGUAAUUGAUAAUAAUAGGAUUUGUAGAGCAACAUCGAAAAAAGGGUGGUAGAUCCAUUUGUAGAGCUGUAAACCCGGUCCGUGGCCAUUAUUUGCAAAACCCCUUGUUGGUUUAGAAGCGGACUGUGGAUUUUUGGAAGUCCAUUAGAGGAAAGGGAUAGUAAUGGGCUUUUGUGACAUCAUGAAAUAGGCAAAUACAAAAGCUUGCACCAAUGAAGCAAAGAUGUAUAAAAGAAACAUCGCAGGCCUCAAAAUUGAUGAAGUAUGCACCUGGUCCUGAAGUGAUUAAUGAACAAUUUCAUCAGUUGCUUUUAGUGGUGCAAUUAAUGGGGGUUUCAUUGUAGUGAUUUCAUCAUUACAAUUUUUUAAUUAAUUAAUAUACGGGGGUUUUAAUUAAACCCGAUGAUAAGGUAUAUUGAGGGUUUUAAUUUAUUGUUGCAUACAUCUGUUUAAUUAAAACCCCCACUAAUCAACAAGAUGAAAAAUUUCGCUCAUUAAGUAAUAUAUUUUAAUAAUAUUGUAAUCAUAGUUCGUCAUCUUGUUUGCUCAUUAAUUAACCUGUUUACCUAAUUUUUUUUAAGCAAAUUUAGUUUGUGGGAAAAAACUAAUAAUACACCUAAUUUUGUGGGUAAUUGCCUUAAUUCAUUAAAUUCGUCAAAAUUUCCACCUUAACUUUUUUGUUUUUUUGUAAAGGACGCAGUUGGGGCCAUUGACGGGACACAUAUACCCGCUUCUGUUCCGAGUGGACAGCAGGUGGCAUACACAAAUAGACACGGAGUGCAAUCACAAAAUGUGUUGGCUGUAUGUGAUCAUGAUAUGAGAUUCGUAUACGUGUAUGCAGGUUGGGAGGGAAGUGCCCAUGAUGCUCGUGUUUUAGAUGGGCCUCUAACGGGCCCAAAUCAUUUCCCAAUGCCCCCCCCAGGUAUGCGAGUUAAACCAUUUCUUCACUCUAUUUAGCAUAAUUUCACAUUACUAAUGGCUAUCAUUUUUGAUAAUACGUUUGGAAUAGGCAAAUACUACUUGGUUGAUUCCGCAUACCGAAACUUACCCGGUUUCUUACCACCCUAUAGAGGACGCCAAGCGGAUGUUAGUGGUCGUAGAAUGGGGAGAUUUGCCACGGCCAAGGAACUUUUUAAUUACAGACAUUUUAUGCUCCGCAAUGUCAUUGAGCGAACAUUUGGUGUUCUUAAAAGGAGAUUUGCUAUCUUGCGGGGCGCCAUACCCCACUACAUGAUGACUACUCAGAUAAACGUUGUUAUUGCCUACUGUGAUGUGCACAAUUUCAUUAGAGAUCAACAACCGGAUGACUAUUACUUCGCCAAUCCCGAUAUAGGAGAUCUAGACACAAAUGGUGCAAUUCCUCCCUAUCCGGAGAUACAGCCACUACAUUCCCCUCCCGAAGUGAUUAACCAAUGGAUCGGUAUGAGAGAUGCAAUGGCCAAUCAUAUGUUCAAUACCUAUAGAAAUACACGCCAGCGUUAAUUCAAUUAUGGGUGAAUUUAUAUUAAUCUUUUUUUAGCUGCUAAGUUAACAAAAAACCUUUUUUUAGUAGCGUCGGUUUAUGCUAUCUUUGGAGAAAGGGCUAUGUUGUGCCUGACUAUUAUGAACAUUUGAUAUCGUUUGAUUCCCAUAAUCCUUGCGUUUGAGUUAUUUUUCACCUACUUAUAUAGCUGUAACCUCCUGUAAGCACUCGGUAGGUAUACCUUCAAACCUGUAUUUUCAUCAUGCAAACGGAGGCACAAAGAAGAAAACAUGCGCAUGCUUGUUUACUACUACCACCGCGUUGCUUUAUUAUUUGUUCUAUGUUCUGUGCGUACAUCAGGAUUUCAAAUCGAAAUCCUAACUAAUUUUCAAAGUGAAGGCCCCACUCGCAUUGACCAGGUAAGCAAUUUGGGGGAAUGAAGUAUUUCAGCUUCGAAUGGGUCUCGUUUGACUAGGCAAAAAAAAAAGUACUUCAGCCUCGAAUGACCAAAUUGUCCAUCAAAAUAGCACCACCCGCCACUUACUCCUUUCUGCCAGCUUUUUGUAAUCAUAAAUGCAUGUCAUUUCACAAUAAAUGAGUCCCUUAUGUUCCAAUAAACUAAAUCAUGCAAGUAAAAAAUCUGAGGUAAAUUAUGUAAAUUUGGCCAGUCCAAACGUAUCCACUAUCUUCAAAUUAAUUAGUACCUCAUACACUAAAGGUUGUACCCUUCCGACCAUUUCCUCAAACUAAACUAAAUUAAUUAACACUAAACAGCUCCUUAAUCAAAAUUACAAACAUAGUUACUAUUAAACACAUAAUCAACAAACUCACGGGCUGAGGCAACUGUGGCCGUAAUGAAUAACGCAAUCAGCUUUCACAUGAGCAGCUCCGACCUCGUCCACGCAGCAGCCGCCGUAGGUGGUGUUGGCCAUCACGUACAACUUAGCGGUUGCACGUGACUCGUCGGAAUUCUUAAGAAGACGGUGGAGCUCUUGCCGGAGAGCACUCACGACUUUCCUUGAAUCUUUCAGGAGCUCAUCUGGAAACUACAAAUAAAAUAAAUAGAUAAAAUCUCAAUUAAUAAUUUUAGGAAUUAUUCAUUAGUUUUUUUACCAUUUUUAUUGUUAAUAAACCUGUAAGGCGACUCUGGAGAAGUUAUGGGCGUUAAUGAAGUCCGCGACGAGGGAAAUUUCGUAAUAAUUUUCAAAAUCCAUGACUAAAGAAUACGGUACGGAUGCGGAGGCGGAAGCGAUGGCCUAUACGUACGUCGCCGUUCUGAAGAAAUUAUGGAGACGAGGGAAAUGGAAGAACAUAAUUGAGUGGGCCGAGUGAUGACAAUUGAACCGCGAAAAGUGUUGAGUUAUUGGGUUGGCCCAAAUUACCGUUCUGGACUUUACUGUUUGAAGAGGUGGCCUAAAGGCCUAAUCUAUAUGUCUAACAUCUAUCUAUCUAUCUAUCUAUCUAACAAUUGAAAAGCGAGAGUUGCGUGAAUGAAUAGUAAGAGAGUGGGUCUAUUUGGAUUGAAAUGUUUUGAAAUAAAAUAAUUUGUUUCACAAAUUUCAAUCACCUUUUUAUCUUCCAAUCAUUUUUUUAUCUCACAUAUAUUACAUCAUAAAAAGUGCUAUAGUAAUUAUUUCAAAUAAAUCAUCCAAAUAAAUUCCUAUCCAAACAAACCCACUGUCUCCAUUGGUUAUUUCGAUAUAGGUUGAAAUGUUCAGGUUAUUGUGGUCCAUUUGCAUUAGUCUCUUGCCAGUUCUUCAUGUCAUUAGAAUUAGCCUUAGUAGUAGUUCAUUUUUCGGUGAUGGCUUUUCAAGUGAUUUUCAAGAGCAAGAUGGAGGAGAAAAUGGAGAGCUCCUAAUUCUCUCUCUCUCUCUCUCUCUCUCUCUAAUUUCGGAUGGCUUAAGGAGGAAGAAAGAAAAUGAGCUCUCAAGUCUAGUUUCUUCCUUUAAAGUGUAGUAGGUGAACCACCUCACCUACUCGCUUAUUUGUCGCGCCCUCAUGCAACAUUUUAUCCUUAACUAGAUGUCUCUCAACCAACAUCCUAUCAUUUUUCUAUUUCUUUAAAGUCUCUACAUGCUCUAGACUUAAUCUUAAGACUAAAUUCUACGUCACCACUCCAAAGUUUCAUACUUAAUGCUAGCCAAACGAUAAUCGGGCAAUAAUAAUAAUAAUUUAAACUAAGUUGUAAAAUGACAUUUUAAUAGAUGAGAAUGCCAAAAAUUUGACUAAAUCAUAUAAUAUCAAUAUUUUCAUCAUUAUUUCAAAAAUAGUAAAAAUUUUAGAACCCUCACAAGUAUCAUCUUCCUGAUCAUCAAUUUGUGAUAUUUAAUGAUAAUAAUCAUCUUUAUGACAUUCUUGAUUAUGAUCACAUACAUGACACAAUGCUGACGAAAUGGUUUGAAAUAAAUCAGAGUAAUGUUUCAGUUAGAAACUUGACUUUUGUGGAGUUUCCGAGUAAGUGGACUUGGAAGCAAAAUAGACAACAAUGGGAGUUCAGAUUGCAAGGUAGGUGUAUUGGAAGGCUACCAUAUGCACAUGCUCACUCUGGUGAGCGAUACUAUUUGAGAACGUUGCUGCAUAAAAUUCGUGGUGCACGAAGUUAUGAACAUUUGAAAACUAUUAAUGGAACUGUACAUCCAACAUUCAAAGCUGCAUAUGCAGUACUUGGUCUUCUAAAUGAUGAUAAUGAGUGGAAUGAAGCUUUAGCUGAAGCAUCUACAUGGGCAUUUGCAAAAAAUUAUGAAACAUGUAUUGUACACUACUUAUACAUUCUAAGGUAACUAACCCUUUUGAUAUAUGGCAGCGCCACUGGAAAAGUAUAACAAAUGAUUUGCAAUAUCAGAUCAGAAGGGAUAUGGGAAACCCUAUGCAUUGAUGAUGAUGAGUUACAAAUUUUGGGAUUAGUUGAAUUUGAACACAUUUUGAAUAAAAAUGGUCGCUCUUUGCGAGAUUUUCCAUUGAUGCCAUUGUCGUCCUUUGAAAAUGCUCAAUUUUCUAUGAAUAGACUUAUAAGAGAAGAGCUUGAUUACGAUUUUACAUCAGAACAGCAAUUAUUUGAUAAUUUAUAUGCUAAUUUGAAUGAGGAUCAAUUGAAAGCACAUGAUCUUAUUAUGGAAUCAUACACACAUAAGGGGGUAGGGUUGGGUUGGGUGGUACGGGGGGGAAGGAGUGUAAGUAAGAGGUCUCGGGUUCGAGUCCUCCAACUUACACUAAAAAAAAAUACACACAUAAUUGUGGAGGACUAUUUUUUGUGUAUGGAAGUGAUGAGACGGGUAAAACUUAUUUAUGGAGAACAUUGAUUGCUCGAAUUGGAUCGCAAAUUCCUAUUAAUUUGAAUGAGUCAUCAAGUUGUUCAAUCAAUAAAAAUUAUGACUUAGCCAAAUUAAUUAGAGAGACAUCUUUGAUAAUUUGGGACGAAACUCCAAUGACACAUCGGCAUGGAUUUGAAGCGGUGGAUAGAACUUUAAAGGAUAUCUUAAAGUUUAGUGAAAAUGAUUCUGAGGAUCGUAUUUUCGGAGGAAAAUUAGUUGUUUUGGGUGGUAAUUUUCGACAAACAUUACCGAUUGUUUCUAAAGGUAGGAGAGCAGCAAUAGUAUCGGUUACAAUAAAAGAAUCAACGAUUUUGGAUCACUGUAGAGUACUGCAUCUUAAAAUAAAUAUGCAUGUAAUGAAUUUGCAUCUUUCUGAAAAUACGCGUCAGCAAUUGACAGAUUCUUCAAAUUGGUUGCUAUCUGUUGGUGAAGGAAAGGUUUCAACAAUUUCACUUACUGAAUUCGGGGAAUCAAAUUGGAUUCGGAUGCCAUCGCAAUUUCUCAUAAAAAAUGAAAGUUAAUUUUUGAUGCGGUUAAUAGAUUCUGUCUAUCUAAAUUUGAGAAAUUCAUACAAAAAUAGUACUUACCUCAAGGAACAUGCUAUUUUGGCUCCAAAAAUGGGUGAUGUUCACAAAUUGAAUAAUAAGAUGCUAUCAAUGCUUCCUGAUCAAUCACGUGCUUACAUGAGUGUUGAUACUUUUUGCAAUACUGAAAGUGACAAUGUUGAAAAUAUGAAUCCUCCUAAAAUGUUGCACUCUUUGAAUUUUCCUGAACUUUCAAAUCAUUUUUUGGAACUUAAAGAAGGAACUCCUAUAAUUCUUUUCAGAAAUCUCAAUCAAUCAGAAGGUCAUUGCAAUGGAACACGACUUGUUGUCACCAGAAUGGGGGAUAAAGUUCUUAAGACAGAAGUCAUAACAAGAUCUAAUAUUGGAGAUUUAGUGCUCAUACCUCGGAUCUCUUUAAUGUCACAAAGCUCACGGACUCCUUUUCCAAUUAAAAGGAGACAAUUUCCUAUGAAAGUGGCAUUUGCAAUGACUAUCAACAAAAGUCAAGGCCAAACAUUGAAAAAUGUUGGCGUUUACCUUCCUAAACCUGUGUUUUCACAUGGUCAACUUUAUGUUGCUCUUUCUUGUGCUACUUCACCAGUUGGAUUGAAAAUACUAAUUGUUAAUAGAGAUAAUGAUCCAUGGGAUUACACAAAAAAUAUUGUGUAUCAUGAGAUUUUUGACUCCCUUUGAUAAAUUGUGGACAUCACUUUGUUUAAAAAAUAUAUAUAUAAAGUAUAUGUACUAUACACAAUUUGACAAUUUUUUUGUACUUCUUUCAAUUUGUGUUACUUACUAUCUCAACUAUAGUGUUUAAAUAAUUAACUUCAUGCUAUAUCAUAAUAAUUUACAGAUAUCCGAUAUACACCUUUACUCUAUUUGGACCCUUAUGGAUACAGUUGGAAUGUAAAGGUUAGAUUGUUUCGAUUAAUAGAUAUGACCAUAUCUGGAGUGCUCCAACGUUCGGGAUGUAUCAAGAUGCUUUUUGUAGAUGAUCAAGUAAUAAUUAAGAGCGUAUGUUAUUUAUUAUAUUGAACAUUGAAUAUUUACUAAUCUCUUGAAAACUAUCAGAAACUUGUCAUGCAGGGAGUUAUAAGAGGUAGUGAUAUGAUAAACAUUUUCGCAGAUCAUCUUCAUGAAGACAAGGUAUACUAGUUUCAAAAUAUCCAUGUAAUUUCGGCAGAUCUUAAAUAUCGGCUUGCACCACAUCAGUAUCAAUUAUCAUUUGGAAACGAUACGAAGAUAGUGAAUAUUUUAGAUGAUUGUGGAACCAUAUUCCGUUUCAAGUUUAAUCUAGUCAAACUAAGAGAUACAGAACAGUACAUGGACAAUGAUUUGCAAUUGAUAGGUAUUUCAUUCAUAAUUAACCAUACUUCUAUUUAAGUUGUAUAUUUGAACUAGUAUUACUUAUACUUUUUGAUCUUUUGCAGAUAUAAUUGGUUUAGUUGUAUCUGUAGGUUCACGCUAUCAAACAUCUAUCAAUGAUAAAACUAGGUGUGACAUUCUUUUACUUGACAAAAGGUUAGUUAUUCAAUAUCUUCAAAACAUUUUAUAUUCUACAAAUUUUGAUUUAUACUUACCAAAAUUCUCUAAAUGAAGCUUGACUGUAGUUCAGUUGACUUUAUGUGAUAAAUUUGCAACUGAUGAUGGUGAACGCUUGCAUCAAACUGUUACAAAAAAUAAUGUUUUACUAGCCUGUGGUAUUUGUGUGAGAAAUUAUAAAGGUAAUUCAAUUUCUUUUCACUUUAUUUAAUUUAAUUUUUAUAGUUUAUCAAUAAAUAUAGCACAUUGUGCAGGACUGUCACUUUAUACUAUUCGAGCAAGCAAAUUUCAUGUCAAUCACUACUUGGAUUUUGCUCAAUACCUACAUAGUCGGUAAGUUUUACAAAUACCAAAAUAUUAAAUUAUUAAUAAUAUUUCAUACCCUUACGAAUAUGUAUUUGAAAAAUUUGCAGGUUUGAGAAUGAUAAAUGUGCUCAGAAAUUAGUGACGUGGUUGCAGUCAUGCAAUUUUACAAUGUUCCAGGCAUUGUUGAUAUCAAAUGCUAAGAGAAUACGGAUAUGCGAAUAUGUAGUUACACCUACAAUACAAUUCCUCUCAAUUAAUUAAGUAAUGAACAAGUAUCUACAUGUAGUUUCCAAUUAAUAAUUGUAAUCUAUACAUUCUUUGGAUGGUUUUAGGUUAAAUAUUUUCGGAUACUUGCUUACAUUCAGAGCAUCAACAUAGACAAUAUGUUCCAUGAAUUAUGAAAAAAUUGUGGACAACCAUGCCAAUCUCCUUUUGCAAAAAUGGUAUGUAUCCAUUUUAAUGACGCAGUCAACACUAUUGUCAGGUAAUUAUUAUUAUUAUUUUUUUAGUGUAAGUAGGAGGACUCGAACUCGAGACCUCUCACUUACACUUCCUCCCCCCGUACCACCCAACCCAACCCAACUCUCCCCCCUAUUAUUUUCAUAUAUUUUUAAUUUUAAUAUAAUUUUUUGUAUCGUACAUCACAAUUUUUUCUUAACAGAUACAAUGUUAACAUACAAAUUAGAGAUUCCAGUGGUAACCUAUACCCCACUCUUCAAGACAGGCAUGCACGAUUCAUGUUUAGCUGUGAUGCUUCUUAUCUUAGAGAUUUAAAAAAAAAGGUAUAUAUUAUUUAUAUAUAUAUAUUAUACAAUAUUAUUUACAAAUUUUCUAAAACAAAAGAUAAUUUUGAAUUAUGUAUGCUUUUAAUUGUCAGAAAAAUGGAGGUACAUUGUUCGACCAACAUAUUAAUUCAUGAAAAAAUGGUACAUUCUCAUUUAUAGUACGAACUCCACAAAAUUUAAUAGAAUUAAUUAAACCCCCAAUACUGGCGUUUGUACUCAUAGUUGAUUGGUGUGAAGAAUGUUCACACCUUCGUAGAAGAUUAUCAAAUCAAAGGCAAAAUGUUUGUAAGUAUUUCAUUUACUUAACAAAUUAAAUAUUCAAUUAUAUUUAAUUGGACCCUUAUGUCGCUCAAUUUAUGAUAAAGAUUUCUACUUUUUUUUCAGGAUCCAAUCUUCAUCAAAGUGAUAGUUUAUAAAUAAUAGAGAUAUUUUUAUCAUAUAUUGAACUAUUGUUACAAAGUUUCAUUUUUUUAAAUAUACUUUCAUGUGCCCUUGAUUAUAAUUUUUUACUCUUUUUAAAUUCCUCCAUAGAUUGUAAUUUUUUUAAAAAUGUAAUUUACUGUGUUUAGCACAGGUUUUUAUACUAGUAUAUAUAUAUAUAUAUAUAUAUAUAUAUAUAUAUAUAUAUAUAUAUGAAAGUAACUAUUUUAAUUAUAGUGUUUCUCACUCCUAUGUGGUAUGCUUAAUUGAAGAGAAUUAACGGGUUAUGGAUCACUUGAAUUUUUUCCAUUUUGAAUCCUAUUUGGAUUAUAUUAUGUGUUUAAAAAUUAUCUCUAAUUUUAAAAUAAUUUUAAAAAUAACUAAUCUUAUCUUAACAAUAUCUGCUUUCUAUCAAAUAAUUACAAUAAUUAUAUUAUAUGUUUAAAAAUUAUCUUUAAUUUUAAAAUAACUUUAAAAAUUAACUAAUCUUAUCUUAAUGAUAUCUGCUUUCUACCAAAUUAUUACAUAGAAGUAUAAUAAUACCUUUUCAAAUCACAAUUAUUAAAAUCUUAUUGAAAUCUUACAUAUCUCAUGAAUUAUUUCCUUUCACUACCAUAUCAUUAAUUAGUAUUCAAAUUGUCCAUCAUCUCUUCUUAUUUUUGAAUUAAUUUAGUGUAAAAAAGAGAAUUAACUGUUACACUGAUAGAUUUAUCAAUAUUAUUAAAAAUUGAAUAUUUAUUGAUGAAGAAAAAUGGAUUAAUGGAUCAUUUUCUACUUAAUUAAGUAUGAAUAUAUAAUUCUAAAUUUAUGGUCAUUAUAAAAAUUUAAAUUAUUUAAAAGAAUAUUUUUAAAUAAGAAUAUCUACCAAGUUUUGGAUAUGGGGUACAUUAUUUAAUGUAUACUAUCAUAUUAUAGUGAAAGUAUGUAAACAAAUUUUUAAAAUUUAGUAAAUAAUUGAAUAUUUAAAAUACAUUAAUUUUUUAAAAUUAAUAUGAAUGAACAUGUAGAACUAUUGUCAAUUUUUCCAUUUAAAUUAUUGAUAUUUGUAUAAAUUCACAAUAAAUAAAAAAAAGACCGUGCUAAGGCAUGGGUAAAAUUCUAGUUAGCCCUUAAAAUAUCAGAUUUUAGAUAAAAUUUAGGGUUAAUUACACUUUGCCCCCUUGAACUUGGGACCUUGUAACACUUUGCUCCCAUAAACUCCAAAUAUAUGCACUUUACACCUUUUGGUCAACUUUUGGAUGGGGUGAAAAUGAAGUUAAAUUUUUCAUGACCAAAAUAUCCCUGACUAAUUCUUAAACACACAUAAUAAUUGUAACAUAAUAAAUACAUAUUUCUUUAAUAGUUGCUAAAUGCAUCUAAAGACAAUUACUCUAUGCAUUUCAAACUUUUAAUCCUAAAAUGAAUUAGAUAAUUCACAAAAAAAUGUAUAAGCAAUUCAAUGUAUUUGUUUCAAAUCCAAUAGUAGUGCUUAUUUGAAAUGAAAUAAAAUUAAUUAGUGCGUUUGAGAUAAAAGUUAUUCGCUUAUAUUUUUUAUUGUAGCACUUUUUAAUGUGUUUUUUAUAAGAUAAAAACAUGAUUAAAAAUAAAUAUGUACUGAAAAACAUAUUUAGAAAAUUUUGAGUUUUUUUACAACUCAAACAAAAUACAAAACAAGGUAUGAAUGCGGUAUAAAAUUACUGAAUAGCAUCUUAUUGACUCGUAAAAAUCUUGUGAAAGGUGCAAGCUAAAUAAAAAUUAUUAAAAUCAAUCCAUCUACAAUUUAGAGGAAAAAAGAUAAGCGAUGGAAAACUUAUGCAGAUGUUUUAAGACUUUUUAAAUUCUUUUUUCUCCAUAAUACAAUUUUUCAAUUCUUCGGUAUCUUUAUUUUUUAAUUUUUUAAAUCUUGUGACUUUGUGUUUUUUUCCUAAUAAGAUGUUUCAUAUUCCAAUUAAAAAUAUAAUAUUAUUCUAGAACUAUUGUGUAAGGGCAUUAAUGUCAUUUUGUUAAAAUUUUGGAUGAAGAAUUCAUCAUUAAUGUUUGAGUAAUCAAUGAAGGGGUAAAGUAUAUAUAUAUAUAUAUAUAUAUAUAUAUAUAUAUAUAUAUAUAUAUAUAUAUAAGUUUAGGGAGGCAAAGUAUUACAAUGGCUCAAGUUCAGAGAGGAAAACUAUAAUUAACCCUAAAAUUCAACGAAGUAAAAGGCAAAAGUUAUGUGAUCAUUAGCAAAAAUAACAAAGCAAAAGCAAUUACAAGGAAAAAGAAGGGUUAAAUGGAAAAUGCACCUCAAACUAUGUUCAAUUAGCAACUUGCCCCUUACAAUAUUAAUUAUAGCAAUUUACUAUCUUAUACUAUGAAUUUUCGGCACAUUGCUUCAACUAAAUUAAUGUGACAGGUAAUUUUUUAUUGAAAGGACAACAAUAACCACUUGAAUAGUGUAUUACCUAGAAUACCCGUUUCUUUAAUUUAUUUUUUCUUUUUUUGUUCAUAUUUAUUUCAAUCAUGAACAAUCUUACACCUUCCGCCAUUACCACUACACUAAAAUUCCUUGCAUUGAAUCACCAAAAUAGAAGAAGAAAAAGUCAAGACUAGAUUACAUAAAACUAGAGCAAAAUCAAAGCUUUGUAUCAAGGCUAGAAACAUAGGAGCAACCCAAGCAAAAAAUUGAAGCCUCAUAAAUCUAUAAUAUAUUUUUAAAUAGCAAAACCCAUAACAUAAUCUUAUCAUAUAUAGAACCACUCACACACUAUGGCUUUCAAUAUGCAGCAAAGAAAAUAAAUACACCCAAUAACAUGGACAAUUAUAGAAAUUAGAAGGAUAGGAAAUGAUGAGAUUUGGGUCUCUUGAAUUAAAAAAUGCUGGGAGAUUGGCUAGUAGUAAUAAGGGUUGGUAAAUUUGAAACGGGUUGUAAUUUAAGAACUUGAGUAACGAGGAAAAUUCAAAGAGAAGACACUCAAGAGAGGGAGGUGAUAAUGAGAUUGUGAGCUCAGGAGUUUGAAGAGGUUGAUUUGAGUAAGAAAGAUGGAGAGAGAUCAUAUUAGGAAGUUUGAUGUGGAGGAUGGGAUGGAUACUAACUUGGUGGUAUAGUUUAGAAAAGGAGGACGAGGAGAGUUACUGGUGAGUUUAGAGGAGAAAGAAAGAGGAGAGAUGUGGGCAAUUUGAAUAGUUGGUCAUUUAAUUAGGACAAAUUUAUCACAUCACUUUAUUUUAAGUAAUCUGCAAUGAAAUUGGUAGUCCAUAAACAACAUACUCGUAGCUUGUCUAGGCCUCCAGAUUGCAUAUAAGAAUUGGCAUUGAAAGAAUAAAAAAUUUCAUUCGAUUGUCUAGACCGCAUAACAAAUAUUCAACUCGAUCUCUCAACACUCCCACUUGCUAUAGAUGAUCCAGAUUAGGCCUAAAAAAAACUAUAUCUAAAUAUCCAGAUUAGGCCUAAAAAAAAAUAUAUAUAUAUAUAUAUAUAUAUAUAUAUAUAUAUAUAUAUAAAUGAAUUAUCUAAAUUUUGGUUAAGGGUGGCAAUUUUUGACACGACCUGAAAACACGACACGAACCUAACACGAAAUUAAUGGGUUUGGGUUGAAGUUUCGGGAAUUCGGGUCAGAAUCGGGUUGGACCCGAUGAACCCGAAAAGAAAACAGAUCGAUUUCGGGUCAACCCGUGAUGACCCGAUAUGACCCGUUUACGAAUUAAAAAAUAAUUUAAUAAACAUAAAAAUAAUUCUAUCUAACUAAACUAAGUUAUUCUUUUUUUCAAAGGCAUUAAUUACUUAAUCCUAAAUGAAUUUAUUUAAUUUGUGUGAAGUUGAAAUUAUUAUAUUUGGACAAAUAAUAUAUUAUAUUAUUUUUUACUUUUAUACUAUUUUAAUUUAUUUUAUAUUUUGUUUGGGAUAAAACACUUUUAUGGUGUUUAAUUUAUUUUAGAUUUGGUUUGGAAUUCUUUAUUUAAAUUUUUAUUACUUGAUUAUGUAAUUAGUUUUGUGAGAAAUCGAUUUUAUUAGAAAUUACAGUGAUAAAUUAAUAAAUUAAAAUUAAUUUUCGGGUCAUUUCGGGUCGACCCCGCCAACCCGAAAUUUUCGGGUUCGGGUCAGCGUACCUGACCCGUCACGGGUUGGCGGGUCGGGUUCGGGUCAACAGAUUUUCUGACGGGUUGACCCGAACCCGACCCGCCAACCUGAUUUGGACCCGAAUUGCUACCCCUAAUUUUGGUGUCUACAUUUUGCAUAAAAAAAUAGUAAGAUUUGUUAAUAAAGUCAUGAGUUUUACCUAAAAAUAGUAGUAAAUUUUGUAUUAAAAAAUGGUAAAUUUUGCUUCAAAGUUAGUUGAAUUUAUUAAUUAUGCAUGAAGUUUUACUAAAAAAAAAGUGGUAAAAUUUGUCAAUGAAAUCAUAAAUUUUUCUUGAAAAAAUAGUAUGUUUUGUAUAAAAGUGGUAAAUUUUGAAGAAAAAGUGGUAAGUUUUGCUAAAAAUUUAGUAAGAUUUGUUACAUAAAAAAUAACUUGCACAAAUUAUAACACUUACUUGUUUUAUAAGAAACUUACUAUCACUUGUAACAAAUAUACCGACACAAAUUUGUUCCUAAUGAACCCUAUAAUAUUAGGUUAAAACCUAUACAUGGCAUUACAUGAACCACUCAUUUAUGAGUUGUGGUGACUCUUUGUCACUUCAGAAUUUUUCAUAAUUUUUUAUGGAUUAUCAAAUAUUUUUGUGUAUGUCAAAUAAUUUUUUUAAAAAUUUUUUUUAUAAGUAGGAGUAAAGAUGUGAUUUAAGAAGUGCGGGGGAAAGGAAAAUUGAAUCAAAGAUUUUUAAUUCCUAAUGUCUCAAUAUAAUUUUUUUCCAAUAGCCACCUAGGCGUGACUUUUUCAAAGUUAAACAGAAUUACACCUUAAUAUUUUCUUCCAGCCCUCCCCUGAUCAGCAAUCAUUACCGAAAAGUAAAAACCAUAAACUUGAAUCACACCUUAAUAUUUUCUUCCACCCCUCCCCUGAUCGACAAUCAUUACCGAAAAGUUAAAACCAUAAACUCUUAAGCAAUAAUGACAUCUCCUACUUCAUUAUUAUUAUGGGCGUAUUUAAUAAGGGUAAAACACAAAGUGCCUUCACGUAUCCAUUUUAGAAGGCGUUAUCUCAAACUCAUAAGAAAGUCCACGUCUUGAGAUUUAUGCCCUUAAGGGCGUGAAUUUUGGGAAGAACCUUUUUUUUUGUUUUUUAUAGCAUAAGUGAGAGAUUUUAAAUCCCGAACGUCUUGCUUCACAAUCCCUCCCUCCUGCCUUCACAUACCCCAAAACUCAAGGACUUUUGCGGCCGUGAAAGUCAUAACAGAAGCCCUCCAGGAAAAACUCAGAACAGAGGGACUAACAUUAACAUCUGAAGUCCCUGAGUUUCAAGUCUUUUUUAAUGACCAUAUAUCUAAUGAUUUCAACACACUUUUUGCUUCACUUCCACAAGAGAGACACUACCUUGCAGCUGGAGCGCCUGGUGAUUUCCACAAGGUUUUGCUCCCAAAGGCAUCCCUUCAUUUUGCUUACUUGUCUUGCGCGCUUCACUCCCUUUCAGACGUGCCAAAAAAGGUUGCAGACAUCAUGUCCCCCGCAUGGAACAAAGGAAAGAAUCACCAUAGAGGUGCCAAGAUGGAAGUUUUUUGAGGCUUAUGCGUCUCAAUUUGCCAAGGACGUGGAGUCAUUUACAUGAGCUGAUCGAUGGAGGGUUGAUGGCCCUUCUACCCCUGAUGCUGUCCGUGAAUCUCAGACAACUACCAUCACAGAGGUAGAACUAGAAGGUCCACUAAAUUUGUUUCAUGUUCUCAUAUUUCGCUUGAGAAGGACAAAAAUAACAACCAUAUCCUGAUUCUCAGGGUUAAAGAGAGAGGAAGACUCUGCAAGUUUCUGCGUAAACAGUUCAAACAAUUCAUCCAUGAUAUCACUUCCAAAUUGUUUCUCUAGAAGUCCCUCUAAUGCAGCUCUGAGGUACAAAGCAAUUCCACUAGGGUUGGAGAAAACCACAUGCUUUCCUGGAAUGCUUAAUAUCUCCAGUCUCUGAACAUUUAGAUGUUCAUUUGCCUUCAUCAGGGUCUUUAUCUCAUUAGGAGAUGGGAGAUAUAGUGGCAAGUUGAACAUAUCCACUUUCAAUUCAUCGACCAAUCCCUAUUGCAAUAGGUGCAUCUUAGUAUUUAAAGUACUUUUUUUUUGUUAGCCAAAACCUAUAGUCGAAAUUCGAAGAUAAACUUUAAUCAAAACUCAUUCUUAUACAGUAUAUGGAAAAAAAAAAAAAAAGAAAUUGUAAAAUAAAAAAUUCCUACUCAUGGAUUUGCAACUGCUAUUUUUAAGCUGAAGACAUGUUUCAGAAAUUAUGGAACAUAGUUAAUAGCUUACUCGUGACCAAGGAGGUAUUCCAUUCAUUCUCUGCCAUUGGUAUAUUAUACCUGAUUUGGUUGAUUUCCUGUAUCCAUUUUGUUUCAUCCUGGAUAUUUUUAUUAAUCAGAAGAAAUGUUGGAAAAAGAGAUUGGUGCCUUGUUGUGACGCUUUUGGGCCAGCAUUAAUUAUCCGGUAUGAUUUCUAUUCUGUCCAUCUUAUGGAACGUAUGAAGCUCACUUCCAUCCAAUACUUUGUACCUUUUUAUUUGAGCGAAAUAAGUACAUAAGUUUAGAGGGAAAGGACUUAAUAUCAAAAUAAUGUCUUAUAUUUGCAAAUAGGAAUGAAAAACGAACGAAACUAUAUAUUAUACUUGAAUUGAUGUUGAAAUAGUAAAAGCUAAUCUGCGCUUAGUUCACCAAUUAAUCAAACCAAACACAAACAAUAUUUUGUAUCCAAUAAAAUUUCAAAUUUGAAAUCGAGCUUGGUUGACUUAACAUAGCAUAUGAAAUUUAUAUGUGAAAAAUUUAAUUGAGUUUGACUUGAUAAAAGCUCAUCUAAAUUCAGCGUAAUAAAUAAAUGAAUUAAAUUUAAAUACAAUUUUAAACUCUUUAGAAUAGAUAGACAAGUUUGACAACUUGAGUGCUUGGCUCAAUUAGCUUCAUUCAUAACCCUAUUAAUUUGCAAGUAAAAGUUUUGAAAUUUUUUGUGGGGCAAAUAAAAAAUGUCAAAAAUAUUUCCACAGAAUACCAGAUUCUCAAUUCUCAUGCUUGGGGAGAAGGGUAAUUUCUUAAGGCUAAUUAUAAUACAAAUACACCUUUUAAAAUUCAUAAGAGGGCAAAUGAAAAUUUUGAAAUUCUUGAGGGGGUGGCUGCCCCUCCCUGCAAAGAUCCGAUCCAACAAAACCCCUGUCCCGCAGGUUCAUAGAAGUGUUAAAAAAGAAUUCCAAAUGUCAUUUGAAUUCAAAAAUGAAUAAUUUAACUAUCUAAAACUAUCUAGGAUAUAUUAGAUCAUAAUUCAAAUUUAAUAUUAUUCAAGUGACAAAGAAAAUCAAAAUUCUAUGUUGCAUCCCUGCAUUGAGAUGUAUUCGCAUAGAGUUCUUAGUUGAAGAAGAUCUGAAACUAAUGAAAUCUAACCUUCUUAGCCAAGUCCAUGAGGCAAUAUCCUAGAACUUCCAAUUCUUUCUCUGUGACUAUAGUUGUCUGAGAUUCACGGAUGGCAUCAAGGACAGCAGGAAUAACAAGGGCCAUCAGUCCUCCAUCGACGAGCUCGUGUGCCCUUGCAUUCAGAAAUGACUCCAAGUCCUUGGCAAAUUGAGAUGCAUAAACCUCAAGAACUUCCUUUUUGGCCCCUCCGUAGUGAAUCUUGCCUUUGUUCCAUGCAGGGGACGUGUUGUCUGUAACCUCAUUUGGCACAUCUGAAAGCCAGUGAAGCGUGCAAGACGAGUGAGCAAAAUGAAGGGAUGCCUUUGGGAGCAAAACCUUGUGGAAAUCACCAGGCACUCCAGCCGCAAGGUAGUGUCUCUCUGGUGGAAGUGAAGCAAAAAGUGUGUUGAAAUCAUUAGAUAUAUGGUCAUUAAAAAAGACUUGAAACUCAGGGACUUAGUCCCUCUUUUCUGAGUUUUUCCUCCAGGGCUUCUCUUAUCACUUUCAUGGCCACAAAUGUAUUUGGUCCUGUAGAGCAGCCAAAAUCUGCUAUGCGAAAUGGAUGCACAGAGGUUGAAGAAAGUUGCUUGACAUCAAGUUCUUUGUCAAUCUCUUCUUUGAUAAGUUCUUUUGCAACCUCUACUGCUCCUCUCUGCCACAGAAAAAAAAAAUCUUACCUUAGACAUUUAUAAUGAGGUAACUGCAGUUUAAACUAGCAACCUGAAAGGAUGAGUUUUGGUUAUAGCUUUGAGGUCCAUUUCCUCCAUUCAUGGCAUAUACUUGAGGCAUUUUUUCUAUCCCCCGGCUGCUAGGAGAUUUUUCAUAAGAAUAAAAAUGCUCCCAAUUUUUUAUUCUCCAAGUUAGAAUGAGAAACAAUUUAGAUAGAUAAAAGGAAGGCAGACGAAAGGCUGCCUUAUCAACCAGCAGCCCCUUUGGGCUAGUGGCCACCACUAAGCUAUUAAAGGUUUGGUGGGGUGGAAGGCAAGGGUUCAAAUCUUACCUCUCAUCAAUUAUCACAUUAAGUGGCUUAUUAAAAAAUUCAGACAGGUGUGUACUCGUUUGGUGCGGUGAUGAUUCAAUUUCCACUGGUCUGCCCUAAAUUCAAUUGGGUCUCUCCUUUACAUUAGGAUAGUAUAGGAUACUGUAGAUAAAGUGACGAUUGACCAAAAAAAAAAAAAAGAAGAAGAAGAAGAAGAAAGAAAGGCUGCCUUAUCGUCAUUAUGAGCCACACAAUUUUUUAGCUGUAGCAAUUAUAAAAUAGAAAGAAUCCUAUUAUUGUUGGCAAUGUGGAUGUCUCAGCCAAAAAUGGAACUUGCAUGGAUUGCGUGUAGCGAGAUCGAGGAUUUGAUGCCAUAUAUGUAUAUUCUCUUGUCUUGAUAUCUCUGUCUAGAUGGUCUAAUUUAUACUAGGCAGAGGCUCAGGCUCAAGUGUUGUCUUUUAGCCCUUUACACCACAGGCAUUUCUAUUAAUAAAUAUGGGAAAAAAAGAGAUACACACAUGGUAAAAUAUCUCUCAAACAUAUGUUAUGGAUCAUUUUGUGCAUAAAUUGAAUUUAAUUUAAAUUAUACAAUUUGUGCAUGUAAAAUAUCACCAUUCUUUCCUGGAAUGCUUAUUAUCUCCAUUCUCUAAAGAUUUUAGAUGUUCAUUUGUCCUCAUCUGGGUCUCUAUCUCAUUAGGAGAUGGGAAAUAUAGUGGCGUGUUGAACAUAUCCACUUUCAAUUCAUCGACCAGUCCCUGCAAUAGGUGCAUCUUAGUAUUUAAAGUAAUUUUUUUUUAAAACCAAAACCUGCAGUCAAAAUUGGAAGAAACACUUUGACCAAAACUCAUUCUUAUACGGUAUAUGAAAAUUAGAGGAACUGUAAAAUAAAAAAUUCCUACUUGUGGAUUUGCAACUGCUAUUUUUAAGCUGAAGACAUGUUUCAGAAAUUAUGGAACAUAGUUAAUAGCUUGUUCAUGACCAAGGAGGCAUUCCAUUCAUUCUCUGCCAUUGGUAUAUUAUGCCUGCAGAUUUGGUUGAUUUUGAUAUUAAUCAGAGGAAAUGUUGGAAAAAGAAAUUAAUAAGAAGAAAUGUUGUAUUAAUUUUCUGAUAUGAUUUUCUAUUCUGUCCAUGUCUGUUACAAGUAGUAAACUUGACAUAUGAAGCCCAUCCAUUACUUUGUACGGUUUUUUUCAGCGAAAUAAGUAACAUAAGUUAGAGGGUAAGGACUUAAUAUCAAAAUAAUAUUUUAUAUUUGCAAAUAGGAAUGAAAAAUGAACGAGACUAUGCUAUACUCUAAAUGAGGUUGAAUUAGUAAAUGCUAAUUUGUGCUUAGUUCACCAAUUAAUUAAACCAAACAUGAACAACAUUUUGUAUCCAAUAAAAUUUCAAAUCUGAAAUCGAGCUUGGCUGACUUAACAUGGUAUAUGAAAUUUAUAUGUGAAAAAUUCAAUCAAGUUCGACUGGGUAAAAGCUCAUCUAAAUUCAUCGCAAUAACUAAAUUAAUUAAAUUUAAAUACAAUUUUAAACUCUUUAGAAUAGAUAGACAAGGUUGAAUUAGGAAUCGGAAUACGAACUAAAUAUAGGUUAUACUGUUAUGGUAGUUAUGAAAAAAAGUGUUCAUGAUAUAUUUAUAACUAUAUUGUUUUUCUAUUUUUGAUUUGCAAUUACUGAUGUUAUUCCUAUAGAGAAUUUGAUUGAUUUUGAACUCUAUGCCAUUGGAGUAUAUAUAUUUUGAUAUUAGUAGUGAUGGCUUAAAUUAUUUUGUAUUAUAAAAAAGUGGUAGCCAUGGAAUUGAAAUUUAAUGAUAUUCAUGAAUAUUGUUGUGUAUUAAGUAAAAUUUGAUAUUGAUAUGAGAUUGGAGGUAAGCUUUCGGGUAUAUGAUGUAGCGUUAAUAGUUUGAUACAAUGGUAUGCAUCAUAAACUUUUAGGUAAAAGAGAAAUAUUAGAAUAAAUAUAAGUGUUUAUUUAGCAGUGAUUUGGAUUUUGAUGGAAAGGCACUACUGAUAGCAUGUGAGGAUGAAUGAGAUAGAGACUAUGAACCUUUUUUUUUUCUUUUUAUUUUUAGUGUGAAUUAUAACUGAAGGGCAUUGUAGGAUUUUUGAAAAAAAAAAAAGCCUAGACUUUUGGACCUACAAUGUUACUUAAACAAUGAAAAUAUAGGAGGUAGGUGUAAUGUUUAGAACUUAAGGGGAGCAUCCUGAAAUUAGGAAAAAACUCAAGAUAAGAAAUCUAAAAUGAGGUGAAAAACAAAUAUCUUAAGAGAAAAGUGAUGAAAUUGCAACUAGUAUGCCACUUUGCUAAGUUAAAUUGGCGAUUGAAAAGGAAAAAUCCUUUAGUGGCCAAAAAGUGCAAGUUGAAUGGAUUAGUGGUCAAUAAAAUUUGUUCUCCAAUCAUUGGAUGAAAUUGCUUUUGAUUUGGCACGGUGAAUGCACAUGGAACUCAUUCUAUUGAUACUAAGAGCAAUAUUUAAUAAAAUGACCAAAAGUAUACUGAUUUAAGAGUUUAGUGAUUAUAUUAAAAAAAAAAAAAACUUGAGCGGCCAAAAGUGUACGAGCGUACGAGCGGAAUAGUUUAGUACCUGCUGGGGUUUUUCGCCCUUUCAUGCAAUAUAUUGGGCUUGUGAAAUAAUAUUGACUUUAUGUGUUAUACAAAAAUAAUUCACAAAAAACAAACUUAUUCUAAAAAUUUUCAUACAUUAUACUGACAAUUGUCCCUUCUGUGCUGAAGGCAUAAUUAUAGACCAAAUGUAGAUGGAACAAGGACGUUAGUACCUUGGAAUUAGACCUAAAAUUGAACUUAGAUAAGAAUUUCACUAAAUUGUACCAUCCAACUAGCAUUUUAAAUAUCUGCAAACAAAGCAUUUUUUCAUAUGGUAUGAGAAUACUAAAAAUAGAAAAUUUUAAAUACAUUACCCUUACUUGAAUUAACAAUGUGUUAACAUGUGUGAAAUUAACUUGUUAUUUGCAUGCGUAACUAAGUUGAAAAUUAUUACGACUACAUGAUACCCCUUCUAAUUUCAAAUCUCCAUGUAAGGUGUAAUUAUCAUUUUUUAAUCUGUCUUUGAAACAAAAAAAAAAAAAAAAGAAUCUACGUUGUUAUUCACUAGAACGUUACAUGCAUUUAAUCUUCAAAAAAAUUCGUGGAGGAGAGCUUGGUGUGAACCCAGUGAGUUUUUACUAAUAAAUCGUACCAUGCCUUCUAACUAUUAAUUCUUGAAUUGUUUCUUAUCAUAAAAGCACAUUAUCUAUCAGUAUUUUCUUGAUGACAAUGAUAAAUAAUUCAAAGAAUAGUAUUAUGAAGGCAAUUUAUUGAUAUUUCACAAAAGAAAAGUUGUUAAUUAACUCUUUAUAUACUAUAAGGGCCCCAAUGUCUUAUUAGUGUUUAGGAUGUGUAUCUAGGAUUGGAGGGUAUGGAUUUAACUCCUUCCUUUUAUGAAUUAUUUAAUUCCAUUGAUUUCUUCCUAGCAAGAAUUUUCCUCUUCCAUGUUCUCUUAUUUAGUUGUCAUCAAUCAACAAAGAAUAUAAUCUUAUUGGUAGGUAAAUUUCAGAUUCUAGCAUACCUAAUAUGCCCUAUAGUACAUACAUGCAAUUCCUUUUUUUUUUUUUUUUUAUUGUUAGGACAUAUGCAUCAUUGGUUGGAAGGAGUAAAGGUAUAGGAAACAAAAAGUCAUAGAUACUACUACUAUUUUAUAUUUAUUCCAAAGAGAAGUCAAAUGAAAUCCUUCUUCAAAAUUACUAAAGAACAAUAAGGAGGCAAGAAAAAAGGAUAGACAGCAAAGCAAAGCAAAAUCAAAGUUCAAACUUUCUUUAAAAAAAAAAAAAAAAAAAAAUUCCCCAAAUGCCCAAUGCCUAAAAUGCAUUAUUUGGGCCGAGUUAAGUAAAGACAAACUAACUCUGGCGGUGGACUAAUCCCCAAGUGAUCCAGCAGCCCCACUCUGGCCUCCCCCUUCCAAUGUUCCUAUUGCAUUUUUUUGCUUUUGGGGGUAACUCCUUGUCUUGUUGAUCAUUGUUUCGCUCCAUCGUCUUUGAUCUUUCCCAUGUCUAGUCUUUCUCAUGCAAUUUUCCAUUCAAUUAACGAAUUCCGGUAAAAGGAAAAACUUUGCAGCACAAGGAAAAUUAUGAAACGUCAAAAUGGUGAAUCAUUCAUUAGUCGCUAAAAAGGAAAUUCGCAAUUUUUUCUCCACUACCUUGGCCUUACAUAAAAGAAGACAUCAGUUAAUCCUUUACCUUUUUCAAUCUGGGCUCAUUAAGUAAAAGUCGGUACCAAAACAAAACCCUCAUGAGUAGAAUAGUAUUGCAGUACAUGAAUUCAAAUGACAUUUCAAGAAUUUUAAAAAUUUCACUCGCAUUCUUGUGAAUUCUAAAAAGUUAAUUUGUAUUAUGAAUUUGGCCUUAAGAAAUUAUUCUGAUAUCAGCUACUUGCCCCUCUUCCCAAGCUUGAGAAUUUGGUAUUCUGUUGAAAUAUUUUUGACAUUUUACUUUUGCCCCACAAAAACUUCAAACCUUCUAUUUCCAAACAUCGAAGUAAAUGAGCCUAAUUAAAUCAAGCACUCGAGUCUUCAAACUUGUCUGUAAAUUCUAAAUAAUUUAAAAUUGUGUUUAAAUUUGGCUUCUUUAUUCAUUGUUUUGAGUUCACGUGAGCUUUUAUCGAAUUUUUCACAUACAAAUUUGUCACUUAAAUUAGUGAGAAAAUAUUUAAUCAAAUCAUUAGAAAUAUCAUAUGUGGUUAUUUAGGCCACACAAAAUAUAUAUUCUAACAUGAUGUCGUCAACCAAGCUUAUAGUUGGACAAUAAGAUACGUGAGAUUUUAUUCUUUGUUAAUCAUCCAUUAUAAGUUCUUUUGUAUUCAUCCAUUACAAUGGAUAGCUUCUAGAUAUAUAUGCUGGAUUAUGCAAGCUAAUGUUCCACAGUCAGGAGCAGCUGUUUCAAAGCCAUUUCUUGGGUUGCCCUUCGGAAACUAACAACACCAGCACAAUCCAUAAGGUCCACUAAAUUUGUUUCAUGUUCUCAUUUUUCGCUUCAGGAGGACAAAAAUAAGAACCACAUCCUGAUUCUCAGGGUUAAAGAGAGAGGAAGACUCUGCGAGUUUCUGCGUAAACAGUUCAAACAAUUCAUCCAUGAUAUCACUUCCAAAUUGUUUCUCUAGAAGUCCCUCUAAUACAGCUCUGUGGUGCAAAGCAAUUCCACAAGGGUUGGACAAAAACUCAUGCUUUCCUGGAAUGCUUAAUUUCUCCAUUCUCUGAACAUUUAGAUGUUCAUUUGCCUUCAUCAGGGUCUUUAUCUCAUUAAGAGAUGUGUAAUAUAGUGGUAUGUUGAACGUAUCCACUUUCAAUUCAUCAACCAGUCCCUGCAAUAAGUGCAUCUUAGUAAUUAAACUACUUUUUUUUUAGCCAAAACCUGCAGUCGAAAUUUGAAGAUAAACUUUGACCAAAACUCAUAUAGUAUAUAGAAAUUAGAGAAACUGUAAAAUUCCUACUCAUGGAUUUGCAACUGCUAUUUUUUAACCUGCAGUCGAAAUUUGAAGAUAAACUUUGACCAAAACUCAUAUAGUAUAUAGAAAUUAGAGAAACUGUAAAAUUCCUACUCGUGGAUUUGCAACUGCUAUUUUUAAGCUGAAGACAUGUUUCAGAAAUUAUGGAACAUAGUUAAUAGCUUAUUCAUGACCAAGGAGGUAUUCCAUUCAUUCUCUACCAUUGCUUUUCUGUUCUGUCCAUGGUUGUUACAAGUAGUAACUUUGACAUAUGAAGCUCACUUCCAUCCAAUACUUUGCACCUUUUUUUCAGCGAAAUAAGUACAUAAGUUUAGAGGGUAAGCACAUAAUAUCAAAAUAAUAUUUUAUACUUGCAAAUAGGAAUGUAAAAUGAGCGAAACUACGUUACACUCGAAUUGAGGUUGAACUGGUAAAAGCUAAUUUGCGCUUAGGUCUCCAAUUAAUCAAACCAAACAUGAACAAUAUUUUGUAUCCAAUAAAAUUUCAAAUCUGAAAUCGAGCUUGGCUGACUUAACAUGGUAUAUGAAAUUUAUAUGUGAAAAAUUUAAUCGAAUUUGACUUGAUAAAAGCUCAUCUAAAUUCAGUGCAAUAAAUAAAUAAAUUAAAUUUAAAUACAAUUUUAAACUCUUUAGAAUAGAUAGACAAGUUUGACAACUUGAGUGCUUGGCUCAAUUAGCUUCAUUCAUAGCCCUAUUUGCAAGUAAAAGUUCUGAAAUUUUUUGCGGGGCAAAUAUAAAAUGUCAAAAAUAUUUCCACAGAAUACCAGAUUCUCAAUUCUCAAGCUUGGGGAGAAGGGCAAUUUCUUAAGGCAAAAUUAUAAUACAAAUAAACUUUUUAAAAUUCAUAAGAGGGCAAAUGAAUUUUUUAAAAUUCUUGAGGGGUGGCUGCCCCUCCCUGCAAAGAUCCGAUCCAACAAAACUCCUGCCCCGCAGGCUCAUAGAAGUGUUAAAAAGAAUUCCAAAUGUCAUUUGAGUUCAAAAAUGAAUAAUUUAACUAUCUAAAACUAUUUAGGAUAUAUUAGAUCAUAAUUCAAAUUUAAUGUUAUUCAAGUGACAAAGAAAAUCAAAAUUCUAUGUUGCAUCCCUGCAUUGAGAUGUAUUCGCAUAGAGUUCUUAGUUGAAGAUCUGAAACUAAUGAAAUCUAACCUUCUUAGCCAAGUCCAUGAGACAAGAUCCUAGAACUUCAUAUCCUUUCUCUGGGACGAUAGUUGUCUGAGAUUCACGGAUGGCAUCAGGGACAGUAGGAAUAACAAGGGCCAUCAACCCUCCAUCGACGAGCUCGUGUGCCCUUGCAUUCAGAAAUGACUCCAGGUCCUUGGCAAAUUGAGAUGCAUAAACCUCAAGAAGUUCCUUUUUGGCCCCUCCGUGGUGAAUCUUUCCUUUGUUCCAUGCAGGGGACGUGUUGUCUGUAACCUCAUUUGGCACAUCUGAAAGCCAGUUAAGCGUGCAAGACGAGUGAGCAAAAUGAAGGGAUGCCUUUGGGAGCAAAACCUUGUGGAAAUCACCAGGCACUCCAGCUGCAAGGUAGUGUCUCUCUGGUGGAAGUGAAGCAAAAAGUGUGUUGAAAUCAUUAGAUAUAUGGUCAUUAAAAAAGACUUGAAACUCAGGGACUUCAGAUGCUAGUCCCUCUUUUCUGAGUUUUUCCUCCAGGGCUUCUCUUAUCGCUUUCAUGGCCACAAAUGUAUUUGGUCCUGUAGAACAGCCAAAAUCUGCUAUUCGAAAUGGAUGCACAGAGGUUGAAGAAAGUUGCUUGACAUCAAGUUCUUUGUCAAUCUCUUCUUUGAUAAGUUCUUUUGCAGCGUCUACUGCUCCUCUCUGCCGCAAAAAAAAAAAAAGAAAAUAAAUAAAAUCUUUACGUAAGUCUUAUAGACCUUAGACAUUUAUAAUGAGGUAAUUGCAAUUUAAACUAGCAACCUGAUAGGAUGAGUUUUGGGCAUAGCUUUGAGGUCCAUUUCCUCCAUUCAUGGCAUAUACUUGAGGCAUUUUUUUCUAUCUAUAUCUCUUCUCUUACCAUGUCUUGAUAUCUCUGCCUGGAUGGUUUAAUUUAUACUAGGCAGAAGCUUAGGAUUAAGUGUUGUCUUUUAGCCCUUUACACGUGAUAGGGUGCAUUUUAGUGGCAUAUUUUGGAUAAUAUUACGUAAUUGUUUGACUAAAUAUUGCACUAAUUGGAUGGAUUUUACUCAGAUGUGGUGUUUGGUAUUAAUUACAGGGAUUGAUGCUGAAAAGUGCUUAAAAUCACAUUUAGAAGGACUUCCUGAUGAGUAGGCGUGCCCACGUCUAACUCCAGCCCUCAGAGCCGGAUCUCCGUGGUUCGUCACACAUGGGGUACUUCAAGCAGUGGAUUCGCUUAAAAAAAUUGAAGAAAUUAAAUUGUAAUAGGUUUCCUUUUAUUUAGGGAGUGUUGGUAUUUAAAUACCAAUUUUUGAAAAGGAGUAAAAACUAGACUUGGGGGAACCGUUUUGUUUUCCUCUCUGGUGGGACCGGCCGAUAACAAGGAAAUCAAUUCCUUCAUUUUCGGCGGCUACCAACGAAAAAGGGGAUUUUGUACUAUGAGUAGGUUUUGGCCUUGGACAUGAUUCGUUUUUUGGUUUUUGCUUUGAAAGACAAUUGAGGAAAAAACAGAGAAAGGCCCAAUGAAAUGGAAGCAUUGAGAUCUAGUUGAUACUUAUCUUAGUUAGACUUCUUCCAAACAUCUAGAGGCUUUGCUUAAGGUAAAAACACUCGCCACUUGUUCACAAACCCGCUCCGCAACGUUCAUUGGCAGUUGAAAUAAGACAUUCUGGUUUCUAGAAGAAGGUUCCUUCAUUGUUGACUUUUUGAAUUGCUUUUCCUGUCUUGGGUUGACCGAAUUGAAUGAACAAGAGAAAGGUUCUCUCGUAUGUUUUUGCAAACCAAUUAGGAGAAAAGCAACAAUUCAGCCGCCAUUGUUGACUAAGGUUCUCUCGUAUGUUUUUGCAAACCAAUUAGGAGAAAAGCAACAAUUGAGCUGCCAUUGUUGACUAUUGGUUCUUGAUUUUUAUUUUUGGUUGACAAAAAUUGAAGGAAAAGCCAGACUCUCUCGUACGCUUGCUUUGGGGAACAAAUUGAGAGCACGAAAUUCCUUGUUCUUUCCUUUCCUGGGUUGACUUGUCACGCCCCAAGCUCGCACGAGUCUGUCACGUGGCAUCCGUCGUAUUCUCAAAUCUCGCUCAAGAAUACAAGGCAUCAUUUAACUAUACUAAACUUUAAAAAUAUUAAAUAAUAUAACUACAUAAAUUGUGGUACAAAUAUCAUAUAAAAGGUAGUCUACAAAUAUUCAAUAAAUUCAUACAUUUAUUCUCUGAUCGAAACAGCGGAAACAGGGUAGAUAAAAUUAACAACUAGAAGCAGUUAGUUCACUUAAAAACUAAUAAAAGUCAUCCUCAGAGUCUUCUACGUAAAUUAAUUCGUACUCUUCAGAAUCUGCAAAGAUGGUAAAAAGUGGGUUGAGCGACAAAUCGUUCAGUAGGUAAUAUCUACCCCUCUGUUGGACCAUAUACUUGUAACUUUAUAGAUACAUAUAUAGAUACCAAUCAAAUCAUUUGUGCAUCGAUCACAUCCAUAAUCUUGAAAGUAACGUCGUUUAUAAAACAAUCAGUAGUAAUGGGUGGCAAGCAAUUUAAAAGUAUCUUAUUAAUACAUGUACAUGAAAAAUCAUAAAGCCAUAAAUCAUCUCGUCUCAAUUCACAAGUCUCUUCAUAUCCAUUCAUAAAUAAAUUCAUAAAUUAGUUCACAAGUUUCAUUUCAGAUCAGUUCAUAAAUCAUUUCGUAUCAACUCAUAACAAGUACAGGUGAUGACUGGCUACUGAGUACUCAACCUAGAGAUUAAACUCCUUCUAAGUAGGUGACCAAUAAGUUUCAUGACUACCGAUUGGUCUCAUUUCAUACAUGGAUCAAUUGGCCGGACUUUAUACCAGGUUACCAUGACCUUGCCAAUCGGUUGGAAUUUAUACCAGACUACCAUGGCUUUGUCAAUCGGCAGGACUCUAUGCCAGACUACCAUGACCUUGCUAAUCGGCCGGACUUUAUACCAGGUUACCAUGACGAUUAGACAGGACUAUAGCCCCUACCGUCUAUUCCAUGACUGUUUUGAACUUUACUUGUCAAAAAUUCAUUUCACACAUCACAUACAUAAAUCUUUGAUUUCAUAAAAGAUUCAACUCGUUUGGUAUAUAAUAACAUUUCAAAACAUUUCAAAUAAGUCACAUGGUCCAUUUUUGUCUAGUAAAAAUAUAACUUUCAUAAAUAUCCAAGUAAAGCAUUUAAUCAAAUAUAUUUCGAGUCAACACAACAAAAUAAGAUUGAAAACAAAAAUUUCAUUUUUGCACCUUUGAAAUCUCAGAAGGGUAAGUACCAGCUAUCUUCGUUUGGUUGCUCGAGUAGAACUACGUUAGAUCUUUUAAAUUGGUACCGUACCUAUCAAAUGUAUAGGUUUCCUAAUUAGUUGAUAUUUCCUAUAGAUACAUGAUAUACAAACUCUGAGUAAGUCGAAAAUUCAUGUCUAGACCACUGUAUGAACCCUAACAGCAUUUCCCCUAAAUUGGACGAUUUCCAUUUUUGGAAAGUUUCCUAAUUUGAAAAGUUUCUAUUUUUAGAAAUUUUCUUAAUUUGGAAAGUUCACCCUUUUUGUAAAGUUUUAUAAUUUAAAAGAAAAUAAUUAUUCCUAAUUAUGGUUAUUAUCUUGACUAUUAUCUUAUUAUACAUAUUUAUAAUUUAUAAUUAUUCAUUAUCAUUAUUAUCGUCCUUGUCGUCGCUACUUUAUUUUAUUACCAUAUAUAUAUAUAUUUGUAUAUUAGUUACUAUUAUCUUUUGCUUUACUUUCACUUUUGUUGUGUAUGUGUAGGUGUUAUAUUAUUUAUAUAAAUAUUGAUUUAUUAUUAUUAUAAUUAUCGUCUUAGUUUAUUCCAUUUUUAUUUAUCUUUUAAUUUAAUUUUCAUUUAUAUCUCUAAUUUAUUUUAUCUAUAUCUAUAUUGUUACUAUUAUUACCAUUAUUAUUAUUAUUAUUAUUAUUAUUAUUAUUAUUACCGUUGGUGUUAUCGUUAGUAUUAUUAUUAUUAUUAUUGUUAUUAUUUUAAGCGUCUCGUUUAACAACUUAGAAUUUAUUUUACAUAGUCUAAAUUAACCUCAUAUGGCUAAAUUAAGAUGUUUUAAAUUUCUAUUUAGGUACUUUAGACUUGAUCAAUUAAAUAAGAUUUCAAAUAAUUAACCCUUCAAUUCUAACGACUACUUUAGAUUGGGUCCUAAAUUUUAAUACCCACAAUAAACCAUAAAAAUGGACUAGUUAUAUUUAAAAUUUAUUUCUUAAACAUCUACUAAAUUUUAUACUAUAGUUUGGUCCAAAUUUAAAUUGCCUCCCUUUUUAUUUAUUAUUAUUUUCCUUAUUAUUAUUAUUAUUUUUUAUUUUUCCUCGAGUAGGACCCGUGGUUUGGCCAACCAUGUCUGACCAUGGUCGCCAGACUCUCUGGCGACCCAAUUCCUCAAUUGGUUGACCGAAAAGGCCAACCAUAAUCUUGUUCAUUGUCGCCAGCACUUGCUGGCGACAUCAUUAUCAUCAUCUCUUUUUUUUUUUUUGGCCUUAGGUUGGCCAAAAGACCAACAUUUGCAAAUUCUUUCUCUGCCGCUAGAGAUGGCGGCCCCCACCCUUCUUUUUUUUUUUUUUUUUGGUGUGUGGCGUUGCAGAAGCAACGCCUAGCCAAAAUAGAGCAGCGGUAGCCGCCACUACUCUUCUCCAUUUUUUUUCCUUUUUUUUUCCACAGAUUCAAUCAUCCUAUAAUCCCAAAAUUAAAAUCUAACACCCUAUCUAUUAAUCCGGAUAUGAAUCUUCCUAAAAACGUAUUUAUCUACACAUAUGCAGCAACAAUACAUAUCUGUAAAAUUCCUAGGGCAAUUAAUGCAACUAUUAAAACUUAAAAGAAAAGUUUUGCGUGAACUCAGGACUUACAAGUUCAGAUACCUAGUUAUCUGAUCGAUUGACAGCGUCGCCUGCUUCUCCUUCUCUACUCUCCGACGACUCUUGCUCUAGGGAGGCAGACGAAAGAAGGGUGAGAGUGGUGUUAUUUUUCUGUCUAGGGUUUCACUAAAAUUCUAAACCUAGCUCUAGCUACUAGUAGGUGGUUUGGAUAAAAGUUUUAGUUUAUUAGGAACCCUUAUCCCAUCCUAUAGUUAUUUUAUUUUAUUUUAUCUAGUAAUUUUAUCUUUUUAAUUAAUUGAAAAAAUAAAAUAAAAUAACAAAAAUAGGUGCCCAAAAAUCGUGGGUUUUACAUUCUACCCUCCUUACAAAGAGUUUCGUUCUCGAAACUUACGUACCUUGAUAAAAAGAUAGCGAUGUCUAUUCCGCAUGUCUUCUUCUAACUCCUACAUUACCUCUCGUGGUGUAUGGUUCGUCCAUUGCACUUUCACGUAGGGUAUAGUUGUUUUCCUUAGGACUUGAUUCUUAUGAUCCACGAUUCUCAAAGGAACUUCCUCCACUGAUAAGUUCUCCCUCACCUCGAUGGGUUGUCCUCCAAAAUAUGGUUUGGGUCAGAUACAUACUUCUUCUGUUAAGAGACAUGAAAAACAUUAUGUAUCCUCGAUAGCACAAGUGAAAAGGUCAGUCGACAUGCUAAAGGUUCCACUCUCUCUAGUAUUUCGUAAGGUCCUAUAUGUCUUGAACUUAACUUACCACUCCUUCCAUAUCUCAUCACUCCCUUGGUGGGGGAUACUUUCAAAUAUACCCUUUUCUUCCUGUUGAAAUGCUAAAGGCCUCCUCUUUGAAUCCGUCCAACUCUUGUUUCGAUCCUGAGUUACUUUUAAUUUUCCUUGAAUAAUUUUAAUUUUCUCUAAAGUUCCUUCCACCAAAUCGAGGCCAGUGAUCAGUUUCUCACCUACUUCGUCCCAAUAUAAGUGAGAUCUACCCUUUCGCCCAUACAGCUUUUCAAAUGGUGCCAUACCUAUCCUGGUAUGAUAGUUAUUAGUGUACAAAAACUCCAUUAGUUUCACCAUCCUAUCCCAACUAUCCGAGAAGUCUAGAACACAAGCUCUUAGCAUGUCCUCCAAUGUCUGUACAAUUCUUUCUAACUAUCCAUUCAUUUGGGGGUGGAAGGCGGUAUUUGAUCUUAGGUAUCAAUCCCUAUAAUCUGUUGGUAGGGCGACCAAAAUCUAGACGUGAAUCUAGGAUCCCGGUCCGACACUACUUUCGCAAUUCAUUUUUAAACUAGAUAUCACAUUCUCUCCCCUUUUAAAGGUUUCAUCCUCGAAAUCUAAAAGACAUAAACAUCAAGAUAAGUUGACAAAAUUUCCAAUGUCCAAAUUAGAUUUUCCCAUUUAAUUCUAUCAGACUUCUGCUGCACACUCUUAUUUUUCUUAAUACCUUCCAUGUUCAUAUUUUUAUAACUCAAAUGAACAUAAUCUCUCUCACAAAUCCGGCGUUCUAAAUAUCGGUUUAGAAUACUCCAUAGAGAUCAACCUAUAAGAAGGAUGCCAUAAACACUAAUAGUACCAUUUCUUCUUUUGUCACACAUUCUAUCACAACAUACUUAUCUACUAUCACAAAAAGUAAUCAUUAUCUCAAUAUAUGAGUUCCUACCCAAUGUGUUUGUAAUUGGUAACGGAAAUCUCUUAUUUCUCUCAAAUCUCAAAUCUAAAAUAGCAUCACACCUAAUUUCAGAUCCUAUAACCUGAGUUAUUAUACCACUAAAUGUCAUGGGAAUCUUACUUAUUAUCAUUUUUUUUCUAACCUAGCUCAAUUCAAUUUCCGAAAACAUUAAUAUCUCAAAUAUCAUUUCACAAACUUCUUGAUCAUACAAAAAUAUAGAAAAUUUUUUCAAAAAAUUAUCACCAAAUUUUCAUAUUGGAAUAUAACAACUUUAUCAUAACUUUGGUAAAGUAUUUAUCUAUGUGUAAAAUUUCAAACUCAGUAAAGUUUAGAAACAUACUAGUGUUUGAAAUACAUAAGCCAACUAACUAUACUUCUUACAGCAUUAGAAUUUAGAGUACAAAGAGAAUUUAUCAAGAAUUAUUGUUAGAUUUUUCUAUACGAUAAGAGAAAAUAUUUUUUUUUGUAGAAUACUUUUAUCUAAAGCUCUUUUUUUGAGAUUGGAUGAGUAUAAAAAAAAAUAUUUUGCACAAGAUUGUAGGAUAUAAUUAUUCAAUGUAUUUAUUCUUUUUUUUUUAUAGUUAUAUACAUAUAUAUAUUUAGAAACUAUAUUUACCAAGCAACUGUGAGGUAAGGUACAUAUUAAAAAAAUUCUGAUUAAAAACUAUUUGUGCAAUUAAAAUUUUGGUUUCACCGUUUAUUCACUUUUAAGUAAAAAGUAUGUAAAAUUAUAUAUUGUAAGAAAUUUAUGAAAUAUGUAUUGCCUGAUCAUGACGUAAUAAUUCCAGAACUAAUAAUAUCCACUAAUUUAAUAAAUAUCUUGAGCAUUAGAUCUAAUUAUUAUAAACCUCAAAAUAAGUCAACAAAAUUCCAAGAUCCAACGUGUAUUGCUUGCGUUCGAUGACAUCAUAUUGUUGAUCAUUCAUACUUUCGUUGUGCACUCUAAUUUCCUCAACAUUUUCAGUUGUCUCUAUACUAGACUUCAACUAGACAUUAGAUUAUCUAUAAAUCUGACAUCUUAAAUGAUAAACUUAGAAAUGUACUAUAGAAAUCAAAACUGACAAAAAGAACACCAUAAAUACCCCUUUUUUUUUUGUAAGUAUCAAUCAUAUCUGACAGGUGAGCUUGGUUACCUUUUCAACUUAACAUAUACAUAUAGUCACCACUUACUUACUAAAAGUAAUCAUCAUCUCAAUACCUGAGGUCAUUCCAGUAAAUUCGUAAUCUAAAAUUCUAAUACCAUUAAAUGUUAUGGAGUCACUUAUUUUCUUUUAAUCCCUUAUCCAUUUCAUUCCAAUUCUCAAAAUCACAAAUAUCUUCAGUAGCUUUACACCUACUUCCAAUUAUCACAACUUGAGCUUUGAUACUACAAAAAAAUCACAGCAAUCUCUUACUUCUUUUGAUCUAUUUUUCCAUCUCCUUUCAAUUUACAACAGACAAUACUUCAAAUACACAUAAUAUUUCCUACACGUCCGACAUCUUAAACGUAUAGUGUACUACCAAAAUUACAUCCAAUAAAAGGACAUCAUAAACACCAAUCGUACCAUUUCAACUAUUCAUACAUGCAAAUUUUCAAACCUAUUUAUUUAGUCACAAUUGAUCAUUUCCUAGGGUAUACUUCAUCUAAAGAGUAAAUCGUACCUCAUGCUUUGUUAUUACUAAAUAUUAUAAAAAUCUCUUAUUUCACAAUCUUCUAUCCAACCUCAUUCCCAUUUUCUAAAAUCACUAAUAUUACAAAUAUCAUUCAACAUACAUCUAGAUCGCAUAACCUAAACUUUGAUAACAUUAAAAAUCACAUGAAUCUCUUAUUUCCUUUAAUCAUCUUUUCCUUUUCAUCUCAUUUCAAUUCUCAAAACCCCUAAUACCUCAAAAAUCAUUUCACAUACUUUCGGACCAUAUAACCUAAGCUCUGAUACCACUAAAAAUAUCACGCCCCGAACCCGCACGUGCCCGUCACAUGGCAUCGGCCGUAUUCUCAAAUCCCGCUCAAGAAUACAAGGCAUCAUUUAACUAUACUAAACUUUAAAAGUAUUAAAUAAUAUAACUACAUAAAGUGCGGUACAAAUAUCAUAUAAAAGAUAGUCUACAAAUAUCCAAUAAAUUCGUACAUUUAUUCUCUGAUCGAAACAGCGGAAACAGGGUUGAUAAAAUUAACAACUAGAAGUAGCUAGUUCACUUAAAAACUAAUAAAAGUCGUCCUCAGAGUCUUCUACGUAAAUCAAUUCGUACUCUUCAGAAUCUGCAAAGAUGGUAAAAAGUGGGUUGAGCGACAAAUCGCUCAAUAGGUAAUAUCUACACCUCUGUUGGACCAUAUACUCGUAACUUUAUAGAUACAUAUAUAGAUACCAAUCAAAUCAUUUGCGCAUCGAUCACAUCCAUAAUCUUGAAAGUAACGUCAUUUAUAAAACAAUCAGUAGUAAUGGGUGGCAAGCAAUUUAAAAGUAUCUUAUUGACACAUGUACACGAAAAAUCAUAAAGCCAUAAAUCAUCUCAUCUUAAUUCACAAGUCUCUUCAUAUCCAUUCAUAAAUAAAUUCAUAAAUCAGUUCACAAGUCUUAUUUCAGAUCAGUUCAUAAAUCAUUUCGUAUCAGCUCAUAACAAGUACAGGUGAUGACCGGCUACUGAGUACUCAACCUUGAGAUUAAGCCCCUUCUAGGUGGACGACCAAUAGGUUUCAUGACUACCGAUUGGUCUCAUUUCAUACAUGGGUCAAUCGGCCGGACUUUAUACCAGGCUACCAUGACCUUGCCAAUUGGCCGGACUUUAUACCAGGCUAUCAUGACUUUGUCAAUCGGCCGGACUCUAUACCAGACUACCAUGACCUUGCCAAUCGGCCGGACUUUAUACCAAGUUACCAUGACGAUUAGAUAGGACUAUAGCCUCUACCGUCUAUUCCAUGACUAUUUUGAACUUUACUUGUCAAAAAUUCAUUUCACACAUCACAUACAUAAAUCUUUGAUUUCAUAAAAGAUUCAACUCAUUUGGUAUAUAAUAACAUAUCAAAACAUUUCAAAUAAGUCACAUGGUCCAUUUUUGUCUAAUAAAAAUAUAACUUUCAUAAAUAUCCAAGUAAAGCAUUUAAUCAAAUAUUUUUCGAGUCAAUACAACAAAAUAAGAUUGAAAACAAAAAUUUCAUUUUUGCACCUUUGAAAUCUCAGAAGGGUAAGUACCACCUACCUUCGUUUGGUUGCUCGAGUGGAACUACGUUAGAUCUUUUAAACUGGUACCGUACCUAUCAAAUGUAUAGGUUUCCUAAUUAGUUGAUAUUUCCUAUAGAUACAUGAUAUACAAAUUCUGAGUAAGUCGAAGAUUCAUGUCUAGAUCACUGUAUGAACCCUUACAGCAUUUCCCCUAAAUUGGACGAUUUCCAUUUUUGGAAAGUUUCAUAAUUUGAAAGUUUCUAUUUUUAGAAAUUUUCUUAAUUUGGAAAGUUCACCCUUUUUGUAAAGUUUUAUAAUUUAAAAGAAAAUAAUUAUUCCUAAUCAUGUUUAUUAUCUUGACUAUUAUCUUAAUAUACAUAUUUAUAAUUUAUAAUUAUUCAUUUUCAUUAUUAUCGUCCUUGUCAUCGCUACUUUAUUUUAUUACCAUUUAUAUAUAUAUAUAUUUGUAUAUUAGUUACUAUUAUCUUUUGCUUUACUUUCACUUUUGUUGUGUAUGUGUAGGUGUUAUAUUAUUUAUAUAAAUAUUGAUUUAUUAUUAUUAUAAUUAUCGUCUUAGUUUAUUCCAUUUUUAUUUAUCUUUUAAUUUAAUUUUCAUUUAUAUCUCUAAUUUAUUUUAUCUAUAUCUAUAUUGUUAUUAUUAUUACCAUUAUUAUUAUUAUUAUUAUUACCGUUGGUGUUAUCGUUAUUAUUAUUAUUAUUAUUAUUAUUAUUAUUAUUAUUAUUAUUAUUAUUGUUAUUAUUUUAAGCGUCUCGUUUAACAACUUAGAAUUUAUCUUACAUAGUCUAAAUUAACCUCAUACGGCUAAAUUAAGAUGUUUUAAUUUUCUAUUUAGGUACUUUAGACUUGAUCAAUUAAAUAAGAUUUCAAAUAACUAACCCUUCAAUUCUAACGACUAUUUUAGAUUGAGUCCUAAAUUUUAAUACCCACAAUAAAUCAUAAAAAUGGACUAGUUGUAUUUAAAAUUUAUUUAUUAAACAUCUCCUAAAUUUUAUAUUAUAGUUUGGUCCAAAUUUAAAUUGCCUCCCUUUUUAUUUAUUUUUAUUUUCCUUUUUAUUAUUAUUAUUUUUAAUUAUUUUUCCUCGAGUGGGACCCAUGGUUUGGCCAACCAUGUCUGACCAUGGUCGCCAGACUCUCUGGCGAACAAUUCCUCAAUUGGUUGGCCGAAAAGGCCAACCAUAAUCUUGUUCGUUGUCACCAGCACUUGCUGGCGACAUCAUCAUCAUCUCUCUUUUUUUUUUUUGGCCUUAGGUUGGCCGAAAGACCAACCUUUGCAAAUUCUUUCUCUGCCGCCAGAGAUGGCGGCCCUCACCCUUCUUCUUUUUUUUUUUUUUGGCCAAAACAGAGCAGCGGCUUCUCCAUUUUUUUUCCUUUUUUUUUUUCACAGAUUCAAUCAUCCUAUAAUCCCAAGAUUAAAAUCUAACACCCUAUUUCUAUUAAUCCGGAUAUGAAUCUUCCUAAAAACGUAUUUAUUUACACAUAUACAGCAACAAUAUAUAUCUGUAAAAUCCUUAGGGCAAUUAAUGCAACUAUUAAAAUUUAAAAGAAAAGUUUUGCGUGAACUCGGGACUUACAGGUUCAGAUGCCUAGUUAUCUGAUCGAUUGAUGGCGUUUGCUUCUUCUUCUCUACUCUCCGACGACUCUUGCUCUAGGGAGGCAGACGAAAGAACGGUGAGAGUGGUGUUAUUUUUCUAUCUAGGGUUUCACUAAAAUCCUAAACCUAGCUCUAGCUACUAGUUGGCGGUUUCGAUAAGAGUUUUAGUUUAUUAGAAACCCUUAUCCUAUCCUAUAGUUAUUUUAUUUUAUUUUAUUUUAUUUUAUCUAGUAAUUUUAUCUUUUUAAUUAAUUGAAAAAAUAAAAUAAAAUAACAAAAAUAGGUGUCCAAAAAUCGUGGGUUUUACAUGAAUGAUUCGAGAAACAAGAAUUGAUGGCUCCUGUCACAUAUAUUCGCAUGGGCCGCUCUCUAAUUAUGGAGAACUAAAUCCCUAAUUCUAGUCAAGGGGGCAACUGACGAUUUGGUUCGCCAAUUACAGUGAGAUCUAAAUCGCUUUUGAUUAUUUUUUUUCAUUUAUUGGUAUUUAUAUGUUUCCUACUAUUAAUUGUUAUAACUCUUGUGUAUGAUUGAUUAGUGCGUAAUAAUUAAUUAUUUAUAUAGGCUAUUUUGUUAAUUAGGGGUAAUUGAAUCCGUAAUGUUCGAUUCCAUCUCAGUAAUAACUGGCGUAAUUGGAUUUAUGUCAGAGAAUCAUACAAUCUAAUUUAAACAAACUCUCAUAGCGUGUUUGUUGGUUAGAAUUGGAUUUUUCUAAUUAUUAAUACAAUCUAGAAAUUAAAUCCUACGGCCGUAACUAAAACUAUUUUCGGGUUAGAGAAAUAGUUAACGGUAGUACUUUAACUAUCGAGAAAUUAAGGAAAUGUUGGUUGUUUAUCGCGUGCAAGACAACUAUAACCAAUCUAUUAAUAAAUAUGAAAUUAUCUGUGAAUCGAUGAUCAGUGUAUGAACCAUUUUUGAAGUGUACCUUUGGUUAGAGUUUUCCUAAUUAUUUCUUUUAAUUAAUUAAUUUCUAUAUUUGAUUUAUUUAAUUCAUUAGCAUAUAAUCUCAAAGCCCCUAUUUAUCCUGACUCGAAAGGAAAUAAAUUUCUCCCCAUUCCCUGAGGAGACGAUCCUACUUGCCACUGUCUAUUAGUUAGUGAAUUUUAGUCAAAUAAUUAAUUCGAGUAUAUUAAAUUCAGCAAACUCUUCGGGAAUAGGGUAAAUCAAGUAACCCAUUGCAUACCUAGAAUCCCUACUCCAGUAUCUAAAAUUAAUUAUUGACUACUUUUGGUAGUAGUUAGGUUUUUAUUUACUAUUAUUGCACAGGUUCGACACCUGUAAUUUUUUGGCGCCGUUGUCGGGGAACUGGCGUUCGAAUUAUUUAUUUCUUUUUUAAUUCAGUUUUUUUUAGUAUUUUUGUUAGUUUAUGCCUCGUUCUUCUCGCACAAAUGAAUUGAUAUACGACCCUGAGAUUGAGAAGGCAGCGCAUAGGUAAAGACAAAAGACCAGGAGACGAAAAGAAGAGCAAUCAUCUAUUACUAACGAGUCAGUAGAGGACGAUUAUAGCAUGGCAAACAACCAAACACUAUGGGAGUUGACUGCCCCGGAAUUGACUCACCAGCCCUUGUGCAUUACAUUCCCAACUUUGGCUGAGAAUAUCGCCUUCGAGUUGAAGUCGGGGUUGAUUCACUUCUUACCCUCAUUCCAUGGUUUCUCUGGUGAAGAACUCCACAAACACGUCAAGGAGUUCGAAAUGGUUAGCUCUAACAUGAAACCUCCUGGGGACACUGAAGAGCAAAUUAAAUUAAGAGCUUUUCUUCUCUCUCAAGGAUGUAGUUAAAGAUUGGCUAUACUACCUACCCGUAGGUAGUAUUACCACAUGGGUACAGUUGAAAAGAAAUUUUUAGAAAAAAUUCUUCCCUGCAUCCCGAGCUAUGAGUCUGAGGAAGGAGAUAUGCAUCAUUAAAUAGUAUCCCGAGAAGUCCUUGUAUGACUAUUGGGAAAGGUUCAAUAAAUUGUGUACUAGAUGUCCGCAGCAUCAAAUUAGUGAACAACUAUUAAUCCAGUACUUCUAUAAAGGGCUCCAGUUAACUGACAGAAGUAUCAUUAACGCUGUGAGUAGAGGAGCACUGGCAAACAAGACAUCGAAGGAAGCGUGGGAGCUUAUUGAAGCCAUGACAGAAAACUUUCAGCAAUUUGGCUUCUGUGAGAGCAACCCUACCUGUAGGGUCAACGAGGUAGAGACGUCAUCUAUUCAGCAGCAAUUGUCAGAGCUGACAUCUGUUGUUAGGCAAUUAACCAUGGAGAAUACGCAGCGAGCGAAGGUUUGUGGAAUCUGUACAAGUAUGGACCACUGUACUGACACAUGUCCCCUUUUGCAAGAGGUUGGGGCGGAACAGGUAAAUAUGACCGGAGACGUGCCAGCGCCCCGUAGGCAGUAUGGCCCAUACUCCAACACGUAUAACCCCGGUUGGAGAGACCAUCCCAAUUUCAGCUAUGGGAACAGGCCACAAAAUUCAUUCUCUAAUCGUCCACCAGGGUUUCAGCAACCAUGGCAACCAAAGUCUCAACCUUCAUCCUCCAAUUCAGGAAGCUCUUUGGAGGAUAUUGUCAAGAGUCUGGUCACGACUACCACUCAACUCCAACAAGAAACUAGAUUCUUGGUUACGAUUACUGCUCAACUCCAGUAAGAGACUGGAUCCUUGGUCACGAACACUACUCAGUUCCAGCAGGAUACCAGAGCAGGCAUGAAAGACAUGGAGACUCGAAUGAGUCAAAUGGCAACUGUCAUUAAUCGCGUGGAAUCCCACGUUUAUGAAAAAUUGUCUUCGCAACCCGAGACAAAUCUCAAGAAUGUAAGUGCCAUGACAUUGAGAAGUGGUUAGGAAGUGAAGGGACCUAAAGUGAAAUAUCCGAAAAGCAAAAGUGAGGAGGAGAUAGAAAAAGAGAUUGAAAAGGAAGGACGCAUUCGCGAAGACCCUAAGGUAACAUUCACUCCUUCACCCCCUAUUAAAUCUAACUUAUCUCUUUUUCCUUACAGGUUGGAAAAGACAAAGAAGGUAGAGAAGGAAAAAGAACUUUUGGAUGUGUUCAGAAAAGUGGAGAUCAAUAUCCCCUUGUUAGAUGCAAUCAAGUAGAUAUCGAAGCACGCCAAAUUUUUAAAAAAUUUGUGCACCCACAAAAGAAAACUAAGGGGUGAAAAAAGAGUGACGGUGGGAGAAAAUGUGUUGGCUAUAUUUCAAAUGAAACUCUCUCCCAAGUGUGGAGACUCAGGUAUGUUCACCAUUACAUGUAAAAUAGGGGAUACCCCAAUUAGAAAAGCGAUGUUGGAUUUAGGAGCGUCAAUUAAUGUUAUACCCAAAACUAUUUAUGUCUCUGUAAAUCUUGAGCCAUUAAAAGGCACAAGUAUUAUAGUCCAACUGACGGACCGUACCAAUGUUUAUGCAGAGGGGUGAGUUAAAGAUGUUUUGAUCAAAUUUUUAUAUUCUAGAUAUAGGGGAUGAAAGGUCAUUAAAUCCGUCACUUAUGUUGCUAGGUAGGUCAUUUUUAAACACUGCUAGGACAAAAAUAGAUGUGAAUGAGGGUAUUUUACCAAUAGAGUUUGAUGGUGAAAUUGUAAAUUUUAAUAUUUUUGAUGCGAUGAAAUACCCGGAGGAGGCUAACUCUGUUUUUGCUUUAAGUGUUAUUGAGUUUCUUGUACAGGAAACAUUUGAAUUGGAUGGGAAAGAUGCAGUGGAAGUGGCUUUGAUCAAACAUCUUGAGUUGGGAGUAACUCUUGAUGCAGAAAUAAGUGAUGAGUUGUACGUUGCGGUUGAAACUCUGUAUUCACUCCCGCCAAUUUCUCCGAGGUAUGAGUUUACUUCCCUCUUUGCACUAGAAACUCAGACGAAAUUGUUGCCUUCUAUUGUGUAGGCACCUGAGUUGGAGCUUAAACCUCUCCCAAAACACUUGAAGUAUGCAUUUCUUGGGGACAAGGAAACACUAUCGGUCAUCAUUUCUGCACACCUGUCACCGAAGUAAGAAGAUAACCUGAUUCAUUUUCUUCGAGAUUAUAAUGAGGCAAUUGGAUGGAGCAUAACAGACAUUAAAGGAAUCAGUUCGUCCUUAUGCAUGCACUGGAUACGGCUUGAGAAAAAUGCAAAGCCGGUAAGACAGGUGCAACGAAAAUUAAACCCACUGAUGAUGGAGGUAGUAAAGAAGGAGAUACUCAAACUCCUGGAAGUAGGAAUCAUCUUCGCCAUCUCAGACAGCCCGUGUGUAAAUCCCGUUCAAGUAGUUCAGAAAAAGGCGAAAGUGACUGUUAAAGAGAAUCAGGAGGACGAGAUGGUCCCAGUAAGGAAACCCACAGGAUGGCGCCAGUGCAUCGACUACCAGUGACUGAAUGCCGUGACGAAAGAGGAUCACUUCCCUCUUCCGUUUGUUGAUCAGAUGAUAGAAAGAUUGGCUGGUCGUAAUUAUUAUUAUUUUCUUGAUAAUUUUUCAGGGUACUUCUAGAUCGCGAUAGCAUCGGAGGAUCAGAAGAAAACUACAUUCACCUACCCAUUUGGUACAUUUACCUACUAGAGGAUGUCUUUCGGCCUCUGCAAUGCUCCGAUGACUUUUCAAAGGUGCAUGGUAAGUAUCUUUUUCGAAUAUGUAGAAAAGAUUAUUGAGAUGUUUAUGGAUGAUUUUAGUGUAUAUGGGGAUAGUUUUGAGAAAUGCCUUAAUAAUUUAGUUUUAAUUUUGAAACGGUGCAUAGAGACAAAUUUAGUUCUUAAUUGAAAAAAAUGUCACUUCGUGGGGGAGUAUGAUAUUGUUUUAGGAUAUGUAGUUUCGGUUAGGGAAAUAGAAGUAGAUAAAGCAAAAGUCGACCUUAUUUCUGCUCUACCUUACUCCGUGAGUGUACGAAAAGUGCGUUCCUUUUUAGGUCAUGCAGGGUUCUAUGGGAGAUUCAUCAAAAACUUUUCAAAGAUUGGAGCCCCCUUAUUCAAAUUGUUGCAAAAGGACAUAACAUUUGACUUCACCAAUGAGUGCAAAGUAGCCUUUGAUAAAUUGAAUGGGUCAUUGACAUCACCGCCUGUCAUUCAACCCCCAGACUGGAGUCUCCCAUUCGAAAUAAUAUGUGACGCGAGUGACUAUGCAGUGGGAGUAGAAAAGAGAAGAUGAUUUUAUUAAGGUUCGGCAGGGAACUUUGAGUAUAGUUGAGUAUGAAACCCAAUUUACGAAUUUGUCUAAAUUUGCUCCUGAACUGCUAGCUACAGAGCAAAGAAGAGUUCGGAGGUUUGUGCAAGGGCUCAAUGUGGAGAUACAAGAGGCCUUAGCGGUGGCCCAAAUUAAUACAUUUACAGAGGUCUUGGAGAAGGCCCAACGAAUAGAAAUUGUUAGGGCACAAGUGAGAGUUUUUCAUGCAAAAAGGAUAGGUGUGCCUGGUGGAAGUCAAGGGCAAGAACAAGGUGAUUUAGACAUGUCUCCCUCUAAGAUGGGUCGAGGAGAUGGUGGUGAGAAAAUUUCAGGGACAUCUAAGGAAAUUACUCCAGGAGGAGCCUCGCGUGGCCGGGAGCAAGUAAGAGGUGCCUCACAAGAAGGUUAAACUCGAGUAUCUUGUGGGUACUGUGGGAAGGCCAAUUAUACGGAGAAUGAUUGUUGGCGAAAGGCAGGAAAAUAUUUAUGGUGUGGUAGUGCCGAGCACCAGCUUGUAACUUGUCCCCGUAGGUCACACCUAAAUCCUGAACAAGCAAAUGUAGGAGGGAAUAAGCCAAGAGUGCCAGCUAGAGUGUACGCCUUGGACCAACAGGCAUUGCCUGAACCAUCGGAGAUAGUAGAAGGUAGAAUGGAUAUACUAUUGUUGUUUAGUCUCAAAGAGAAUAUUACGGUUUCUUUAUUUUAUUGUUUUGUUUUACAGACUAGAAACCCUAAAUUCUAGAAAUAAAGUCUAAUCAAAACCCUAGUUUCAUUUGUGACUGACCAUUUUCUCAAAUUUCUCAUAUUUCAACCGAAACCCUAAUUUUAAUCACUGGAAUUGUAAAACCCCUCACGUUUUCUCGAAAAUGUACUUUUAAUUGAAAAUUAUGAUUUUAUAAUAACCCUACCACCCAAUCACCUCACAAUAAGUGCAAAUGAACAUGAAAGUAAAGGGUUUCACUUUUCAUUUUCAAGUUGGAGCGAGUUAGAUUUUUCACGUUUUUCCGUCGUGUAAUUAUCCGGUAUGGAGCGAGGAUCAAAUUUGGUGUUUAAGAGUGACUUUGGGUGAGAAAUAAUAUGUGAUUAGAAAAAAUGAUAAAAAGUUAGUGAAUAGGAAAUAAAAACCCUAGUACGUGUGAUUUAAGAAAAAACGGUGUGAACCGACGUGUACCGUGCACUACCGAUUGGACACACCGCUUGACCACCACUUUCUUACCAUAUAAGCUCAUUAAUAUUUGAGCAAAAUAUCUCCUUAUUUUCAGCUAAUUUUGACCGAAAUUUAGGGCUAAAAAUGCAAGGAAAGAAAAAGAAAUUUUUGUUGGAUUUGGUGGUGACAAGUGUCACACCCCUAUGGCUCCUUGACCAAGCCAAGUCCAACCUUCUUAUCAUUUUGUUGGCUUCAUUUUCACUGCAUUUUUCUGCUAGUUGGCCGAGACAAGAGAGGGGGAAAGAGAGAGCAAGAGUUUCACCAUUUCAUCUUGAUUUGCACCAUCCAAGUGAGGAACCAAAAUUCUAAACCGAUUAAAGUUUGAGUUGUGAAUUUGGGAAGCUAAGGGAACCAAAAAUUCCAAGAGGAGGUGAAGUAUUACUCUUGCAAACUUCUUUUGUUGAGGUAUAAGGUCUAACCCAUAACUUUGGUUCUUUUAUUUUUGAUUAAGAUGUUAUAUAAUUCAUGUUUUGGUUAGAUUAGUUGUGACACAAGUUGUUGUGAUGAUUUUUAAGGUAAUAUAUGUAAGUUAGGGUUUGAUGAUUUCUGCCUAUAUUUGCUAUAUGGAUGAUAUAUGUUGUAUCCAAUUUUAUAUAAGUAAUUGUGGUAGUGAUUGAAGCAAGAAAUGAAGAAAGUUUCCUUUGAAAAUGAAAAAUUUCAGAUUUCUGGAAAAUUUGACUUCAGUUCUGUCCGAUUCUAGUUCGUGAUGUUAGAGGCCGAUUUAAGCUUAGCAUAAAACAUGAAAGUUGUAGAGAAUGAUAUUUUAUAAAUGCCUACAAAUUUUCAACUCAAUCGGAGCAACGUAGCCUGUGAAAAGAUCAAAAUAUCCUCGCUGUCCUAGGAUGUUUCCAGUGAUCUGUUUUAGACAGUUCAUCUAGUUGACUGUGUCUAAUCACUAUGAUCCGUGCUGUUUUAGCCAUUGGCCAAAACAUCAAAGUUUUAGUAUUCUGUCUUACUUUUCAACGCCUCUAAGAACGCCUUAAACGGAUUUUAGUAGCCUGAGAUAUGACCAUUUAAAUGUAGUACGGUUAACUAGCCGGUUAGUUGGAAGUUGGUUCUGUGAAUUGGGAAUUUGACUGGGUUACACUGGAAAUUUGACUAAGUGAUCUUCAUGAAAGUUGUAGGCCUUCGACUUAGUUUCGAAACGGUAUAAGUUGCAGUCCAAUCCGAUAAGUGUAGUCUCGGAUGUGUCCAUUCCGUAAAAAUCCGUCAAAUCUAUCUUUUGUUAAAUUUCAUUUCCGCACUUGUUAUUAGUUUGAUUUUUGUCCUUGUAUUGUCUUGAGUCUAUGGAACGGCUAUUGAAAUGAAUUUGUGUUGUGUAUAAACUUGGGUUUGUUUGAGGGAAAUAAUGAAGCCAUAAAUGGCUGGAAAUAGGAAAAUACAAAGGGCAUGCUACCCAAAUUUACGCUCGAGGACUAGAGAAAUACACUUGCGACUUGGGUAAAAUUGAUAAAUGAAUAUCACUUGAACCAUCUAGAACUUUUACUACUUUGGUUAUCGAGGGUUAUACGUUAGAAUCUAGCCGAACUUGUACCCUUGAGAAAUAAAAUAAUGAUUGCUCGGAGCAUGUUUUCCUUGUACUUUUGAUUCAAAUGGUAUUUUCAAAUAUAAAUGUUACAAAGUUAUACAGUUUGAAAAGCGAGUGAGUGUUUAACGAAUAUUCUCCAAGUGAAUUUCCAUUUCUUGAUUCUUAUUGAACGAAACGUCUAAGUUUCGAAUCUUAGUCAAUUUUUAAAGUUCUGAAACAAAGUUUUAUCGCAGAUUUGAACUCCGAACCCGGAGUAUAACCCAGACGUGAUUACUAGGGGCACUUCAUUUUGGUGAGUGCUUCCAAAUACUUGAUUGAACUGGACACUUGUUUCCAAUACUUGAUCAAUAUGAUUAAAUGAUAUAUGAUUGGUUUGAUCGGGUAAGAGUAUACUUUAUCGCACUUGCCCUUAUUUGAUAUAUACUUGUUUAUUGUUGAAAUUGAAUUGAUAUACUUGUUCAUAUUGUGCGCACUUCCUGAAAUUUCAGAAAUCCCGUGGCAAAUUACUCGAGUCGAGCCGGUAGGGGUUUGGUUGAUUGGGUAACAAACCCUGGGUCUCUUGAUUGUCGAGUGGAGUGAUAUCUUCUCGACUAAUCGGUAUACUCGAGUAUUAUCACUCGUGUUGCUUGAGGAUUUUGGGCCCAAUAGAGGGUUUGAAUGGUGGACGGAGAGUAGCGUAAGUGGUGCUCUAUUGGAUUGGUUCCUUUACUUGAAAGUUGACGGAGUGUCAACUAUUACGUGAUCAAGCUCCUGAUGAUGAAUGGAAGUUGGCUCUUGAAAGCCUUCCGUAUCCUUAUGCUUUGGAUUGAUUCUUGCUUAUUGGAUUAUUGUUUAUUCUGAAAAACUUUUACAGUCGCUCAUUUUGAGAUUGCUAUUUGAUGUGUUAUUGCUCACUUUUAUGAACUCUUCAUACUCGUUACUUUGUUAUAUCAAAAACUUGUACUUAUAAAUAAUGGUCAAUUUACUAUUCGAAAUCUCACUGGAUUUUUAGCUUAUACCACGCCAUUUAUUUUCCUUACAGGGGUACGAGCGAGGCGUGAGACGUGUACAGACUAGCGUAGUCUAGUUAUUUUGAAUUUUGUAAUUGUACUCGCACUAGUCACUCGAUUAGGAUUGAAUGUACUGAGAAUUUAACUCUUUUGAUGUAUUUGGGACUGUAUGGAUGAUUGGGAUAGAAAUGAAUGUAUUCAUAUGUUCCAAACUUGGGGACCGUUAUUUCAUUUAUUAUUGAAAUUGAACCUUAUUUUAAUUGAUGCGAGUGAGUGAGUCAUGACGAGAGUUGGGCAGGCGGUCCACCGAACCCUUUGGUUCGCCCUAGGAGGAGGUGUGGCCGUCACAGGUGGUAUCAGAGCUCCUAUUGAGCCCGUGCCGGGAGAGGGUUAUCGGACUGUGGGGAUUGACUUGUUAAGUGUGGAAUGAUUGUCUAUUAUUAGGGACCUUAGAUAUGUAUGUUGGGUAGGAAUCUCUAAUACGGGUGAUUUGCUCUUGAGCCUGGCCAGCUUGUGUGGUGAAUUAUCAUAUUUUCGGAUUCUUGUCCCCGAGUACCAAAGAGUGAUAUCUUUACGAUAAGUUGAGAUCUCGCGUAAUAUUAGGAUAAGUUUGAAUGGCGAAAGCAAAGCCACGGGGAAUGCGAAUAGUCUGGACUUGAAAUAUAUUGAAGAUAUUCAUGAGAUUUGGGAUCCUUAUUAUUCCCGUGUUUCGAGUUUUGAUUAAGUGUAGUGCCUGAGCAAUACCUAGGGUUAAUGUUCUAUAGGUUAUGUGACUUGUUUGCUAUGUAUAUAAAGAACCUGUUUAUUAUGCAUUUUAUUGCCUCUGUUUAUCCUUUUGAAAUGUGCUAUAUGAGCCAUACCUUACCUUGUUUACAUGUUUAUAGUUGGUUAAACCCAGGCUGUAGGGGGAGAUCAAGUGGCAACCGCAAUCCAACAAAUGAUUAACAUUUUGGCCCGUCUAGUGGAACAACAGGGUCAAACCCCUGUAAAUCAACCUAGGGACCCCGAUAUGGGGCAAGAUCGGGCUCUUGAGAGAUUCCAGAAGUUCUCUCCACCUAAGUUCUUGGGAGGACCAGACCCGGAGGGAGCCGAGAGAUGGCUAGAGGCCAUGAUCAAUAUCUUUGCCGCUUUGAACUAUACGGAGGAUAGACAAGUGCACUUUGCCGUUUUUCAAUUUGAAGGUCCGGUCAGGGCUUGGUGGAAUGUGGUUCAAGCUAAGUGGGAGAGAGAGGGGACCGCAUGGACGUAGGUGAAUUUCGUGCGAGAGUUUAACGAAAAAUACCUCCCACCUAUUGUUCAAGAGAAAAGAGAAGAUGAUUUUAUUAAGUUUCGACAGGGAACUUUGAGUAUAGCUGAGUAUGAAACCCAAUUUACGAAAUUGUCCAAAUUUGCUCCUGAACUGAUAGUUACGGAGCAAAGAAGAGUUCGGAGGUUUGUGCAAGGGCUCAAUGUGGAGAUACAAGAGGCCUUAGCAGCGGCCCAAAUUAAUACAUUUACAGAGGUCUUGGAGAAGGCCCAACGAAUAGAAAUUGCUAGGGCACAAGUGAGAGCUUUUCAUGCAAAAAGGAGAGGUGCGCCUGGUGGAAGUCAAGGGCAAGGACAAGGUGAUUUAGACAUGCCACCCUCUAAGAUGGAUCGAGAAGAUGAUGGUGAGAAAAUUUCAGGGACAUCUAAGAAAAUUACUCCAGGAGGAGCCUUGCGUGGCCGGGAGCAAGUAAGAGGUGCCUCACAAGGAGGUUAAACUCGAGUAUCUUGUGGGUACUGUGGGAAGGCCAAUCAUACGGAGAAUGAUUGUUGGCGAAAGGCAGGAAAAUAUUUAUGGUGUGAUAGUGCCGAGCACCAGCUUGCAACUUGUCCCCGUAGGUCACACCUAAACCCUUAACAAGCAAAUGUAGGAGGGACUAAGCCAAGAGUGCCAGUUAGAGUGUACGCCUUGGACUAACAGGCAUUACCUGAACCAUCGGAGAUAGUAGAAGGUACGAUUCGUGAUUUCUAUUGUUUAACUAAGUUUUGGCUAUAGUGAGACCUGAGAGCUAGAAAUGGAUAUACAAGAAAAUACCCUACGUUAUUUAGGAGCGCAUGGAUGAAUUCCGAGGACGAAAUUCUUUUAAGUAGGGGAGAUUGUGAUACCCCAACUUUUAGGAUACUAUUGUUGUUUAGCCUCAAAGAGAAUAUUACGGUUUCUUUAUUUUAUUGUUUUGUUUUACAGACUAGAAACCCUAAAUUCUAGAAAUAAAGUCUAAUCAAAACCCUAGUUUCAUUUGUAACUGACCAUUUUCUCAAAUUUCUCAUAUUUCAACCGAAACCCUAAUUUUAAUCACUGGAAUUGUAAAACCCCUCACGUUUUCUCGAAAAUGUACUUUUAAUUGAAAAUUAUGAUUUUAUAAUAACCCUACCACCCAAUCACCUCACAAUAAGUGCAAAUGAACAUGAAAGUAAAGGGUUUCACUUUUCGUUUUCAAGUUGGAGCGAGUUAGGUUUUUCACUUUUUUCCGUCGUGUAAUUAUCCGGUACGGAGCGAGGAUCAAAUUUGGUGUUUAAGAGUGACUUUGGGUGAGAAAUAAUAUGUGAUUAGAAGAAAUGAUAAAAAGUUAGUGAAUAGGAAGUAAAAACCCUAGUACGUGUGAUUUAAGGAAAAACGGUGCGAACCGACGUGUACCGUGCACUACCGAUUGAACACACCGCUUGACCACCACUUUCUUACCAUAUAAGUUCAUUAAUAUUUGAGCAAAAUAUCUCCUUAUUUCCAGCUGGUUUUGACCGAAAUUUAGGACUAAAAAUGCAAGGAAAGAAAAAGAAAUUUUUGUUGGAUUUGGUGGUGACAAGUGUCACACCCCUAUGGCUCCUUGACCAAGCCAAGUCCAACCUUCUUAUCAUUUUGUUGGCUUCAUUUUCACUGCAUUUUUCUGCUAGUUGGCCGAGACAAGAGAGGGGGAAAGAGAGAGCAAGAGUUUCACCAUUUCAUCUUGAUUUGCACCAUCCAAGUGAGGAACUAAAAUUCUAAACCGAUUAAAGUUUGAGUUGUGAACUUGGGAAGCUAAGGGAACCAAAAAUUUCAAGAGGAGGUGAAGUAUUACUCUUGCAAGCUUCUUUUGUUGAGGUAUAAGGUCUAACCCAUAACUUUGGUUCUUUUAUUUUUGAUUAAGAUGUUAUAUAAUUCAUGUUUUGGUUAGAUUGGUUGUGAUACAAGUUGUUGUGAUGAUUUUUAAGGUGAUAUAUGUAAGUUAGGGUUUGAUGAUUUCUGCCUAUACUUACUAUAUGGAUGAUAUAUGUUGUAUCCAAGUUUAUAUAAGUGAUUGUGGUAGUGAUUAAAGCAAGAAAUGAAGAAAGUUUCCUUUGAAAAUGAAAAAUUUCAUAUUUCUGGAAAAUUUGACUUCAGUUCUGUCCGGUUCUAGUUCGUGAUGUUAGAGGCCGAUUUAGGCUUAGCAUAAAACAUGAAAGUUGUAGAGAAUGAUAUUUUAUAAAUGUCUACAAAAUUUCAGCUCAAUCUAAGUAACGUAGCCUAUGAAAAGACUAAAAUACCCUCGCUGCCCUAGGAUGUUUCCAGUGAUCUGUUUUAGACAGUUCAUCUAGUUGACUGUGUCUAAUCACUAUGAUCCGUGCUGUUUUAGCCAUUGGCCAAAAUAUCAAAGUUUUUGUACUCUGUCUUAAUUUUCAACACCUCUAAGAACGCCUUAAACGUACUUGGUAGCCUGAAAUAUGACAAUUUAAAUGUAGUACGGUUAACUAGCCGGUUAGUUGGAAGUUGGUUCUGUAAAUUGGGAAUUUGACUGGAUUACACUGAAAAUUUGACUAAGUGAUCUUCAUGAAAGUUGUAGGCCUUCGUCUUAGCUUCGAAACGGUGGAAGUUGUAACCCAAUCCGAUAAGUGUAGUCUCGGAUGUGUCCAUUCCGCAAAAACCCAUCAAAUCUAUCUUUUGUUAAAUUUCAUUUCCGCACUUGUUAUUAGUUUGAUUUUUGUCCUUGUAUUGUCUUGAGUCUAUGGAACGGCUAUUGAAAUGAAUUUGUGUUGUGUAUAAACUUGGUUUUGUUUGAGGGAAAUAAUGAAGCCAUAAAUGACUGGAAAUAGAAAAAUACAAAGGGCAUGCUGCCCAAAUUUACGCUCGAGAACUAGAGAAAUACACUUGCGACUUAGGUAAAAUUGAUAAAUGAAUAUCACUUGAACCAUCUAGAACUUUUACUACUUUGGUUAUCGAGGGUUAUACGUUAGAAUCUAGCCGAACUUGUACCCUUGAGAAAUAAACUAAUGAUUGCUCGAAACAUGUUUUCCUUGUACUUUCGACUCAAAUGGCAUUUCCAAGUAUAAAACAUUUUGAAUUUUGAAAACAGCUUUAUAGUUGAAGCUAUGAACAAAACUGGCAGUAUGGCCCUUUUCUGGAACAAUGAUGUGAAGAUCUCUGAAGUACUAGAAACUGCUUUCACUAUUGAGGCAAAAGUGGAAGAUGAGGAGAAGAAGGAAAGCUGGUGGUUCAUUGGAAUUUAUGCCAGUUGUGAUAGUCAUAUAAGAAGGGGGCAGUGGGAAGUAAUAAACAGAAGGAAAGCAGGUUGGGGGGCAAAAUGGAUUAUCAUGGGAGACUUCAAUGAUAUUACCUCAAAUGAAGAAAAAUGGGUGGUAGGAUGAGGGAUAAUAGAAGCUUUCAUGAUUUUAGGAAAUUAAUUAAUGAUAACCAGCUGUUAGAUGUGGGUUAUGAAGGGAAGCCAUGGACAUGGAGCAACAACUGGUAUGGGAGUGGGGAAGUUAAAGAAAGAAUAGAUAGGGGUUUAUGCACUGUAGAAUGGUCACAAUGUUAUGAUGAAGCCUACUGCACACACAUCGAAUCCCAUGCUUUAGAUCAUACCAUGUUGAUACUGGAAACUCAAAAGGAAAGGAAGAAAAGGAAAAAAAGAUUCUAGUUUGAUAAAAGGUGGCUCCAACAAGAUGAGAUAGAGGAAGUGGUCCAGAAGGCAUGGAAUAUUCCCUGUGAUGGAACAAAAUGGUUUAAGGUGAAGGAAAAGAUCAAAAAUUGCAAAAUUGAGUUAUUAAAGUGGAGCAGCUGUAAGAAAGGAAAUUCUCUUGAAAAGAUUAAAUGGUGCAAAAACCAGAUUGAGGACAUCAAGGCAUCAUCAGCUGAGAAUAAAAAACAGCAAGUACAGGAAAUGAAAAGAUAAUUGAAAGUGGCAUAUAAUGAGGAAGAAGCUUACUGGAACCAGAAAUCUAGACUGAGGUGGCUGAAGGAGGGGGAUAAAAAUACUCAGUUUUUCCAUGCAACAGUUAAGGGAAGGAGAAAAAGAAAUAGAAUGCAGAAACUGAGAAAGGCGUGUGGUGAAUGGACAGCAAAUAAAGAUGAGUUGGGUAAAGAAGUAGCUAAUUACUAUGAUGAGUUGUUUAAAUCCACAGCAGCUGGGGAGCUUGAGGAGAUCUUAGAUGGGAUUCCUGCUACUAUAACUGAACAAAUGAACAAGGAAUUGACUAAAAAAGUGGAUGAAAAUGAAAUAAAGAAUGCAUUCUUCUCUAUGGAUCCUCAUAAGGCUCCUGGGAGUGAUGGUAUGCCUCCCCUCUUUUUUCAAAAAUUCUGGAGUCUUAUUAAGAAGGACCUGGUAAAUGCAAUCCAAGGUUUCUUCCAUCAUGGUGUCAUUCUUAAAGUCAUAAAUCAUACUGUUAUCUCUUUGAUCCCAAAAGUUGAAUGUCCCACAGGGAUUAGUCAGUAUAGGCCUAUUAGUCUUUGCCAAGUGGUCUAUAAAGCUCUAGCAAAAAUCCUUGUUAACAGGCUAAAGCCUUUUCUUAGUAGGUGUAUCGGCAAAAGUCAAUAUGCAUUCGUUCCAGGUAGGCAAAUCUUAGAUAAUGUCAUACUGUCUCAUGAGUUGAUGCAUUUUCUCAAAAAUAAAAGGCAUGGUAGAGUGGGAUCUAUGGCUGUGAAACUGGAUAUGUCAAAGGCCUACGACAGGGUGGGAUGGAGAUUCUUAAAGGCAAUAAUGGAGAAAAUGGGAUUCUGCUCCACUUGGAUAAGCUGGAUCAUUUCAUGCAUCAGUUCAGUUACUUAUUCAUUCAACAUUAAUGGAGAACACAAGGAGUUUGUUACCCCUUCAAGAGGUAUCAGGCAAGGAGAUCCACUAUCUCCCUACUUGUUUUUGUUAUGUUCAGAAGGGCCAUCAAAUUUACUUCAGAAAGCUAAGUUGGGAAAGGAGUUAAUUGGAGUUAAAAUCAGCAGAAAGGCGCCUGCCAUUACCCAUUUGUUCUUUGCUGAUGACUCCUUGGUGUUCUGUAAUGCUAACAAACAAGAAGCUGAGAAGCUGACCAAGAUACUCAAAGUGUAUGAAGAGGCAACAGGGCAGCUUAUCAACAUGGAAAAGUCAUCAGUAUUCUUUAGUAAAAAUACAAUGCCAGCUGUGAGGAGUGAAGUCUGUCAGGAGUUGGGGCCAAUUAAACAUGUAAAGCAAGGCAAAUACCUUGGACUUCCCAUGAUUAUAACAAAAUCCAAAAGCCAGGUAUUUGGAUUUAUAAGGAACUCUAUAGAUAAGAAAUUGCAAGGAUGGAAAAAUAAAUUACUAAGCCAGGCAGGGAAAGAGAUCAUGCUCAAAGUUGUUGCUAUGGCCAUGCCUACCUACACAAUGUCAUGCUUCAGAUUACACUCAAAGUUGUGCAGAGAAAUGAGCUCGAAAAUGGCAGACUACUAGUGGGGUGACACUGAUGGGAAGAAAAAGAUACACUGGAUAAGUUGGAAGAAGAUGACAGAGAAGAGAAGCAAGGGGGGAUGGGUUUUAAGGAUUUGCAGUUGUUUAACAAAGCUCUACUGGCUAAACAAGUUUGGAAGCUGAUCACGCAACCAAACUUGUUAGUCAGUAAAGUUUUAAAAGAGAAGUACUACCCCAAGCAAUCAAUUUUCAAUUGCAAGGUGCCUCAGAAUGCAUCUUGGAUCUGGCAGAGUUUAUCAGGGGUUAGAAAGGAAAUGCAAGAAGGAAUUAGGAGGAAAAUUGACAAUAGGAAAGGAACUAGAAUUUGGGAUGAUAAUUGGAUCCCAGAUAGACCAUAGAGGAAACCAACAUUUAUUAAACCUCAGGGAUGUCAACUGGAACUUGUAUUUGAACUGAUCAAGAACGAUAGAUGGAAUAGAGUGCUUGUCUUCAAAACAUUUAAUGCCUAAGAUGCUGAGAGAAUCCUGAGCAUACCAAUAAGUAUGACAGGAAUAGAGGACAGCUUCUAUUGGAUGGAUUCUCAAAAUGGAAAAUACACGGUCCAAUUUGGAUACAAGGCUUGGAUGAAGAAAAAAGAAAUGGAGAGGUUAAGAAGGAGGGAGGAAGCCGGAACAAGCUAUGAAGAAACCACUCCUAAGACUUGGAACUCACUGUGGCAGGAAAAUGUAAGUUAGAAACUGAAGGUGUUCGUUUGGAAAUGCCUGCAUGGUGGACUCCCAAUCAGAGAGGCAAUCUAUACUAGAACAAGACAAGGGAACCCCAUAUGUGCUGGAUGUGGAGAAAAGGAAGAAACAAUUGAACACAUGCUACUCCAAUGCAACAAGGGAAGGAAAUCUGGAAAAUGGCACCAGUGCAGUGGGAUGGAAUAGAAUAUCUGUCAGACUGCUUUAACAAAUAGUGGUCAGCAAUUCAGGAAACUCAAGAUAGAAGAGGAGUGGAGGACCAGGUCAAUCUCACCAUCAAUAUACUCUGGCAGAUAUGGAAAGCUAGGAAUGACAGAGAGUUUAACCAUAAGGAGAAGGAGCCUUUUAAGAUAAUAGAGAAGGCUCUAAGGGAAUGGACAGAAUUUGAUUAAGUUAACAAAGGAAAGGAUUCAAGAAAGAGCACUCAAGAAACAGAACUACAGCAAAGGACUGAUCACGAUCAAAAUGAGAGUCACUCUGGACUGACUUUAAAGAUCCACACUCAUCAGGAUAAAGGACAAGCAGCAAUGGGAAUUGGAAUCUCAGCUACAGACAACUUGGGAAGAAUGCAAGUAGCCUGGGCACUUAGAGAAUGUUCAUCAGGCGACAUAUUACAAGACCAAACUAUUGCAGUUACAUUAGCUCUACUGAAAGUUGGAAGCCAAGGCUGGAGGAACAUCAAAGUGGAACUGGACAACCGUAAGCUGGUAGAAGCCAUACAGGAAUCAAGGUACAACAAUCAGCUGAUGGCUACCUUAAUAGAGGACAUUAGAUCCAUUUGUACUUUGUUUCAUCAGUGCUCUAUCUUUUUUGCCAAUUCUAGGAAAUUAGAAUGUAUUAAGUUGAGCAUUCAUGCUCUAAACAUCUGGUUAGAUAAAGAAUGGGUGAAUCCCAAUCUUAGAUGCUAGGCAUCAGUGAAUCUUGAAGGACAGUUUCUCCCUUUUGAUUGGACCUUUGUCCAAAUAUUGUAAAGAUUACGGUAAUAUAUAUAUAUAUAAAGCUAACGUUUCGACCAAAAAAAAUACUUGAUUUUGCAUCCUCGAUCAUUCCCUUAUCAUCCACAAUAAAUAAAAUUGUAAAUAUCUACAUAGGAUCCAUAUAAAAGUAUAAUAUAGACAUCUAUUCAUUUAAGCAUCUUGAUGUGAAAAGGAUCACAAUUAAGCUCUUAAAAAAUAAUAAAAUAAAAAAUUGGAAAAAAAGAGUUUCACGCGAUUCUAGCGCACUUCCCACAUGCAUUGCACAUGCAUCGUUGCUACCUAUACUCUAAUGUCCCUCUCGACUGUGAAUUAUUUUUUAUUAGUAGACAAUAUCUUUUGUGUUUUUUUUUCUUUUCCUUUCCAAAAUUCCAUUUAAGUUAAGAGUUUGAUCCUCUUACCUAUGUGCUUAGGUAGGGAAAGAUAUAAGGGGUGCAAGUUGCAACUUCAAUUAGGUCAUUCUUUCAAGAAGAAGGCUCCAUUGUUAUCCUUUCCCUUUUUUUUUAAUGGCCUGCCAUCUCUUUCCAUACCCUUUCUAUCCUUAACUGUUAGGUACUAUGUAUUUGAAUUAUGAAUUUGACAAUAGGGAAAAUUCUAACAGUUUUCCUUUGACCACUGGAUCUAAGUUCUUCAUACACAUAGAUCAUCUUGUGUGCUUUACGUGAAGCAAUAUCAAGUCUAAUAGAGUUACCGUUCCUCUAAGCUUGUUCUACUAAAUUUCUCCACGCUUGAAUUGUCUGCUUUCGAGCAGACUAAGCCAGCCAUAGAUGGUUAACCUUGACAGGUCAGUGGGGUGUCACUAACAUUUUUUAUCUUCUUUUAGAUCUAAUUGAUUAUGAUGAUUUGGUGAUACUAUUAAACCUAAGUUAAUUACCUAUCAUUAAGCUACUACAAUUCCUCAAAAUCUAUUUACUAUAAGAUCUAGGUGCAUUCUUUAAUUACUUGGUAUAGAUGUUGUUGCAACAAAAAUACAUACUCGGGCAAAAGUUUUUUUUUCAUAAAUUAAUACAUAGCAUGAGGAAUCACAUGACACUCAAUUAUAAUUGCUUUUUAGAUUACUUAUGCCCAAAAAAGAUGAAUAUUUUUGGGGCUCAAAGUGUUAAUUCUUGUGUUAUAAACAACAAAACAAAUGUGGUUUAGACUGUAGUAUAUCAUUAGUUCCACUGAAUUUAAGGAUCAAACAAAUAAUGGAAUCAUACCCUAGGCACAUGCCUCAACAACUCAAGUUUAUAUAGUGCCAGUUUAUACCAAGUAAGUACUACACUUUAUCAUAUCACUCUUGAUAGAGUGAGAUUAUUUUGUAUUAUAUUUGUAGUGUAGUUUUCCUCUGCUAUUAGUGUGGAUAUCUCUCUUUGUGGAGUUGAGUUUACUACUAAAUUAAAGGCAUGAAACAAGUAGAAGGCGAAUUAAUAUUCGAACUGGUGCAACUUGUUGAAUUGGAAACUUUUGCACAAUUUGCCUCUAAUCUCAAUAAAGCUACUCAGAAUCAAUUAGCAAGAGGUCAAGAUAGUAUAAUUAUUAUUAUUCUUUAGUCAACAUUAAUGUUCACCUUUUAAAAAGAUAAGGGAUAAUUUCAGAAACCUCCCUUGAGGUUUUUGACAAUUUCACUCACCUCCCUUCAGGUUUGAAUAAUUACACUAACCUCCUUUCAUGUAGUAAAAUGACUAUAAUAUCCUUCACUUAUAAAUAAUUCCUACAAACAAAAAAACUCUACAAUCACAACUAGUCUUUUAUUCUAAAACAACUGUUGCCACACAAACUAAACUCUUGUUCUAUCUUUCCGACUCUUUCUCCUACCUUCUUUCUCUUACAUCUCUUUUUUCACAAAUAGACACACUCUCGCUUUUUUGUUUUCUUUUUUUUUAUAAGUAUUAUUGAAUUGAAAUUACAAAAUAACAAGUUAUCGGAUCAUAUUUGUUGUCAAGGUGAAAAAGAUGGCGGUGAUACAGAGUACAUAUAAGAAAAUAAAAAUGAUAGCUAAAUAGGAAAUGUGGAUUAAAGAAGGUUACGAUAUUAUAUCAAUUGUGUAAAAAAAGAAUUUUGAGAUAUAAAACUAUAAUCAGAUUUGCCUAGAGACAUGGGAUGUGGUCUCUAGUGUUACUUUUGGUUACUCUGUGUUGGUAUUCUUGGUAAGAUACAUUAUUUUAGUAACAACAAGUUUAAAUAGUGACAUUGGUCAAUUCAAACAUUGAAUUAGGCAAAAAAAAAUGAGACUAAAUAUUAGGUUGAAUGCAUACUUUAAUUGUCACAGUUGAUCUGCAUGAGAAGCUUUGGGGCAACAAUAGUAGGCUGUCAAAAUUGUAAGAAUAUGGGAAUUAAGGUGAAAUGGUUUAUUGAGUUUGUUAGGGUGAUGGUUAUGUCGUUUACAAUAGUUGUAAUGUAAAAGAAAUUUAUUAGUUUGUUUUUCCCCCUUCUAAGUAACAAAGGGGUGUUUUAGAAUUUUUGAAGAGAAAGUUAGCAUAUUGGGUCUAUAUUGUUACUGAAAUGUUUAUCAUAGGGGAGGUAGGUGUAAUUUUUUAAAUUAGAAGGGAGCUUCCUACAAUAGUCAGAAAUCUCAGGGGAGGUUUCUGAAAUUAUCCCAAAAGAUAAAGAUGGUAGUCAUUCAUUUGUAAACUCUCUUAACACUUUUGCUUCAAUUAUUAAUUACAAUUUUUGAAGCGAAACUGAAAAAUGUAUGUUUUUUUGGUCAUAUGUAAUUGUUCGCACGAAUUUCUUGGUAGGGUUAUUUUAUUUAAACCGAGGUGCCAAGAUUUUGGGGUUUUUGAGGGUUUAAACCGAGGCUUGAUGGCCUCCAGUGGCUAAGGCAUCAGCCCUGCUGGAGCGGAAAAAGAAGGAAAAAGAAGAAGAAGAAGAAGAGAAGGAAAAAAAAAGAAAGGAAGGAAAAGAAAAAAUGAACGGGCUAAUGUUUUAUUUUUUGGUGGGCCAAUUUCUUUAUUUUCGGUUGGGCUAGAGGUUUCCUUUUCUAGGUUUUAUCCGGGCUUUUGGGUAAUUUUUUAAUUUGGGCUUGUAUCUCUUUUAAUGAAGAUAGCCUGCAUUUUUUUUUGGGCUGAAGGCGUCCAGGCUAAGAAAUUAAAAAUAAAUGGCCCAGAAACUUUCUUCUUGCCCAAAUCAGAAACCGAAAUUUUCAUUUUAGCCCCUGAUCUUUGGAAUAGUUUUAUUGUGGCCCAAAAAAUUUUAAAUUUCUUUCAUUUAGGCCCUUAAUUUAAUUAUAAUUUGGUCUCUAAACUUUAUCUUUAUUUAAUGUUGACCCCUAAAAUUUUGGAAAAUUAUAUUUUUUGACCACAAAAUUUUCUAAUUUUUUCAAUUUAAGUCCCUUGUGAAUUUUUGACUCUCUUUAUUACAAUUAUUUCUCUUCUUUAAUAGCUAAUUAUGUUACUUUUGAAUGUAUUCAACUUGUAAUUUUUAGAGGUCCUUAAGUUUCUUUAUAUUUGAUAUAUUAAUAUGAAUUUAGUACUUUUAUUAUUAUUAUUAUUAUUUUCAAUUAAAUUGGUGCCAUGAUUUUUUUGUUCAUUUUGAGUAUAAAUAGGACAAUUUGGCUCCAUUUAGUCACUACUUCAAAAGAAAGGUACCCCUAUUAUUAUUUCAAUGUCAAUUAUGUGCUUUUAUAUGCUCCUACGUGUUUAUACGUUUUUACAUGCUUUGUUAUUUAUUUAAUUCAAAUGUUUAUUUAAAUUUUCUUAUGUUUGUUUAGUUAAUUUUAUAAUUAUUUGGGAGGUGUUUAAAUACCUCAAGAUGUAAUAGAUAGGUAAUAUUUUGUAAAAAAAAAUUGUAAUUAGAUAAACUAUUGUAAUAUAUAGAAUAGAUAUGUUUAUUUUCUUAUAUUUUCCCAUUUUAGAUUGUAGUCAGACUCCCCGCUGUAAUAGAUAGGUUUUGCAUGUUUACGUGUUUAUGUGGUUUAUGUGUUAUGUGUUUUAUCCGCUUUCCUUAGGAUUUUUACAUUUAGAUAUUAUGUUUUAUGUGUUACGUGUUAUGUGCUCUUAUAUGUUUAUUUGUUUUAAUUUAUGCCUUAUUCGUUUUAUUAUGUAUUAUUAAUGCAUGACGUCACCACACUAGUCUAACGCUAGUUGUGGCUUCUCUCUCCGCCUACUUGCUAGUCCAAUUCUAGUAAGCUCUUUUAGAAAUGGGUUAUCCAAUGUUAGACCCUUAGAUCAUUCACGCAUUAGAUUUAUUUUUUGUGUGACAUUCAUUACAUUUUCAUGUAUUUUUUGUUUUAGAAUAUUUUCUCAUUUGCAUGGUAUUGUCUAUUAUAUUAUCCCCUACCCUAUAUAUGUAUUCAUCAUAUCAUUUAGGAUUACAUCUCAUUUAAGAAAUUGUAAAAUAAGUUAGUUCAUUUGCUUAUUUAGAUUAAAAAAAUUUAUCUUUUGAAUAUGAAAAAUGGGCGAUUAUAACUUUUUAAUUUAAAUACCCCGUUAAUCCCUACACAAGAAAAUUAUGGCAUGAGUUUUUGCUUCCCAUACCCAUUAUAUUGCACUCCUUAUUCCUUGAUCACUUAUAUUUAUAUAUAUAAUUUAAUUUUCUUUUCUUUUGAAUUUCACUUUUCAAUACUCGUGAUCUUUUCAAGGGAUUAUUUUUGGUCUUCGCAAUUAAUGUGAUCGAUAUCAAUUAAACCAUUGAAUGGACAUUUUGUCCCUUUCGAUACUUUUUAUAAAUGUAGACUUGCAUCCAUGUAGAAAACAUCCAAACGUGACAAAUUUAAGGGUUAGAUUAGAGAAAUUCUAGCUAAAUCACAUAACUAGCUUAUAUUAGGUGGAAAGGGUACCUUAGAUUUGAGCUGAUCAUACCUUUGUCUUCCGUUUCUUCAAUCGUGACUCCCGAGUUCAUUUUUCUCUUGUUUUCGAAGAUCUGGAGUUGUUGAAAAGGGUUUUAUUUAUUUAUUUAUUUUUAUCAAAAAAUAUUUUUUUUGGUGAUUUGGUACACUCAAACUCAAUAUCAAAUGGCGACUCCUAUUUUUCUUAAAAACCCUUUUAGACUAAAUUUUAGGUCCAAACUGUCACAUUUUUUAAAGUCCUAUUUUAGGCCUUUUUCACUUAUUUUAAAAUAAAAAUCACAUCUUUUGUAAACAUGCUUUUCAUCGCGAAAAAUGGGGCGCGACAGUCAAUUCUAAAAAAUCUAAAAUUGUGUUUAAUUUGGCUUCUUUAUUCACUGUUUUGAGUUCACAUGAGCUUUAUCAAAUUGAGCUCGAUUGAAUUUUUCACAUACAAAUUUGUCACUUAAAUUAUUGAGAAAAUAUUUAAUCAAAUCAUUAGAAAUAUUAUAUGUGGUUAUUUAGGCCACACAAAAUAUAUAUUCUAACAUGAUGUCGUCAAUCAAGCUUAUAGUUGGACAAUAAGAUACGUGAGAAUUUAUUCUUUGUUAAUCAUCCAAUCCGUACUUCCAUUGCUCCACUCCACUGGACAAAGCCCCCUGUGGGCUUCCUAAAGGCAAACUUCGAUGGCGUAGUUUUCUCCGAAUAUGGCUACUCUGGUGUUGGAGUUGUUGUGAGGGACGAGCGGGGCAAUUUUGUUGCAGGAACUUCUCACAAAAUCUCUGGUAUCUUUUCCCCUGAGGUCAUCGAAGCCUAUGCUGCGAGAACUGCAAUUUCCUUACUGCUUCAAUGGAAAGUGCCCAACAUUAUUUUGGAGGGAGACUCUUUGAAGAUCGUCAACAUGCUUAAGCUUAUGGAGUCUGAUGACUCGGCCUAUGGGGUGCUGUUAGAUGAUAUCUUUGUUAGGUUAUAGAACUUCGCCGCUUGGGAGGCUAAUUGGGUCCCUAGGAAGGCCAAUGUGCCAGCACAUUUAUUAGCUAGAAAUGCUAGCUCUAUUUCAGAUAUCUGUAGUUGGAGUUAUUCUCCACCACCUUUUCUUCUCUCCGCAAUUUCGGCGGACCUAUCCUCACCUUAAUAAAAUUUUCUAGUUUGCUAUCAAAAAAAAAAGUUUCUUUUUAUUCAUCCAUUACAAUGGAUAGCUUCUAGAUAUGCUGGAUUAUGCAAGCUAAUGUUCCACAGUCAGGAGCAGCUGUUUCAAAGCCAUUUCUUGGGUUGCCCUUCGGAAACUAACAACACCAGCACAAUCCAUAAGGUCCGCUAAAUUUGUUUCAUGUUCUCAUUUUUCGCUUCAGGAGGACAAAAAUAACAACCACAUCCUGAUUCUCAGGGUUAAAGAGAGAGGAAGACUCUGCAAGUUUCUGCGUAAACAGUUCAAACAAUUCAUCCAUGAUAUCACUUCCAAAUUGUUUCUCUAGAAGUCCCUCUAAUGCAACUCUGAGGUGCAAAGCAAUUGCACAAGGGUUGGAGAGAAACUCAUGCUUUCCUGGAAUGCUUAAUAUCUCCAUUCUCUGAACAUUUAGAUGUUCAUUUGCCUUCAUCAGGGUCUUUAUCUCAUUAAGAAAUGGGAAAUAUAGUGGCAAGUUGAACAUAUCCACUUUCAAUUCAUCAACCAGUCCCUGCAAUAAGUGCAUUUUAGUAAUUAAAGUACUUUUUUUUAGCCAAAACCUGCAGUCGAAAUUCGAAGAUAAACUAUGACCAAAACUCAUACAAUAUAUGGAAAUUAGAGAAAAUGUAAAAUAAAAAAUUCCAACUCAUGGAUUUGCAACUGCUAUUUGUAAGCUCAAGACAUGUUUCAGAAAUUAUGGAGCUUAGUUAAUAGCUUAUUCAUGACCAAGGAGGUAUUCCAUUCAUUCUCUACUCUACCAUUGGUAUAUUAUGCCUGAUUUCGUUGAUUUCCUAUAUCUGUUUUGUUUCAUCCUGGAUAUUGAUAUAAAUCAGAGGAAAUAUUGGAAAAAGACAUUGGUGCCCUGCUUGUGAUGCUUUUGGGCCUGCAUUUGUUAUCUUAUAUUCUUUUCUGUUCUAUCCAUGGUUGUUUUUUUUUUUUGUCGAAACGAUAGGAUAAUUUCAUUAUAGUAAGGGAAAAAAUUUACAAAUGCGAGCAACGGCUCGAGAGAACUUUACAAAAAGUGUUCAACGACACUGAGGAACAUUCCUUUCCUCAUCCACAAUAAUGCCUAAAGCAUCAACACUUAAUUUUCUACUAUCUAUCAUAUUUUCUUCCCUACUCAAACAAAAGGAGCACAUGCAAAACAGUCUUUUCACAUUCACAAUAUCCUCCAGCAAUGUAGCCAUUCUGCUCCCCAAUGGCUGUGUUUUUGUUAGUUGUUUCAACAGCUCCUUGUUAGCAAAAUUGAGCCUGAUUCUACUCCACCGAUAUUGCGCAGCUUUGCAUAAGACUAGCUUUAAUGCUAGUGCAUCAUCUAGGCUUUGGUUCCCCAGGCUUCUUUCUUUUAGCUUCCAUUCUGCAGUUUUGGUGCCUGAGGUUGUUCUAACUGUGACUCCAAUGCCUAGAUUGUUUUGUCCUUUCCUUGUAGCUGUUGACAGGUCCAUGAUCAUAGCUCCCUGAGCUUCAUUGCCUUGGCUUUGUUGAUCAUGCAUGUGGGCUAUUUCUUCUGUACUCGUUCUAUCUUUUGAUUUCUCUACUUCCACUUGCUCCAGCCACUCUCUAUGUGCUUUUUCUACUGUUCUCAGUGGUGAUGAUCUAGUUGAGCUCUCAAACUCCUUCUUAUUCCUAUCUUUCCAUAUUUGCCACAGAAUAUUUGCUGUCAAGCCAAUAUGUUCCUUCCCUUCUGGUCUUACCUUUGCUUCUGAGAUUCUAAGCCACCAUCUUCUGAAGUCACCCUGCUGGUCCUGAGCCCUGUCCCAGUGAAUAGGUGAUGCCUUCCAGAUGUCCACCGUGUGGGGGCAUGUUAGCAAUAGAUGUUCAAUUGUUUCCUGUGCCUCUCCACAGGUUCUACAUAUUGGAUCUCCUAUUCUUGUUCUUCUACUCACGGCUUCUCUCACUGGUAAAGCUCCUUGUAUACAUUUCCAAAUGAAGAGCUUGGUUUUGUGCUUAAUGUUGAGCUGCCAGAGUGUGUUCCACAUCUAUGACACAUGCUGGCUCCUCUCUAUAUAACUCGAACCAGCUACCUCUGAGAUACUUUUCCUUGCUUUCUUGUUGUUCUUCAUUUGGAUUUUGUAACUUGAGUUGACCGUAUACUUCCCUCCUGCCUGUGGUUGCCAGUAAUAGCUGUCUUCCCUCCCUGACAGACUUAGGGGGAUACUUAGGAUCCUCUCAGCAUCAUCUCUGUUGAAGACUCUAAAUAUGGUGUUCUUGUUCCAUCUGUUGUGGCAAAUGAGCUCAUCCACUCUUUCCAAAUCGCAAUUGUUUGGUUUAACUGCACUUGGCAUUCCUGAUAUUGUCUCUGGUAUCCAUUUAUGCUCCCAGAUUCGUGUAUUCCUUCCAUUGCCAAUUCGCCUAAUCAGUCCCCUGUCCAGCAAACUUCUUGGUCCCAUUAAGCCUUGCCAAAUCAUGGAGGCAUUUUUGGGGGGAUUGCAAUGUAGUAUGGAUUCCUUAGGGAAGUAUUUAGCUUUUAGCACCUUGCUCACAAGAAGGUUUGGCUUGGUGAGGAUUCUCCAUAUCUGCUUCCCUAACAGUGCUUUAUUGAAAGCUUCAAGGUCCUUGAAACCAAGUCCUCCCUCAUUUCUCUUUCGUGCCAUUCUUUCCCAAGAAGUCCAGUGCAUUUUGUUCCUACCACUUGUUUCUCCCCACCAGAAGUUGGCCAUUAGAGCACUGAUAUCUUUGCAAAGUUUUCUUGGUAGCUUGAAACAUGACAUGACAUCCGUUGGCAUGGCCAUAGCUACUGACUUUAGCAUUACCUCUUUCCCUGCUGAGCUGAGGAACUUGCUUUUCCAGUUUUGAAGUCUUCUUUUGAUGUUUUCUCGUACAAAGCCAAAUAUCUGGUCUUUGGUUCUUGAAAUCACCAUCGGGAGGCCUAAAUAUUUUCCUUGCUUUGCCUCAUUCAUCCCUCUCAAUGCUUGGCGCACUUCCUCCCUUUGAUCACUGAUCAUGUUUCUGCUGAAAAAAACAGCAGAUUUGUCUAGAUUGAUCAGUUGACCUGAUGCAGCUUCAUAGAUUUUAAGAACAUUCAUAAUCUCAGUAGCUUGCUGCUUGUCAGCUUUGCAAAAGAUGAGGGAGUCAUCAGCGAAGAAAAGAUGGGUAAGUACAGGUCCUUGCCUACUGAUUUUCAGUUCCUGAAUUCUAUUACUAUCUUCAGCUUUCCUCAACAAAUUGGAGAGUCCUUCAGAGUAGAUUAAGAAUAAAUAAGGAGACAAAGGGUCUCCCUGUUGUAUGCCUCUCCCUGGAGUCACAAAACCUUUGGCUUCUCCAUUGCAAUUGAAGGAGUAAGUUACAGUCUUCAAACAGCUAUUGAUCCAAUUGAUCCAUACCGGACAAAAACCCAUCUUUUCCAUCAUAGCCUGCAAAAAGUGCCACUCUACCCUAUCAUAUGCUUUUGCCAUGUCUAAUUUGAUUGCCAUGUAUCCAUAGUUCCCUUGUCUUUUGUUUUUGAGGUAAUGCAUAUAUUCAUGUGCAAUCAUCACAUUGUCAAGGAUCUGUCUAUCUGGGAUGAAGGCAAAUUGGGUUUUGCUUAUGCAUUUAUCCAAGAUAGAUUUCAGUCGAUUAGUAAGGAUUUUAGAAAUGAUUUUGUAGAGUACACUACAAAGACUGAUAGGCCUAUAGUUCUUCAAACUGGUUUGGUGCAAGAUUUUAGGGAUCAGGGAUAUGACAGUAUGAUUUACUGAUUUAAGCAUGUAUCCGGAGGUAAAGAAGGCUUUGAUUGCUGGGAUAACAUCACAUUUGAUGGUGCUCCAGAACCUUUGGAAGAACAAUGGGGUCAUCCCAUCUUGACCUGGGGCUUUUUCAGAGCUCAUAGAAAAGAGUGCUUCAUGAAUUUCCUUCUCCUCCACAGCUUUAGUCAGCCUUUCAUUCAUUUCCUGGGUUAUGGAUUGAGGAAUACCAUCUAGAACUUCUGACAUAUCACCCCUCCUCCCACUGUUAAACAACUCCUUAAAAAAUUCUGAGAUUUCUGCCACAAUCUCCUCCUCAUUUGUUGUCCAUGAACCAUUCUCUCUCUGCAAGGUCCUGAUUCUGUUACUCACUCUUCUGCCUUUUACAUAGGAGUGGAAGUACUUAGUAUUCUUAUCACCCUCCCUAAGCCAACUGAUCCUAACUUUUUGACACCAGAAAUUUUCUUCCUCCUUAUAAGCUGCUUUCAAUUGGUCUUUUAUGUGAGUUAGGAUUUCUUUCCUAUUGUCAAAACUCGAUUCCUUAACUCUCUGAAAAUCCUUUUUCAGAUCAGUAAUUCUUUGCCUAGAGUUUGCUUGGAAAGUAUUCCUCCACUUCAAAAGCUCAAUUUUGCAAUUUUUAACCUUCUUAGUGAUUUUGAACAUUCUAGAUCCUUGUUCUUCCUUACUCCAAGCUUUUUCUAUCACCUGCUGGAUCCCCUCCCUUUGGAGCCAUCUUUUAUCAAAACAGAAUCUCUUCUUUCUCCUUUCUUUCCUCGGGUCAGACGCAAAGGUGUCUAUAUGCUGAUAUCUAGCCUUUUCAAAAACUUGGAACCAUUCCAUAUUACACAAACAUCUGUCCAACCUUUGUCUAACCUCUCCUUCAUUAUCCCAAUGGUUGCUCCAAGUCCAAGGUUGUCCCUCAAACCCAAUAUCUAUUAAGCUAUUCUGAUCUAUGAAGUCUCUAAAGUCCUUGAAACUUCUCUCCUGCCUUAGAACUCCUCCCCACUUUUCAUCAUUGGACAGAAUGUCAUUAAAGUCCCCAGUAAUUAUGUAUCUAGUUCCCCACAAAUUUCUCCUAUUACUUAGGACCCUCCAUUGUUCUUUUCUGAUCAUAGGGUCACAGCUAACAUAUAUCCCAAUAAACCACCAGCUAACCUGAGUAUCAGGGUCUUCUAACUUAGCUUCUAUCGUGAAAGCAGAUUUAUACACCUCCAAGAUGUUUGCAUCCUGACUCCACAGCAAAGCCGUACCACAUGCUUUGUUCAUAGCUUCAACAGUCACAUUACCAUCACAUCUUAAACCUCUAGUCAGUCUGUCUAUCACAUGCUUCCUAUUCUUUGUCUCACUCAAGAAAACCAGGUUUGGAGAGGAGAGGUUAUAUACCUCCCUCAGAUGGGGAACUGUCAAGGGGCUCCCCACACCUUGACAGUUCCACACCAAAACUCUCAUGUUCCUUGAGGGGUCCCUUUCAGGCAGGUCCCCCUAACCUCUCCCUUUAUCUCAGCAGAAUAGAAUUCUAUCAUAGGUUUAGUCUUUUUCCACUGGAUUAUCUCAGAAUUAGCUUCCUCCAUCUCUUCAUCCCUCAGCAAGACUUUUCUCUUUCCAAAAUUCGACUGACUUGCUCCAUUUUCAUUUAACUCUUUCAAAGGUCUCCUAUUACUGGUUGGGGACUUCAGUCUUAUGAACGUCCUCUUAGCUUGUUUGUCCUUAGCCUCCUGUACCUUUCCAGUCACCAUUGAUUCCUGGUGGAUCACUAGCGCUCCUACAGAUUUCUCAUUGUCCACUAGUCCUUGAUUUUGAUUCUGCAUCUCUAUCUCUCUAUCCUCCUCCCUCACUUCCACUGCCAUAGGGGAUUGAUUUUCUUCCUCAAACUGGAUCACUAGUGGGAGAUCAGGACCUCUCGUUUCUAGGUUCAUGAUGUCUUCACUACAGUCUUGGGUUCCUCCCUUAUUUUCCUUUACUAUUGGUGAGGCUCCCCUACCCUAUUUUUCCUUCGCCUUCUCCCUUUCCUCCCUCCCUUUCUGCGAGCUAUGGUCUUCCUUACCAGACGACAGCAGAGAUUCUAAAAGACUUUGAUUCAAAGGACUCCUAUUUCUAUUUUGUUCAAUCAAUUCUCCUUCCUGGAAUCUCCAAUAUCUUUUGUCACUCGAACCUUCAUUCCUAGUAGGUUGUUUCUGAGGUGAGCUCCUAGUAUUUCCAGCUCUCAACCAGGGCCCGUACUGGUGGCCUCCCAUGCUUCCCCUUACCACUCUCUUAUCCUUACAAGACCUCUCACUGUGUCCUACUAACCCACAACUAUAGCAAAAAUCAGGACACCUCUCAUACUUAAAAGCUAUCCACUUCAGAGCUCCUGCAAUCCUAACCACAGUACCCCUGAGCAGGGGUUUAGACAGGUCAACUAAAGCUAAAAUUUUCAAGUGCCUGCCCACUUUCCCUCCAUUCUGAGGGAUUAGCACCUCUCUUACUUCUUUGAAAACAACCCCUAUCUUGUUUCCUACCUCUUUAGACAGCCAGUGAACUGGCAAAUUCCAGAGUUGCACCCAAAGGGGCGCAGUCAUAAAGGCCCUGUAAUCCUCUUCUAUCCCUUCCUUCCACCUAUUUAAGACUAACAGUUGAUUAUCCAUGACCCAAGGACCACCCUCAAUAAUUCUUUCCUUAUCAACUAGGCUAGGGAUGUUGAACUGAAAAAUAUUUGGGCCAAGUUCCAUCACUGUCAUAUUCCUAGGGUAUCCCCAAGCAGCAGUUACGAAAUUUUUUACCCCUGUAAAGUUGACAACUUUCUCACCUAUAACUCUUCCUAUCAGGCUUUCAUCGCAGGCUCUAACUUCUUGAUGGAGAUCUCCAAAUUCUAACAUGGCUCCAAGGAGCUCAUUCCUCUCCAGAGAGAAUUUUUUUAAGAGCUCAGCUAGGUCUUCUUCCAUCGAUAAUGUCAGAUACUUCAGGAUAGUAUUCCACUACACACCCAGGAGGAAAACCAGAAUGUAGGAGGAUUGGAACAGAAAUAUUAAACAAUAAAAAACAAGGAAAGUUUUCUGGUGUUUAGGUGCAUCUACUAACAGAAAAUGAUGAAAAAAAAGAUGAAAAAAGAUGAGGAUGGCACAUAAAUAGAGUUCUCUGGUCGCAAUACCUCUAAACAUCAGACAGAGGAAGUAAAGACUAGGGAUGUAAUCGAGCCAAGUCAAACUCGAAUAUUGCUAUACUCGAGCUCGACUCGACUCAUAUAUGCCUAGGCUUGAACUUGGCUCGAGCUCGAUCGAGUCCAAAAAAUCGAUACUCGAAACUUGACUCGAGGAAUUUCCUUUAGGCUCGAGACUCGACUCGAUAAGGCUCGACCUUUAGUCAAGCCUUAUCAAGUCGAGUCUAAUCAAGCUUUUUGACUCGACUUGACCAAAAAAUGAGAUCAAAGGUGACGUUUUGGGAAGAUUCAAAGGCAAGCAAGUAGCUAUCAGUUGGAGUAAAUGAGGCAUAAAAUCCAUGAUUCAUCGAUACAAAUACAACCAAAAGUAUCCACAUUCUACCUCCCACAGUUAGCAUCUUUAACACCCCUAAAAAUCAGAUUCACCACAAAGAAAAAUAGAGAAGAAAAAAGGGAAAUUCCCACCUGCUGGAUUGCUUGACAUGAAACUUUCAAAUUCAGCAAUUACCCACCAACGGUAGGUGCCCACAAGAGUAGCAAAAAAUGGAUGAUUCUAAUUCCUCGGACCAUAGUUCCUAAGUGUGCUGCGAAAGUACCCAAACUAACCAAAAUUCCUCACAAAAUUCCAAAACUCAGCAAAACAUGAGCUGAGCCACCAAAUUGAGAGACAAACAAUUAUCUCAAACAGCCACAAUAUCCCAACUACCACAAGCUCAAUUCAAGAAACCAAUGCCAAGAUCUAUCCAGAAAUUCCUUUUCCCCACAAAUAUCACUAAUUACUAACUAAAGAAAGCUGCUUUAAACAAGAACAUGUCAGAAAAAUAUAUUCCUGGUUCAGAAAUGGACCAUAGUCCAGCAGAAUUACAAGUGUUUGAACAAGAUAUAGAAGAAUGAAGUUGAAAACUCUUGUCACUAACCUGACCCAGCAAAGAUGACCUCAAUACCACCAUUAAAAUGAAAUCCCAGAGGCUGGAGCCUUUUAUAGCAAAUUGCAACAGCUCUUUCCAGGCUGUUGAUUAGGUUGUCAUUUUACACAGAGGAAAGAGCAAAAGAACUGGACCCACAAGCAAAACCUCUGAACCUUAUACCACACACGACACACUCAAAAAACAAGUUUUCUAGAUAUUUAUCCUACACAUUAGCAUGUCAUUAGCCAGCGGCCAGCCUGCUCACAUUAGCAUGUCACAAUAGCCAGCGGCCAGCUUGCUCACACAAUAGUCAUACAUUCGGCAAAUGAAAGAAAAAGGCUUCAAAAUAUAAACAUACUCCACAAUACAUAAUAAGUUACAUCUCAUAAAUUAACAAGGUCCAAAUUAUGAGCUAAUCUAGAUUUAGAAACAUAAAUCUUCAAAGCUUUGGCAAGUCGAAUUCUUUGAUUGUCUUGGCUUCCUACAAAAAGCAUAGAGGUAAAAACACAAAAAAAGUUACAUAACUUCCCAAAAGAAUAAAUUAACUUAUACUUAAUAACUCAAAUAUAGAAGUUUGGUAGUAAAACAAUAAAGCUGACCUAUUAGCAAGCAAAGUACACUAUCUUCAUGAAUGGCAGAAUAUUGUUAAAAAAAAAAUCAUGAACAAUUGGUGAUAUCAUUUCUAAAUUGAGGUUGUAUAAUAUGCAUUUACGGUAAGUUUAGCAAGAAUAGUAAAGCAUUGUAAUUUUUCUUAAAUAAUAAUUAUACCAUAUCAUGCUCUGUUUUAUUCCAUUUUAUGUAGUGUCCUGGAGAGAAACAAACUAUUUAAGCAGCUAAGUACUGCUAUGGAAGCAUGGACGUAUGCCCGACUUUGUCACAGGGAAAUAUGUCUACGCUAAACACUGAGGCCCCAUGAGCAUGACAGAACCAGUGGUGAGAAAGCAUCUUUUUGAUUAAGAAUAAUUAACACUAACGCUGGUUUUACUACGGCCAGAAUACCAAGUUUUGAAGAAAAUGACACAAAUCUAACGCAACCUUUGGUGGAUAAACAGUCAAUAAACCCCUAUUUAGAGAACAGUUCAAAAAUGAUUUUUACAGCACCGAGGCACAAUCCAAGAAAGUUCGACAAAGCAAAUCAUCAAGCAAAGGAUACCAGAAGAGUUGCGGCGAAAAUUUCCAAGACACCAACUUUAACAAACUCAGAGUAACCAAAUGCGGUAAUCAAUCAUACUACAUUAGAGCAGAGGCAGACAUACCAGUAACCAGAUGCGAUGGCGAUGGCGAUGGCGAUGGCGAUGGAGUCUCACAGAUGCGGCGAGCAACGGCGUCGGCGACGAACGAGAGACUGAGAGUAACGGAGUGAGGGUUUAGAUCUAAAUCAGUCAGAGUCAGUGGUUGGUAAAGUGAAUUUUUCGGCGAGGCUUUCUUCGAACAGAGAAGAAAGUUGAACAGAGAAGAAAGUCUUUUCUUCCUUUUUUUUAGACAUUUUUUCUUUUUAGGUCUUUUUACAAUUAUGUUAUUACUUUUUUGCCAUUAUGGGAUUUUAUUAUAAAGAAGGGUAUAUUGUAAAUUCCAUAUAACUUAGACCCAUAACGGUCAUUUUAUAAUUAUAAUACAUAUAUAUUAUUUAAAUUAUAAAUAUAUUAUUUAAAUAACCCCGACUCGUCGAGCUACUCGACGAGCCUCGAGCCGAGAAAUUUUGGCUCGAAACUCGACUCGAUUGUCAUUCGAGCUACUCGAAACUCGGCUCGAACUCGGUCAAACCGAGUUCGAGCCAAGCCGUUAACCAAGCUAUUCGCGAGCUACAUCUCUAGUAAAGACACACAGAAUCUCAUUAUACCUGUCAGACGCAUUCCAAAGGGUAGUUCCUUCUGGCGCUUGGACUUCUGCUUUCCAUGCAACCUUCAUCGAUUGUGUUUGCUGCAUUAAUUAGCCUUUGAUUCCAGACAAGAAUUGGAAAUGGAGAUGUUACAGAAAAGUGCGGGAGUGUUGGAGUUUGAAAAUGUUUGAUUUUGCUGCCUUUCCCACCAACGGGGAAGGUAGCUCUUAUCCCAAGAGAGAGCACCUCAAUUUAGAGUAAGAAACACCUCUACAUAGAAAGAGGACUUUUUGGCUACGUUAGUCUAUCCAUGGUUGUUACAACUAGUAAAUUUGACAUAUGAAGCUCACUUCCAUCCAAUACUUUGUACCUUUUUUUCAGCGAAAUAAGUACAUAAGUUUAGAGGGUAAGGACAUAAUAUCAAAAUAAUAUUUUACCUUUGCAAAUAGGAAUGUCAAAUGAGCGAAACUAUGCUACACUCGACUUGAGGUUGAACUAGUCAAAGCUAAUUUGCGCUUAGUUCUCCAAUUAAUCAAACCAAAUAUGAACAAUAUUUAGUAUCCAAAAAAAUUUCAAAUCUGAAAUCGAGCUUGGCUGACUUAACAUAGUAUAUGAAAUUUAUAUGUGAAAAAUUUAAUUGAGUUUGACUUGAUAAAAUCUCAUCUAAAUUCAGCGCAAUAAAUAGAUAAAUUAAAUUUAAAUACAAUUUUAAACUCUUUAGAAUAGAUAGACAAGUUUGACAACUUGAGUGCUUGGCUCAAUUAGCUUCACUCAUAACCUUAUUUGCAAGUAAAAGUUCUGAAAUUUUUUGUGGGGCAAAUAUAAAAUGUCAACAAUAUUUCCACAGAAUACCAGAUUCUCAAUUCUCAAGCUUGGGGAGAAGGGCAAUUUCUUAAGGCAAAAUUAUAAUACAAAUAAACUUUUUAAAAUUCAUAAGAGGGCAAAUGAAUUUUUUAAAAUUCUUGAGGGGUGGCUGCCCCUCCCUGCAAAGAUCCGAUCCAACAAAACUCCUGUCCCGCAGGUUCAUAGAAGUGUUAAAAAAGAAUUCCAAAUGUCAUUUGAAUUCAAAAAUGAAUAAUUUAACUAUCUAAAACUAUUUAGGAUAUAUUAGAUGAUAAUUCGAAUUUAAUAUUAUUCAAGUGACAAUGAAAAUCAAAAUUCUAUGUUGCAUCCCUGCAUUGAGAUGUAUUCGCAUAGAGUUCUUAGUUGAAGAUCUGAAACUAAUGAAAUCUAACCUUCUUAGCCAAGUCCAUGAGACAAGAUCCUAGAACUUCAAAUCCUGUCUCUGUGACGAUAGUUGUCUGAGAUUCACGGAUGGCAUCAGGGACAGUAGGAAUAACAAGGGCCAUCAACCGUCCAUCGACGAGCUCGUGUGCCCUUGCAUUCAGAAAUGACUCCAGGUCCUUGGCAAAUUGAGAUGCAUAAACCUCAAGAAGUUCCUUUUUGGCCCCUCCGUGGUGAAUCUUUCCUUUGUUCCAUGCAGGGGACGUGUUGUCUGUAACCUCUUUUGGCACAUCUGAAAGCCACUGAAGCGCGCAAGAUGAGUGAGCAAAAUGGAGGGAUGCCUUUGGGAGCAAAACCUUGUGGAAGUCACCUGGCACUCCAGCUGCAAGGUAGUGUCUCUCUGGUGGAAGUGAAGCAAAAAGUGUGUUGAAAUCAUUAGAUAUAUGGUCAUUAAAAAAGACUUGAAACUCGGACUUCAGAUGCUAGUCCCUCUUUUCUGAGUUUUUCCUCCAGGGCUUCUCUUAUCACUUUCGUGGCCACAAAUGUAUUUGGUCCUGUAGAACAGCCAAAAUCUGCUAUGCGAAAUGGAUGCACAGAGGUUGAAGAAAGUUGCUUGACAUCAAGUUCUUUGUCAAUCUCUUCUUUGAUAAGUUCUUUUGCAACGUCUACUGCUCCUCUCUGCCACAAAAAAAAAAAAGAAAAUAAAUAAAAUCUUUACGCAAGUCUUAUAUACCUUAGACAUUUAUAAUGAGGUAAUUGCAGUUUAAACUAGCAACCUGAUAGGAUGAGUUUUGGGCAUAGCUUUGAGGUCCAUUUCCUCCAUUCAUGGCAUAUGCUUGAGGCAUUUUUUCUAUCUAUAUCUCUUCUCUUGCCAUGUCUUGAUACCUCUGCCUAGAUGGUUUAAUUUAUACUAGGCAGAGGCUUAGGCUUAAGUGUUGUCUUUUAGCCCUUUACACGACGGGCAUUUCUACUAAUAAAUGGCCAUCCGAAUACAUAACAGGAUUGACAUAUGCAAAACAAACAAGAAACCAAAGCAGAUUUGUAUCUAUCCCCCAACAACCCCAUGAAAAUCGGGUCAAAUUAUUUUUCUAAAUGAUAUUUUAGUUUUCAAUCGCUGCAUUGCUUUUAUUUUUUUUUAAUUUUUUAUUGAAGAUAUCACAUGCAUACAGCAUAUACCCUGCAGGCCAUAAUUCUAUAUUUGUUGUCCAAUGACUAGGGUUGAAAGACGAAUUAAACUACUCGAAACUCGAAUCGACCUUAACUUCAUUCGAGUUUAGUUAAUUAACUAAUAAAAUUGAGGUUGAGCAGCGUUUUGUAUUUGAUAAAUUUUCAAAUUUGACUCGAGCUUCGCUUCCUUUCACUGUGAAUUUGCCAAAUUACUAUGAAUUAAUUUCCUUUUUAAAUUACUCAUCCAAUAUGACUCGAGCUUGGCUUUCCUUUCAAAAUUUUUACUUUUACCCAUGCUUUUUCUUUCCUGUUGGUUUUCUUUUGUGCCAUGAUGUAAAGAAAUAAAGAACACAACUGCAAAUGAUAAGUAUAUUUAGAACUAGUCAUUGGACAUAACAUGGAUUUUUUUUACCUUCUCUUUUUGAUAAAACAACAUCAUAAUUUCAAUAAAAUAUGUAUUAAUGGCAGAAGUUACAUAAUCAAAUAUACAGAGAUAUCAAAGAACAGAUCUGAAGAAUAGAUAAAAAUUACACUAUAAAGCUCUAAAUUUUAAAAAAAUGAGAUAAAAUAAUUGUGGCUCCACAAACAUCUGUGCAUGCUUUCAAGCUUCCAAUCUGUUAAUUAACUGUUUCAAGUUCCAAUAUUAUGGUGAGAUCUAUCAAAUAUAUAUAAGAAAUUCCAGAUCUAACAAAACUUAAAAAACUCAAAUCUAAUAAAAGAAAAAUGAAAAAAAUUACAUAAAACUCUCACCAAGAAUCCCUAGGAGAGAAGAAAACUCACUAGAAAGUCUAAGAAAAAGAAAACUCUCCCUUAACAACCCUAUGAGAGAAGAAACUCUCAUUAGUAAACCUUAGAAGAGAUUCUAUUCGCACAAAUGAAAAAAAUUAUAGAGGGGGCUUCUCCCAUGGGAAAGAUUAGAAAAAUCUGAUCUCUCUCCCAAGGAAGUUUUGAUUGGAGAGUUUUGCAUAGAGAUGUCAAAGAAAAUCAACUUUUCUAGAGAGGAACAAGUGCCAAACAUUUUGUUGUCAUUUUUUUCCUUCUCUUUAAUAUUUUUUCAAUUUUGAUUGUGCUAGCGUAAUUUGUUUCUUGACUGUGCUCUGGCUUUCAAAAUAUAAAUUUACUGAUAUUUGCACAUAUUAUAGUCCUUUUUUGAUAAAAAAACAGAAUUUGUCAACGAAUUAUCGAAAAUCAUCCAGUACGAUUUGAUUUACAUCCCUGUCCUAAUGGCAGGUUAAAUAUGUAUUAGAAAUAAUAGAUCAAAUCUACAAUUUAAUAAAUACAAUACAUUUAAAAAUUUUUGAAUAGAUCUAAAAGUUAUAACAAAAUUUCAAAUUAUAUUCUAACAAGAUAAAUUUGCAUCUCCCUGUGUUGCAAUCGCCAAAUCUACUAAUCAAUGGUUUUAAGUUCCAAUAAUGAUGAUAUGAUCUGAGAGAGACUCAAUAUCUAAAAAAUUCUAAAUCUAACAACUAGAUUUAAAAUAAAUUUGGAUCUAACAACAAAAGAAGAAAAGAAAAAAAAUUCUCAUUAUAAACCCCUAGGAGAAACAAAAAAAUUGCCCUCUGUGUCGUCAGUUUAUUAGCAAACCUUCCUUUGGAGGUACGAAUCAUCAAGUAGUCUAUAAUGAUCACCGGUAUUGGUUUAAAUUUCAUCCGGUUUUACAAAGCAACUAAAAAAUUAUAAUCUGUAAAACUCAUUUUAUUGUUUACGGCAGAUGGAAAUAUUAAACUUCACAUAAAUAACAAACCCCGACCAGUGUUGCACAUGUCCUAAUAAAAAAUGCAUAUAUGUACUACAAAGCAUAUUAAGUAUGCUAAAAUCUAAAAUUCAUUUACCAAGAAGAAUAUAUUCUAUGUUGAUUGAUGACUACUAAAUAAGAGAGCAUAGAGGAGGAAUUUUUUUUUUUUUUUUUUUUUAGAAGAGGAGAGGAGGAGCAUGUUCAAGUUGAAACCUGCAUGCAACACAAUCGUUCAGGGAUAGUCCUGAUGAUGACUGUCCCUAUCCCCAAGUACUAAAUAAAUCCUUUGUGAAGUUGGAGCACGUUCGAAAACUGUGGGGAAUCAAACUAUUGAAAUGAUUGAAAAAUCAAGAAGGGGAAAAUUCUUGCUAGGAAAAAAUGAAUGUAAUUAAAUAAUUGAUAAAAGAAGGGGAUUAAAUCCACACCCUUCCAUCCUAGAUCCACAUCACAAGCGCUAAUAAGACAUUAAUAUGUGUUAGAAAUAAUAGAUCGGAUCUACAAUUUAACAUAUACAAUAGAUCUAAAAUAUUUUGAACAGAUUUAAAAAAUAUAAGAAACUCUUAAGUUGUCUUCUAGCAAGAUAAAUCGUUGCAACUCUUUUGUGUGCAUGUUGCAAUUGCUAGAUUUGUCAAUCAACGUCUGCGGUGAUGGAGAAAAAGUGGGGGCAAUUGCCGCCAUUGACCCCUCCUAAAUCUCCAUAUUAAUUUAUAUAUAAAAUUAGAGUUUUGCCCCCACACUCAAAUGAAAUCGCCCCACUACUCUUCAACAAAAUUCAAGUAUUAGAGAAUUGCCCUCACUAAGUUGUCCGUAUCUGCAUAUAAAAUUGUAAGUUUGCCCCCACACUUGAACGAAAUUAACCUUACUACCCUUCAACAAAAUCUAAAAUAAUAAUGUACACUUUGUUUAUAUAUCUCUACAUCAAACAAUUUAACAACACUUAAAAUUAAUGCAGUAGAAGUAUAAAUGCGAUAUAUAAAGACUUGGAUAAAUAACCACUCAAAAAUAUAUUUGAUUAGAAUAUACCAAGUCGCGAGGCUCUAAUUGAUCACUCAAGAGGUGAAGGGAAAUCGUAUCACUUGGAAGGCAAAGAAACAAGGCACAGAUAUUUUGGAACAAUGCUUUAACAUAUACUAACUCAAAUUUUACAUGAGAUUGCUCAAUUGAGCAUUCAGCCAUAAGGCCAUAUAUACAGGAAAGAACCUAACAACUCCUUAUUAGAUUUUACUAUCAUAAACUCGUUCCAAUUGUAAUAUCAAAAAACAAUUUAACUUUGUUUCUUAAAUCAAUUUUGGCACCAAUUCUAAUCUAGUUACCAAAUAAUAAUAUAAUCCUAAAACUGCUAAAUUUCUAAAAAGGUUUGGUUUAAAAUAUGUCAACAACGGUCUUGUCUAAACAAAGAAAGAGACUCAAUUUACAUUUAUUCUUUUUUUUAUCUAUUUUAACAAAUCCAUUAGAAUUUUAAAAAACUUUUUUCACCACACAUUGGAACUGACAAACAUUGCUAAUUUUUUUAUUUCCUCUUAGAAAAAUCUAGAGAAAAUUUUUAGGGUUGUGAGAGGAAAAGUAGAAAAAUCCUUUAUUAGGAAAUUAGAGAUUUGUUUUGUUGUUAAAUUAUAGAUUAAUUAUAAACAUAACUUCUAGCAUAUAUUGUUAGUUAAAUAUAUUUUUAUAUUUUAAUUAGUAAUAUUUUAGAAAUUAACUUUACUCCAUUAAAUUUCUUUUCUAACUCUGCCCCGAACAUCGAUAAGCAGCAAUAAUGUUGAUGAGAUCUGUCAAAAGGGACCCAAGACCUAAAAAUUUCCAAAUCUGAAAUAAAUUUAGAUCUAACAAUAAAAGAAAAAGAAAAAAAUAGAAAAUUCUUACAAGAAACCCCAGAAGAAAUAGAAAAUUGUCCUUUGUGUUGUCUGUCUAUUAGCAAACCCUUCUUUGGAGGUACGACUCAUCAAGUAGUCUAUACUGAUCACUACUAUUUUUUUACAUUUAUAAAUUUUAAAUAUCCCACACGCGAUUUUUCACAAGUAUACGAGUCGUGAUUGAGUAUAGGGUAUUAAUGGUCGAACCCAAAGAAAAGAUUGUCAAUUACCGAUGAUUUUAGAAUUCUUUUAUUAUUUAGACUAUCAUAAAUGCACAAAAAUUAAAUCUACACUAUAAACAUGAGAUAAAAGUAAAAAUAACAAUAGAAAACUUCCAAAGAUAUGGAAUUCCUUACUACUCUUGCAAGUGAAUCGAAGUUACCGGUUAAGUGAAUGAUUUAUCUUGGCUAGUUAUGGAGUAAUUUUCUAAUUAUGUGAAACCUACUUUUGUGGUGAAUCAACUAUACUUGUAACUAAACCAUACCUAAUCUCGUGGUUAUGAAAUUAACUACAAGCUCUUUUUUUUUAUGAAAUUACAUGAAACAAGUCACUAAAGCCAUAAAGGUGCACCUCUACUCUCGUGAGUGUUUUCCCUAGGUUUAUCACUUCCUUGAACUAGUGUUAAAUUUCAAUUCUCAUUGCAAACUUAACACGUUACGAUUAUCACAAUUAAUGGUCGGUUAAUCAUGAUUAGAAAAGAAAAAGUGAUAGAUAACUUACUCAAUAUAUAUUUGAUAUAGAAAGUUCAUCUAUAACUCUAGGCAUAAACUUUAACUAAACAUGAAGAACAAGAUCCAAACUUGUAUUAUAACUAAACAUGAAAUCAAAUAAAAAAAGAAAGUGUUAGGAGAGAGGUCACCCUUAUCACAUGAGAUCCAUCUCUCCAUCUUUGCUCCUUAAUUCUUUAUCCAAAUCUAGCUACAAAUGCAAAAAGAAUAAACUACAUUAACUAUACUAAUCUACCCUAACUAAUGAACUAGGUAUACUCUAGUGAAGACUACAUUUUUGUGGAGUUUCUCUAGCCUUCCAAAGUUGUAAAAAUGUUCUUCAAGGCCUCUAUUUAUAGAAAGAUUCAAGCCACAAAUGAGUUGUUUCUAGUUGGCAAAAUUGGAUCUUAAAACUCUCAAAGGUUGCUUCUCAAAGUUUUCAUGCUCAUCUACUUAUUUCCAGCAGGAAUCUUUGUAGAAAAAGUGGUAAAAAAAGUUGUGUGAACAAAGCACAAGUUGCAAAGCAAGUUGUAGCCGAAAUUAGAGAAUACGCGAUCUACCCAUGUUUUGCUCUUUCGCAGGUUUGCUCAUCUCUGGUUGUUCUUCACCCUUACUCUGUUUUUUUGCCAACUUCUACUGAUAUUUUCUCAAUAAUGGCAGCUGAACUAGCUCUUGCACAAAACAUGAAAGUUGUAGCCCUUUGAGUUAGCUUUCCAAUGCAUUAAAAACCAUCCAAUUUGAAUCUCUGUAGACUGAUAAAUUAUUAAAACACCCUCGAUUGAUCAGAGCUCUGUUUCAGCUUUCGAUAACAAAAUUGCAUUUCUGUAUUUCGAUAUUUUGACAAUGAAAAUGACUAAACUGGAUGUCGAUGUCUUCAUACCAAAUGUAGAUCUUUCUCUUAGUUUCAAAAUGGUAUAAGAAUCAACUCAAUCCAAUGCUUGUAGCUCAACAUAUAGUUGAAAUACCACAAAGUGUCAAAGCUGGAAAACUUCCUUAAUUGCAUUUCAUCUCUUGCACUUCAUAUUAUCUUAAAAACCACUUCAAAUCAUCAAAAAUCAUCCAAUUAUGUGCUCAACUCACUCCAUUUGAUGAUUAAAUCAUUGAAUCUAUAAAAACAUGAAGUUUUCACCAUUAAAAUCCAUAGAAAUACAAUUUUUACCACUUAAAUCAUAAAAUGCAUAUUUUCACUAGAAACUUAGUUCAUAAGCUAUAAAACUAAUUAAAACACAUAAAAAUAAUUAAUAAAACACAACCUGCAUGCAAUACGUACCGUGGUGCUAAAUAAAUCUUUUGUGAAGUAGGAGCACGUUCCAAAACCGUAGGGAAUCAAACUGUUGAAAUAAUUGAAAGAAAACUCAAGAAAAGAAAAUUCUUGCUGGGGAGAAAUCAAUGCAAUUAAAUAAUUGAUAAAAGGAAGGGGCUAAAUCCGCACCUUUCCAUCCUAGAUCUACAUCUUAAGUACUAAUAAGACGUUAGGGCUCUUAUAGUAUAAGUUAGUAACUUUUCUUUUGUAAAGUAUCAAUAAAUUACCUGCAUAAUACUAUCCUUUGAAUUAUUUCCUAACAAUUAUGCUGCAUAAAGCAUCUUCCUAAAAAUGUUCAUAGUAAGGUACAUUUUUUUCUCACAUGAAUUAACCACAAAAUUCUGAUCCUUAACACUCAGAAAAUACAAAAGGAUCAUCUAUUGAUACAUUAGACUAGCAGCACUACAUUGUCAUAUAAUAAUCGAAACCUCGCUGGGACAUUUCGUAAAUGUCAAAACAUUAGUUUUUAUGUUUUACAAUGAUCAUUCAUAGUUUGGCAAAAUCUAAUUGGUACAUAAUGAAAAGUCAAAUUUUUUAUAUUUUGCAUAUUUGGAUAGGCCAAAAAUAUCUAAAGAAAAUCUUGUGGGGAAAUUCACUGUCAUUAAAUAGCUUUUAUAUAUAAAAAGAUUAUAAAAUUGGAAUAUAUUUGAAAGGUAUUAGAAUGGAAUAAAUAGUUACAAGAAUAAUGCAAGGCAAAUUAUUUCUAUUCCGUAAAAGCAUAAAAUUUGAGUAAACCAAAAAAAAAAAAAGAAGUUGGAGUAAACAAAGUUAGAAGAAAAAACCUAUUAAAUGUUAAGGGCUUCAAUGUCACAUUGGUCCAUAGGAUGUUUAUUGAGGAUAUGAUGGGUGGAUUUAGCCCGUUCGUUGACAAAAAUAUCCUAAUAAAAUUAAAUGAUAUACUAUCAGUCCUGAUGAAGAACCUAUAUAUUAAUAACAUAAUUUACAUAUUUACAUGUUGCAUAUUCCACAUUUAUCCAUCCGAAUCGUAGUUAAGCUAGAAAUCCUGUAAUCAUGGGCAAACUAGUUAGAUCCAAAAGGAGAAACACUAAAGUCAGAAGCCCCCUUAGAACCUAAAAAAGUAAUAGAAUAGUGUAGACAAUGUAUAGGUGUAGUCAACAUGAUGAUGCUGGAUGGUUUCAUUGACUUCAUAACAAUGAAGACUAGGCACAUAUUUCCUUUCAUUACCCAAAAAAAAAAAAAAAGGAAGACUAGGUACAGUAUUAUUGGCUUCAGAUAUCCGAUUCUGCUACCACAGAAAAUCACGCAAUAGAAGAAAAAGAAAUACGUCCAAUUAGAAGUCGCUGAUUUGAGUUUUGCUCUAUAAAAUAGGAUUGCAAUUCCAAUUAGUCUCUCCCAUUCCCCUUUCCCCUCCAUCUAACUUUUGAGUUAUGAAGAAGUUAUUAGUUAGUUGAUCUACAUAAAUAUUAUUUUUAAGGAUAUUACUAUGUUUGUUUUUCAUUUUUUUUUUGGUCAAGUAAUAUAUCUUGAUGGUUAAAUAGUGCAUUUUUUGUUUAAUUAUUUCAAUUUUCAUCUACCAAAUGUCCCUAUUCAAAUACUUGAUUUUGCAUCCUCGAUCAUUCCCUUAUCAUCCACAAUAAAUAAAAUUGUAAAUAUCUACGUAGGAUCCAUAUAAAAAGUACAAUAUAGACAUCUAUUCAUUUAAGCAUCUUGAUGUGAAAAGGAUCACAGUUAAGCUCUUAAAAACUAAUAAAAUAAAAAAUUGGGAAAAAAAAAAAAGAGUUUCACGCGAUUCUAGCGCACUUUCCACAAGCAUUGCACAUGCAUCGUUGCUACCUAUACUCUAGUGUCCCUCUGGACUGUGAAUUAUUUUUUAUUAGUAGACAAUAUCUUUUGUUUUUUUUUUUUUUUUUCCUUUCCAAAAUUCCAUUUAAGUUAAGAGUUUGAUCCUCUCACCUAUGUGCUUAGGUAGGGAAAGAUAUAAGGGUUGCAAGUUGCAACCUCAGCUAGGUCAUUCUUUCAAGAAGAAGGCUCCAUUCUUUAUCCUUUCCGUUUUUUUUUUUUAUGGUCUGUCAUCUCUUUCCAUACCCUUUCUAUCCCUAACUGCUAGGUACUAUAUAUUUGAAUUGUGAAUUUGAUAAUAUUGACUUUAUGUGUUAUACAAAAAUAAUUCACAAAAGACAAACUUAUUUUGAAAAUUUUCUAAAAAUUUUCAUACAUGAUACUAACAAUUGUCCCUUCUGUGCUGAAGGCAUAAUUAUAGACCAACUUUAGAUGGAACAAGGACGUUAGUACCUUGGAAUUAGACCUAAAAUUGAACUUAGAUAAGAAUUUCACUAAAUUGUACCAUCCAACUAAAUUGUACAUUUUCUCACAUGGUAUGAGAAUACUAAAAACAAAAAAUUUUAAAUACAUUACCCUUACUUGAAUUAACAAUGUGUUAGCAUGUUUUUUGCAUUGGUGAAAUUAACUUGUUAUUUGCAUGCGUAACUAAGUUGAAAAUUAUUACGACUAUAUGAUACCCCUUCUAAUUUCAAAAUCUCCAUGUAAGGUGUAAUUAUCAUUUUUUAAUCUGUCUUUGAAAAAAAAAAAAAAAAAAGAAUCUACGUUGUUAUUCACUAGAACGUUACAUGCUUUUAAUCUUAAAAAAAAUUUCGUGGAGGAGAGCUUGGUGUGAACCCAGUGAGUUUUUACUAAUAAAUCGUACCAUGCCUUCUAACUUUUAAUUCUUGAAUUGUUUCUUAUCAUAAAAGCGCAUUAUCUAUCAGUAUUUUCUUGAUGACAAUGAUAAAUAAUUCAAAGAAUAGUAUUAUGAAGGCAAUUUAUUGAUAUUUCACAAAAGAAAAGUUGUUAAUUAACUUUUUUUAUAUACUAUAAGGGCCCCAAUGUCUUAUUAGUGUAUCUAGGAUUGGAGGGUAUGGAUUUAAGUCCUUCCUUUUAUGAAUUAUUUAAUUCCAUUGAUUUCUUCCUAGCAAGAAUUUUCCUCUUCUAUGUUCUCUUAUUUAGUAGUCAUCAAUCAACAAAGAAUAUAAUCUUGUUGGUAGGUAAAUUUCAGAUUCUAGCAUACCUAAUAUGCCCUAUAGUACAUACAUGCAAUUCCUUUUUUUAUUAUUUUAUUAUUAGGACAUAUGCAUCAUUGGUUGGAAGGAGUAAAGGUAUAGGAAACAAAGUCAUGGAUACUAGUACUAUUUUAUAUUUAUUCCAAACAAUUUCCAAAGAGAAGUCAAAUGAAAUCCUUCUUCAAAAUUUCUCAAGAACAAUAAGGAGGCAAGAAAAAAGGAUAGCAAGAAAGCAAAGCAAAAUCAAAGUUCAAACUUUCUUUAAAAAAAAAUAAAAAAAUAAAAAAUGCCCCAAAUAUCCAAUGCCUAAAUUGCAUUUCUUGGGCCGAGUUAAGUAAAGACAAACUAUCUCCUUAUAAGCCAUGUUAUUGGACAAACGCUCAACAACACAUGCGCCCUACUCAAUCGUUUCCGGGCAUUUGAGGGCUCGCUCUGGACUGGGACUCGCCCCUACGCUUGGUUCAGAAAAUGCCUUUGAAAACACUAAUUACGAUUAUUAGCUCCAACCGUAGUUUGUUUGUGGAGGUCCAAGGCCGAACUUUCUCAGUAACUUUUGCUGUCGGUGGAUGGUUGGAGUUAUGAGCGGACACGAGGCGUGGAUGCUAUCAGUAACAAUUGUUUGGAAUAAUGUAACAUUUUUUUAAUAAGGUAUAAAUUCACGUGAAUUACUUAUAAAAUUUAGUAUUACAUAUGAACCUUACAUGAAGUAUCGCAAUUAUUACUUUCAAGGUUUAUAAAAUCGGGAUCCUACGUAAGAUCGAUUUUAAUUUUACAUAAUCGGAUCAUAGAAUCGUAAGAUCCCACCAAAAGCUCCUAAAUUAAUGAAUUUGAAAUUCAUAUACCAUUUUGCACAUCCUAAAAGAUUUCAAAUAAAUAGAUAACUCAUAAAUAUUUUAUACUAUAUUGUCCAUUUCCUGUUUUGAGUUUUAACAAUCAGACAAGGAACCUUUACUUGAUCUACUAAUGUUUUCUUUACAACCUUUCAGCCGAAAAGUUGUGUUUUUGCACUGGCCUGUAGUAGAAUGUAGAAUAGAUGAUCAUAGCAAAACUAGCUGCUAUAGAUAUAGACGAUGAUCCAUAUGGCUUGCAAUAAUAAACUAACAUUGUAAAAAGGGCAACAAAUGAAGCCUAAUAUAUAGUUGAGUAUCAUUGACCACUAUACAUCACUUGUAUGCAUCUCAAGUCAAGUUUGAAACAAGCAAACAAUUCCAGUUCAUAUUGGCUUGCCAGCCAUUUAAUUUUCAGACUUACAUUUUAUUAAUUCUCCGUAAUUUAAUUCUAAUGUGCUAAAAUUAAGGAAGCAACCAAUCAACACAACAACAGCGGCCUGAAAUACGUGGCAUGGGGGCCUCAUAAUCAUUCAUUCAUGGGUUCAAAAGAAAAGAUGAAAGAAAGCUGCCGACGAUCAUCAAUUUGCAGGCAUGUGGUGUGGAGCAACAACUAUGGAGGAUUUGAGUAGAGAAAUGCUUAGCCAAGCAAAAGGAAUACUAUAAGGCGAUGAAUAAUCUUGGUCUUGGUCUUGGGGGCCCAUCUAAAACAAAAAAUAAUUUGCAAUGCGUGAAAGUGACUUAAGAUCUAAAUUCUAGAGUAAUUCAGUUGGCUGGAAUCCGGCGGCAACAGAGGAGAUUUCGUCUUGAAGGUGCCAAAAUCCGGCGGCAGCAGAGGAGAUUUCGUCUUGAAGCCUUACGAAAUCUAGCUUGAAGCCUUGAAGCUGUAGCUUGUUGGUAAUUGGUAAAAGCCGCAGCGAUUUCGUCUUGUUGGUAGGCGUAGGAGUUGCAGCAGUUUGAUGGAUAAAUUCUAGGGUUUUGGGCAGCGGUGGAGAAGAAAAGAAAAGUGCAGGCUGAACCGCUGAAGAAUGAAGUAAAGAGCAAAAGAAACGACGAAGGAAAGGAGUCAAAGGCUGACCGACUAAGGAAAGGCAAAGAUGAGAAGAAUCGGUGCUUUUUUUGACAUUUUGAGCAAAAAUGGUUAAAACAUUGCAAUUAAAGGCUGCAAUUCUUUGAUAAA